rnacentral:lncRNA from 1 species
UAAUAUUAAGAAUGAGGGGUGAGUUCAACCAACUCAGUGAGGGAAUAAUAAUUAAUAUACAUUUUAGAUAUUCUUGAUAUUAAUAGUUCGCAAGAUCCUUUAUCUUGAUAUACAUAUACAUAUACAUACUGAACAUAUCAUAUACAUAUCGUAUACAUACUAAACAUAUCAUCAUAACGUAGUGGACUACAUGUCAGAGAUCAGAUGACACCCAAAGGUGACCAGAUGACACCCGAAGGUGACCAGACCAGAUGACACCCGAAGGUGACCACUGUGGGAUGAUCAGUCGCCACAGGCUGAUGCCUCUCUCACCAGCUAGGUUUACAGAAUACUAUGUGCACAUAGGCUAACUACUCUCCGUUAGCAUGGAGUUACUGACAAGUCCCAUAUCAAGGCAUAAUAGAUAUUCACAUAAUCAUCAAAGAAACGUAUAUCAUAUCAAAUAGAAUUUACUUUGACAGAUUGCGAGUGCAAAUUCAAGAAUAAAUGAGUACUCGGAAAAUAAGCAACAUAUAUAAUUAUUCAAGAAAUUAACGAGUUGUACUCAUUGUAUAAUCAACAUACAUAUUUACUUAUCAUAUAUGCAUAUUAAAGAUUAUCCCACUCACCCGAAAAAUAUAGAACUAAAGGAAUGUCAGACGAAAGACCCGAAAAUCCUAUUGAGGAUUGUUAGGAGAACCUACAACAAUAUGAAAAAUACUCAAAAGCAACUCAAACAAGAGAUCCCAAUGCAUAAAAUAAAAUCAGGUUUAUUCUCCUAAGUUUAUGGACUAAAACGACAAUUUUCCAAAACAGGGACCAAAACGUAAUUUUACCAAAAUUGGACCAAUCUGGAAAAUGCAUAACUAUACUGAAUUUUCACCCAUAAACCAUCCUUAAUUCUGUCUAGAACGAACCAGGGACCGAACUGUAAUUUUCAUAAAGUUCAGGGACUAAAAUGUAAAUUCCCGAAAUUGAGGGACCAAACUAAAAAUAUUCCAAAUCAAUUAUCAAACUCAGAUUCAUCAUCCUUAACCUCAUAAUAACACUGUCCAGAAUCUCAAGAUACAAUUAGGGGUCAAAUUAUAAUUUUCCCAAAGUUUAGGGACUAAACUGUAAUUUCACAAAUUGAGGGACCAAAUUGAAUUUUCGUCAUCUUCAACCUCAAACCCAGAAUUUCACAGAUUACCUACUGUCAUCUCCUGAUUUCUAACACAAUUUCACCAUUCAAAUAAAAUCAUAACUCAAAAUCAUCAUCUUUACCUCUAAUCUUUCACAAUCAACUAAUUAACCAAUUACCCACAACAAUCAACCCAUAACCUUCCAAUUAAUUCAUCAAUCAAACUCAAAACACAAUAUUCAAAACCCUAACAUUUAUCAAAACAGAACUUAAAGCUUAAAGAACACAUAUUUAUACAUAAUCUUACCUUUAAACUUAUUUCCUCCAAUUCUCUUCUCCUUUCCUUAUCUUUCCCUCUUUUCUCUUCUUCCUCCCCUUUUCUUCUCUUCUCCCGUCAGUUUUCACUCUUAAAACACAGCCCUCUUCUUCUAUUUUCUUUUCUAUUUAUAUUUAUCAACUCUUUGUUCAAUUACUACAAUACCCCUUAUUCAUUUAUACUCAUUUUUAGCCUUCAAGGGCUUUAUUGCCUUUUACCUACUCAUUAAAUUUCAAAACAUCACAAUCUCCCCACCUUAUAAAAGUUUCGUCCUCGAAACUUAAACUUUAAGAAACGAAGUCUUACCAUCAAGUUCAAACAAGAAUGGAUACUUGUUGAGCAUUUCCUCCUCAAGCUCCCACGUCGCUUCUUCACGUGGGUGUUCGCUCCACACAACCUUAACCGAUGUGAUAUCCUUCGACCGAAGUUUUCUAACUUGUCGAUCCACUAUUUUUAUUGGUUGAACUUCGUAUGUCAUAUCUUUCCUCAGCUCAACCGGUUGUACUUCCAGCACAUGAGAUGGAUCAGACAAAUACUUCCUCAACAUCGAAACAUGGAACACUGGAUGUAUAGAGGAGAGAUUAGGUGGUAAGGCAAGCCGAUAUGCCACUACCCCUACUCUUUCCAAGAUCUCAAAGGGCCCUAUAAACUUAGGACUCAACUUUCCUUUCUUCCCAAACCUGAAUAUCCCUUUAAUCGAGGAGACUUUUAGGAACACGUUGUCACCCACUGAAAAUUCUAGAUUACGCCUUCUCUUAUCCGCAUAAUUCUUUUGCCUACUCUGAGCUGUUUGAAGCUUAUCUCGGAUCACCUUAAUCUUAUCCGAAGUAAUCUGUAUUAACUCGGGACCCAUUAAUCUCCUCUCACCAACCUCAUACCAACAUACAGGUGAUCUACACUUCCGGCCAUACAAGGCCUCAUAUGGGGCCAUAUCAAUGCUCGCUUGAUAACUAUUAUUAUAUGCAAACUCCACCAAAGAUAAGUACUUGCUCCAUCCAACACCAAAGUCAAUCACAUAAGCUCUCAACAUAUCCUCUAAAAUUUGUAUAGUCCUCUCAGAUUGUCCAUCUGUCUGAGGAUGAAAAGCAGUACUUAACUGAACGUUAGUCCCCAAAGCUUCCUGAAACUUCACCCAAAACCGAGAAGUGAAUUGUGGACCUCUGUCGGACACAAUUGAGAUCGGCACACCAUGCAACCUUACGAUCUCGUUAACAUAGAUUUCUGCUAGUUUUGCAAACCCAUAUGUCACCUUUACUGGCAAGAAAUGAGCUGACUUGGUCAAACGAUCAACUAUUACCCAAACCGAAUCAUAACCCUCCUGACUCCGAGGCAAACCUGACACAAAAUCCAUAGUGAUCCUCUCCCAUUUCCAUUCAGGAAUUAACAAUGGCUGCAAAAGCCCUGGUGGUUUCUGAUGCUCACCUUUAACCCUCUGACAGGUCAAGCAUCGAGCUACAAACUCAGCAAUGUCCCUCUUCAUACCAUUCCACCAAUAACACUCUUUCAAGUCUCUAUACAUCUUGUUAGAACCAGGAUGUAUAGUAUAGGCAGUUUGAUGUGCUUCCGUCAUCACAUCUCUUUUCAAAUCAUCCACCUCAGGCACGCAUAACCUGGAACCAAAUCUCAACACACCAUCUUCAUGGAUAACAAAACCCGGAGCUCUCCCUAACUCCAACUCAUCUCGAAUCUUGCAAAGUCGCUCAUCCUUCAUUUGAGCUCCUUUAAUCCGGUCUACUAAGUCUGACUUAGCCUGAAAGUGAGCCAACAAUGCUCCCGAUUCACAAAUCUCAAAACUGACCCUCUCAUCUAACAAUCCGUGUAACUCUUUAAUCAAGGGUCUCCUCACCUCCUGAAUAUGAGCCAAACUACCCAUAGAUUUUCUGCUUAAGGCAUCGGCAACAACAGGGUGAUAUUGAAUCGUGCAAUCAUAAUCACUUAACAAUUCCAUCCACCUUCUCUGUCUCAAAUUCAGAUCCUUCUGCUGGAAGAUAUAUUGAAGACUCUUAUGAUCUGAAAAUAUCUCACAUGUCUCCCCAUACAAGUAGUGUCUCCAAAUCUUAAGGGCAAACACUACCGCAGCCAUCUCCAAAUCAUGUGUGGGGUAAUUUUGCUCGUGCUUCUUCAACUUUCUCGAGGCAUAAGCAAUCACAUUACCAUUCUGCAUCAAAACACAACCCAAACCAAUCCUGGAUGCAUCACAGUACACGGUAAAACCACCAGACCCUGAAGGUACUGUCAAAAUUGGAGCCGUAAUUAACCUUUCCUUCAACUCCAGGAAACUCUUCUCACAUUCUUCUGACCAUUGAAACUUGACACUUUUCUGUGUCAACUUCGUCAACGGAGCAGCGAUUCGGGAAAAAUUCUCCACGAAUCUCCUGUAGUAUCCUGCUAAACCCAGGAAACUCCUAAUCUCAGAUACCGUAACUGGUCUAGGCCACUGCUUAACUGCCUCCACUUUCUGUGGAUCAACCUCUAUCCCAUUUUUAGACACCACAUGUCCCAAAAACCCAAUACUCUCUAACCAAAACUCACUCUUCGAGAACUUUCCAUACAACUGAUGAUCUCGCAGAGUUUGAAGCACCAUUCUCAAAUGCUGCUCAUGCUCUUCUCUAGACCUCGAAUACACCAAAAUGUCAUCAAUGAACACAAUAACAAACUUAUCAAUAAACGGCCUAAAAACCCUGUUCAUCAUGUCCAUAAAAGCUGCAGGUGCAUUCGUUAACCCAAAAGACAACACUAGGAACUCGUAAUGCCCAUAACGAGUCCUAAAGGCAGUUUUAGGAAUAUCCUCAUUCCUAAUCCUCAACUGGUGAUACCCCGAUCGCAAAUCAAUCUUUGAGAAACAUUGAGCUCCUUGUAAUUGAUCAAAAAGAUCAUCAAUGCGAGGAAGUGGGUAUCUAUUCUUAACAGUGACCUUGUUCAACUGUCUAUAGUCUAUACACAUCCUCAUUGAUCCAUCCUUCUUCUUUACAAAUAAAACAGGUGCUCCCCACGGAGACACACUUGGACGAAUAAACCCCUUAUCUAACAAAUCUUGAAUCUGCUCCUUCAACUCUUUUAAUUCUGCUGGCGCCAUCCUGUAAGGUGCCAUAGAGAUUGGUUUUGUUCCUGAAACUAGAUCAAUACAGAACUCGAUUUCCCUAUUGGGAGGUAGUCCAGGUAAGUCAUCGGGAAAAACAUCGAUGAAUUCCUUAACUAUCGAAACUUGUUCCAUCCUCGGGACCUUCAUGUUCACAUCAUGCACAUAAGCCAAAAACCCUUGCAUACCCUUUCGUACCAUCCUUCUCGUGAUGGCCGAGAGAAUACUAGAUGGAGAUGAUAACCCAUCUCCAUGAAAAGCAAACUCCGUCUCCUCAUCAGGCUUGAAAAUCACUGUCUUAUUCCAACAAUCAACUGAGGCAUGGUGCCUUGAUAACCAAUUCAUACCUAGUAUCACAUCAAAACCUACUAUUUCUAAAAUUACCAAAUCGCCUAAUAGGUUUCUACCUUGCACUUGAACCUCACAAUCAACAUAAACAUAUUCCCCAAACAUAACGUCAUCCGAAGGGAUAGCUACACACAAAGGACUCUCUAACAAAAUAGGUUGUUUAGUAAACCUUAAAGCAAAAUAUGACGACACGAAAGAAUGAGUUGCCCCCGUGUCAAAUAACACUCUAGCCUCGAAGGAACAUAUUAAGAGUGUACCUGAGACAACAGUAUUGGAUGUCUGGGCAUCCUGCUGAGUAAUGGCAAAAACUCGUGCCUGUCUCUGACUUGUUGGCGCAAAACCUCUACCGCCUACUCCACGGCCCCGCUGGCCACGCCCACCAGCUCCACGACCACCCUGAAACACAGAAUGGCUAGCUGACUGAGUCUGAGUGGAAGAUGUAAUCGGUACAGAAGCACCAGGCUUGGACCACCGUUUGUUCGGACAAUCCCUUAACAAGUGAUCAGUCUGCCCGCAACCGAAACAAGCUCCUGUCUGCCUAUAACAGACUGUGCCAUAAUGCCUAGACCCACAAGACUGACAUUGAGGCCUCCCAUCUGAACCUUGUGGUGUUAACUGAACAGUACCUCGGCUCUGAGUCGGACCAGCUCCACUCAUGCUAUGUCUAUUGUUUCCUCUGAUAAUGGACCUCGACAAGAAAUUCCUUGACUGACUUAAUUGGCCCUGUCGGCCCCCAUGUCCCCUGCUAGGACCUGUAUCAGACCGCUGCUGAAAAGAGAACUGAUUUGCCACUUUGGGCCUCUUAACCGAACCCACUGAUAAUUCAUCCUCUAACUCUCGUGCCUCAAUAGCUCGGGCACGAUCCACUAUGGCCGAGUACGUCUUAAACUCAUGAGCCCCAAUAGCUUUGAAUAAGUAGCUAUUAAGACCUCGAACAAACCUCUUAAUCUUCCUCUCCUCAGUCGGUACCAAAUACCCGGCAAAUCUGGACAACCGUGUGAAUUCCACUUCAUACUCUGUCACACUCAAGUCACCCUGAACCAACUUUUCAAACUCAUAUGAUCUGGCUUCCCUCACACUUUCAGGUAGAAAACGUUCCAAAAACAUCUCAGAAAAUUCCUUCCACUCCAUCGGUGGCGAACUAACUGCCCUUUCACCCCUCUGAUAAUGGACCUCGACAAGAAAUUCCUUGACUGACUUAAUUGGCCCUGCCGGCCCCCAUGUCCCCUGCUAGGACCUGUAUCAGACCGCUGCUGAAAAGAGAACUGAUUUGCCACUUUGGGCCUCUUAACCGAACCCACUGAUAAUUCAUCCUCUAACUCUCGUGCCUCAAUAGCUCGGGCACGAUCCACUAUGGCUGAGUACGUCUUAAACUCAUGAGCCCCAAUAGCUUUGAAUAAGUAGCUAUUAAGACCUCGAACAAACCUCUUAAUCUUCCUCUCCUCAGUCGGUACCAAAUACCCAGCAAAUCUGGACAAUCGUGUGAAUUCCACUUCAUACUCUGUCACACUCAAGUCACCCUGAACCAACUUUUCAAACUCAUAUGAUCUGGCUUCCCUUACACUUUCAGGUAGAAAACGUUCCAAAAACAUCUCAGAAAAUUCCUUCCACUCCAUCGGUGGUGAACUAACUGCCCUUUCACCCCUCUUGGACUCAUACCAGUUCACAGCCACCUCUCCUUCUAGCCUGAAAGAUGCCAAAGUCACUGCACGAUGAUCCGUGCACCCCAUGGCCUCACACCUACGCCACACUGCAUCUAAAAACUGUUGUGGGUCCUCAGAGUUAUCAACACCCUUAAAAGUAGGAGGUGCCAGCUUAAGGAACUCUGACAAUGGUACUUUCACCCCAUGCACGGUAUGGGAAGUCGAAGAUGCAUUCUUAUCCUUCUCCUUCUCUCUCUCAGUUAAAAGGUCAGCCAGGGUCUGCAUGGCCUGUCCAAUCUUAUCCAAAGCACUGUCAGUAUAAGACACCCUAUCAUGGGAUUCCUGCUCCUGAUUCUUACCAACAUCCAGACCAUAGUCUCCCUCAAACUCCACCUCAUCCUGAACUUCUGCUUCCAUUGGUUGAGGCGAAGGGGUUCUAACCCUCUUUUUGCGCCUCUCCUUCCUAAGCUGAGCGAUAGGAAUGUCCUCUUGAUCAUUACCGACAUAUUCGGCAUUAACUACAUGCUUAGCUCUCGGCAUAUUUCCUAAAAGAAUGCAUUUACAUAUAUGUAUCAACAUAACUAUAAAGGAGUUUUAAGGAGGACACACCAAACACUAGAUUGGAGAAUUAUAAGAGGACUGACAUCAAGACAAGAUAGAUCCUAAGCUCCACAUAUUACGAGGGUUUUGAAAAAUAAAAAUGAAUAAAAUAGAUUACGAGGUUUUAAUAAAAACCGGGCUCUGAUACCACCUUUGUCACGACCCGAAUCCCGGGUCCAUGACCGGCAACGCAGGAGCGGUGCCGGAAGGACACCCCGCCCGCGCUAAGCCUCAAAACGGACAUAUCAAAAGAAUAAUUUAUUCAAAAAUACGCAGCAUUUCAUAAUCUUCAGAAAUCUUAUAUUAUUCAAAACUGAUGAAACCAAAAGAUAGUUUAAAACUCCUCAUCAGUAAUUAAAACAAAAACAAUAAUCCAUAAUACUCAUUACAUUGUCAAAAUCCAAACUUAAUCAAAACAAGGUAAUAGUGGAGCGCCUAAGACAUCGAAUCAAACAGCCUUGAAAGAUAAGCAAGGCAUACCGACUCAAAACUGAAGAAGCAGGAACACUCAACAAGGUUCACCUGCUAUCAGAAACUAAGAACCUGAAAUAAUAUUAAGAAUGAGGGGUGAGUUCAACCAACUCAGUGAGGGAAUAAUAAUUAAUAUACAUUUUAGAUAUUCUUGAUAUUUAUAGUUCGCAAGAUCAUUUAUCUUGAUAUACAUAUACAUAUACAUACUAAACUUAUCAUAUACAUAUCAUAUACAUACUAAACGUAUCAUCAUAACGUAGUGGACUAUAUGUCAGAGAUCAGAUAACACCCGAAGGUGACCAGAUGACACCCGAAGGUGACCAGACCAGAUGACACCCGAAGGUGACCACUGUGGGAUGAUCAGUCGCCACAGGCUGAUGCCUCUCUCACCAGCUAGGUAUACAUACAGAAUACUAUGUGCACACAGGCUAACUACUCUCCGUUAGCAUGGAGUUACUGACAAGUCCCAUAUCAAGGCAUAAUAGAUAUUCACAUAAUCAUCAAAGAAACGUAUAUCAUAUCAAAUAGGAUUUACUUUGACAGAUUGCGAGUGCAAAUUCAAGAAUAAAUGAGUACUCGGAAAAUAAGCAACAUAUAUAAUUAUUCAAGGAAUUAACGAGUUGUACUCAUUGUAUAAUCAACAUACAUAUUUACUUAUCAUAUAUGCAUAUUAAAGAUUAUUCCACUCACCCGGAAAAUAUAGAACUAAAAGGAAUGUCAGACGAAAGACCCGAAAAUCCUAUUGAGGAUCGUUAGGAGAACCUACAACAAUAUGAAAAUAUACUCAAAAGCAACUCAAACAAGAGAUCCCAAUGCAUAAAAUAAAACUAGGUUUAGUCUCCUAAGUUUAUGGACUAAAACGAUAAUUUUCCAAAACAGGGACCAAAACGUAAUUUUACCAAAAUUGGACCAAUCUGGAAAAUACAUAACUAUACUGAAUUUUCACCCAUAAACCAUCCUUAAUUCUGUCUAGAACGAACCAGGGACCGAACUGUAAUUUUCAUAAAGUUCAGGGACUAAAAUGUAAAUUCCCAAAAUUGAGGGACCAAACUGAAAAUAUUCCAAAUCAAUUAUCAAACUCAGAUUCAUCAUCCUUAACCUCAUAAUAACACUGUCCAGAAUCUCAAAAUACAAUUAGGGGUCAAAUUAUAAUUUUCCCAAAGUUUAGGGACUAAACUGUAAUUUCACAAAUUGAGGGACCAAAUUGAAUUUUCGUCAUCUUCAACCUCAAACCCAGAAUUUUACAGAUUACCUACUGUCAUCACCUGAUUUCUAACAUAAUUUCACCAUUCAAAUAAAAUCAUAACUCAAAAUCAUCAUAUUUACCUCCAAUCUCUCACAAUCAACUAAUUAACCAAUUACUCACAACAAUCAACCCAUAACCUUCCAAUUAAUUCAUCAAUCAAACUCAAAACACAAUAUUCAAAACCCUAAAAUUUAUCAAAACAGAAAUUAAGGCUUAAAGAACACACAUUUAUACAUAAUCUUACCUUUAAACUUAUUUCCUCCAACUCCUUUCCUUUUUCCCUUAUUUUCCCCUCUUUUCUCUUCUUCUUCUUUCUCCCUUCUCUCUCACGGUUUGCUCUCUCAAAUAUUCAGAUCUCUUCUUCUUUUUUUUUCUUUCUAUUUAUACUUAUCAUCUUUUUAUACAAUUACUACAAUACCCUUCAUUUAAUUAUACCAACUUUUAAGCCUCCAAGGGCUUUAUUGCCUUUUACCUACUCAUUAAAUUUCAAAACAUCACAAUAUUUUUGAUAUCAUCAUAUUAAAAUAAUAAAAAACAUAAAAAAAUUAAUUUAAAGGAAUUUUUUUAAAAAAAUUUCAAAAACACUUUUUAACUGCAAAAUAAGCAUUCUAUUAUAUCAGUGAUCUCUACUCAAAUUUUUAAUUAACAUAUUGCAAUUGUAAAUAAUUCAUUCAACUAACAUCAUAUUAGAGUUGAAUUUUACUACUAAUUAUUAGCAUUAAAACAUCCCGCGCUUUCGAAGCCAAGACAAAAAUUUGAAUUCAGACAGCGGCUCUCACUCAAUCACGCCCACUUUGCCAUCUGUCCUUGACCUUUCAGACACAACAAAAACCCCACCUUUCUUGGUGUCCUCUUAACUUGUUCUUCCCCUCCUUCUCUCCUUGUCCUAAAGACUCAAUCUUUAAUGGCUUCCCGCUACAAUUCAUACGAUUCAAGGUCCUCAACUUCCUCUUACUUCUCAGACCCAUCUUCAUCCACUGAGCUAAGCUACAAACACUCAACUUCACGCGCAAUAAUCAAGUCCAAACCAGCAUAUUUGUCAAAAAUCAAGGUAAAAAACGAUGGAAAUGAUCACAAUUUAAGCACAAUGGUGAAGAAAUUCAUGGAGAAGAAGUCAGUAUCUUCCACGUCGAGUAAAGGGUCAUCAAGUAAGGGUGUGGGGUUGGUGAUUCCAUCGGAUUUAAUAGCUGAGGACUUGAAAAAGACUGCAAGGAAAGGGACUGCUUUUAUGGGGCUGCAGAAGAAGUUAUUUGGGAAGGAAAAUAAGAAGGAGAUGAAGGGAGUGAAGGCGUUGACGGAGGCAAAAGUGAAUAGUAAUACAAGGACUUUAGCUAUGGUUUUGAAGAGUGAGAGAGAGCUUUUGAGUGCUAAUAAAGAACAAGAGUUGGAGAUUCAUAAGCUUAAGUUGAUGCUUGAAGACAAGAACAAGGAAGUAAGUGGAGUUCAAGUAAUGUUUUUGUUGAUUUUUUUUUCCUUUUUGGGUUUUGGUUUUUGUAUUUACUGGUGCUUUUGUUCUUUGGUUUGUAGGUUGAGAAGUUGAAAGAUUUGUGCUUGAAUCAAAGACAAGAGAUCAUGUCAUUAAAAAGUUCAAUACUUUUUCCUGAUACAAUGAAUUCUCAACUUCAAGAGUUACUGGAGCAGCAAGGAUCAGAAUUGAAGCAAGCCAAACAACUCAUUCCAACUCUUCAGAAGCAGGUCACUUCCCUUACAGGUCAAUUGCAAUACCUUGCAGAGGAUCUUGCUGAGGUAUUAACCUGAAAAGUUUUCCAUGUUUUAGUGAUUUUAAGUGUUUUCAUUCAAGUUCUACUAUUCUGAGUUGAUGUUUUGAAUUUUUUUUUUGUCAAUUGUGGUUUAAAUGAAACCUAAAGUUUUUGCAUGUACAAGUUCCCUGCUUUCUAGUGUAUGGGACAGUCUUAUGAAUGCAGACUUUGGUUGCAUAAAUGAGCAUUGAGGUUCUCCAGUAAUUCCUAUGCUAGCUCUAUGUGAUUUUCCAUCUUAAUUAGUAUAUUCAAUGUUAGUAUAAAAUCAGAUUCAUCUUGAGAUUGCUAGAAUCAAUGCUGUUCAAAUUGUAAGGUUCUUUAUUUAAUGUCUAGUAUAUCUCUUAAUAGAAUUAGAUUAUAGAUCAUUUUACAUGUUGAACAUUAUUGCAGCUAUUGUGUUUAUGCACGGUCAAUAGAUUGAUUUCGUUUUUUGGACAAAAGUUUUGAAUUUUGCACUGUUUUUCUCCUUUAUCUGCCACAUUUGUGUAGAUAAUAUCUUCAAAUUCAAACAAGGUGCUGCUUUAUGAUGGUAUUUGGGGUGUGCAGUUGUUAAUGAUUUUCUUCUUGAAAAGGUGAAGGCAGAUAAAUAUGCAAGGGCAUGCAUCCAAUAUCCUGGCAGCUCACCAGGAACACCAUCAUAUGACAAUGAAGAAACUGCCAAUUCCUUGGUAAGUGUGCCAUUUUCUUUUUCAGAUAUUAACUUAUAGUUGACAGAAUUCUCCUCCAAACAAGUUACUAUAGUUUUCAGAAUUCUCCUUAGUGUGUUGUAGUAUUAAGAUUAUAGGUCAUCAGUGUUCAUUUCCUAGCAAGGAGUCACAGUUUCCUUUAAUUAUUUAUUUGUUUAUUUUUUUAGAAUGAAGUUAUAAUUUGAUCAUUAACUUGAAACAUUGCUUUCAUCAUAAAUAGAAAAUCAAUAAUCUCAUCUGGACCUGCCUUCUAUCCACAUUUUCUCAUAUACAAAAGAAUGACUCUUAAUCCCAGAUAGAAGCAUCAGUGUUCAUUACACCAGGUGGGGUGGGUCUUCAUAUCUGUGGGGAGGAUACCGGCUGUACUCGAACUGACCUGGUUUAAAUCAAAUUUCAUUUUCAAAUUGUUCGAUCACUCUAUUAAACUUACAGUAAAAGAGUAGGAUAUUUUUGAAUUCUACUAUUUUCACCGUGAAGGCCAUUUGGAAAAAUUGUUGAAGUUUUCUUGUGGGUUAAGCACUGAAAUGUUGUGUACCGGAAAUGCCAUGAUCUGCUUCUAAGUUCUGCUUUACGAACUUUAUAUGCCUGUUGAUUCAAACUGUCUUUCCCUUAGCUCUUCUUCUUUGACAAACUGUCAAUAACAAUUCAGGAAUUUAGCUCUUGCGAUGGUGCAACCCCGGGUAGUCCAGAUGACAUGCUUCUCAAGGAUUUAAAUCCAUGUUUAACACCCUAUUGUGCCGAGAAAAAAUCCAAGGUCAGCAGACAAUGCUCCUUGACAAAAUCCAAUCCGAAAAUGUCUAUCCUAUGACAUGCACUCUAUGCAACCUUGUAAGGAAAAUACUGACAGAAUGGACAUUUCUUGUAGGAGUUUGAGACAAUGGGCUAUGAGUCUUCUCUUGACGCAAGCUUAUCUGAGAGCAAUACGCAAACUAGCAAUGAACUUAGCUUCAGCUCUCGUCUGAGGAAGUUAUCCAAUAGUUCAGACUUUUACCAGAACUCCAGCUCAGGAAGCACAAUGACCCGAUCAACUCGCAGGUCAGAUGAAAGCAAAGGAGCACACAGAAAGCAAACCCAACAAAGACAUUUCUAGCAUCCUACCGGUCAUUCUGUUCUCAUGGGGCAUAAAUGUAAUCAACUGAUGCUUUUUUUGUACUUUUUUUUUAAUGAUGAUUAUGGACUAUAGUAUUAUUGUUGCAAUAUCUCCUGGAUGUAAAUGUUGUUGUCUAAGCACUUGAAUAAGGGGUGCAAAGCCAUAUAUGUGAGUGGAAAAACAUGUUAUAGGAUAUGCUGUAGGGUUGUGCUAUGGUAUUAGUCUACAGCUAUUUUUGUUUAAAAAGUCAUGAGCUUGGAAAGGAAUAUUUUGGUAGCUCAAACUAUUUUCUUCGUUCUUGUACCAAAAUCUUGAAGUUAACCUUGCAAAACAAUGCUAUAAAAAGAAAACAAAGUUAAAUAGCAAUUGACGAAUUGAAAUAUAUUAUUAAACUUCAUAUGUGGGUUAAAACACUCUGAAGGCACAAGAAGAUUGUGAUUAUGGAUUUAGCCAAGCAUGUUAUCUAGCAAUGCUGCAUAAAAUCAAAUCUAUGACUUUUGACCUAAGAGCCUAAGUCAUGGUAAGAGAACACUGAAGGGACAUAUCAUUGUUGGCUGAGAGCCUGGGGAUUGAAUCCAGGAAUUGGAGUCGGCCACCAUGGGAGGACAAAUGGAAUGGCCUUCCUUUCACCUUGUUGAGCAUGAUGUGGGGGAGAUCUGCAUUGGAGAGUCAAUUGGGCAAUUAAUUAUUGCAAAUACUGAUAAUCUUACAUAAGAUCAGCAAUUAAUUAGUGCAAAUACAGUGUAGUUGGGGAAAACACACUUUACACCUCCCUGGUUUUUAUUUUUUUCUACCUGAAUAUGGUCAUGAUUUUUUUUUCUAAGGGUGGAAUUGGAUAUAUUAACAAAUCAAUUAAGAAAAUGAUUCAAAACAGAACAAAUGUCGAUUAAAAAAAUAAGAGCUAAAUUUGAAAACAAAUUAAAAAAAAUCGAAUUACCAAGGAUGAAUUUAAAAAUAAAAUCUAAUUAGAAAUAAUCAAUGUAAAUAAAAUAAUUACAAAUAACAAUAAGAGAAGAAGGACCAAAUCAAAAGAAAAAAAUAAAUUGAAGGGUUGAUAUUAUUUUUUGCAUAGCCAGCACACAAUUCGAGGAAGAAAGAGAAGGAAAAAAAAGAAGCAAUUUUAGGUCAAACCACAUCGAACUACAACACACGUGCCACCUAGAGAGAAAAAGGACGCCGAGACGAAUCAAAUAGUGCGGCGAAUUCACAGUUACAAUCACUGGAGCCAGUCGCACGAACCACCAGACAGCGACAAAGCGGCACGAACUGACAUACACGCGCCACCCAAAAAGAAAGAGGAUGCCGAGACGAAUCAAAUGAUGCAGCAGAUUCACGGUUACAAUCACCAGAGCCAGUCGUACGAACUACCAAAGGUGACAAAACGGCUGAUAAGUACGCAUGGGAGACACGCAUUAACAACUUUUUCAUUUUUUUAUUUGUAAAAAACCAAAAAUACCCUUAGAACUAAAUAAUAAUAACAAAAAAAAAAACCAUGGUGAAAUUACAACCAAGCCCCUGAAACCAAGGUUAGAAAAUUUAAAUAAUAAGGGUAAUGUAGUAAUUCUACUGAUCUAUCAAAUAAGAAAAUACAAAAAUGCCCUUGUUAUUUUAUUUAAGGGUUGCAUUAUAAAUUUUACUAUGCCUUACAAAAUACAAUUACUAAAAUAACCUUGCACGAUACACGAAAGACAUUUAUGGACUUGAAGGAUAUUGUUCAAUAUAUCACAGGCAUCAUCUCAAGUGAAGUCAGAUAAGAAGAUUUGGAAAGCGAGCAAAGACGAGAUUGAUUUAUAUUGUAAGAAAUUACAGCUUGAUAUUAGACAGAAUUCUAUUCCCAAGAGUGACAGUAACUAGAGAGCUAGCUAAUAUAUGGACGAGCAUGGCUCCCAACUUGGUGAAAGGGGAUUUCUAGCCCGAAGAAAUCCCAUCAGUAUGGGUGCAACAAGAUGUCCUUUCUGCAGUAGAUUUACUGAAUCAACAUCACACCUUCUCCUCCACUGUCAUUGCUCCUGGUAUUUUUGGUCUAGAGUAAUUCAACGGUACGGAGUUUCAACCAGAAUCUCUCAAAGUUUUCUACCGUCAAUGGCUAAGCUACAACUCAGGGAAGUUAGUUUUCUCUGCAACCUUGUGGACUGGCAAGAAAUAAUCUAGUGUUCAAUGGCGUGCAACCGAAUUGACCAUCUCCUUCUCAAUUAUAAAUGUAUAGAAUUUCAGUUUGGAUUCAAGCCAUACAAGAGAGUUUCACAUAUACAAUGUAUUCUUUGACUAAAGGAUCAUAAGGUAUUAAAUUGUGGACCAACCCUGCUAAGAAGCACAUGUUAACAUACAAGCUGAGUGAAAAGGCCUGAGAAGGCAUAGAAUACCUGAGAUGGGCAAAACAAAAAGGAAGGAAGGAGAACCACAGAGACAAAAUUUUAAUUAGCACCCACGAAAGACAAAACUAGACUAGCCUAAUCCCUAGAUACCACACGAACCACCAAGGAUAGCUAUUGAAAACAUGGUUACCCCUCCAGCAGGCAUCAUCUCCCCAACACAAACUCUGAUACUCAUCUCCAGCUACUUUCAGAACAGAAAACUGAAGCUAUAGAGCACAGAUCACAGAAUAGCAAGAAUAUGAACCAUAGAAACUUCCAUAAGACAGUCUCUGAAUACUUUCAAUCAUAUCCAUGCAAUAAAUUCUUCAACUCGAGAGACUCCUUGCUUAGCAAGACCAUUCGCAAAGUGGUUUGCCUCACCUAGGACAUGAGAGAAAAACACAGCACCCAAGGUCGAAGAGAAGCGAGCAGAAAGGAUGAACAGCUCAUGGAAAUAUGAAGGCCUAAAAGUUGGUUUGCUCAUUCAGCUUACAACAUUAGAAGAAUCAGACUCAAUAAUAAUUUUAUUGUUGGACAAAUCACCUCUCAAAGAUGAUAAUCUUAAUGCCUUUACCACCGCUAUCAACUCUGCUUUAUUGGAGUUUUUGACCCCAGCUGAAAUAGAAAAACGUCCAUAACCAUUCCCAUGUGAUCACGUAAGACUCCACCUAUACCUGCUGGACCCAAGUCCUCCAAAGGAGAAACCAUCAACAUUCCAUUUAACAGUAGAAAGCUCAGGAGCCGACCAUAAAAUAAGAGGCUGAGAUUUCUGACAAUUUGUCCACUAAUCAAGCCACCAGCAAAUAACAAAAGAUCAGUUGCACAAUAAGGAAAAUAUGAGAAUAAUACUUUAACCCGCACACAAAGCGUGGUAAGGAUUAAGAAGAAAAUACAAUCAAAAUCAUCAUUUUUUUUUAAUGGUUGAAGAGGAGAUCUUACGCAUAAGCCAAACAGACCACGAUAUUGCAAAAAAUAUCAUAGUCCAGACUUUUCUUUGAAAUGCUCCAUGUACCAAAAAUUCCCAUUAGUGAAACAAAUCAGAUAGACUACCAAGACAACACCAAGAGAGAGCCCCACCAGCCUAUAAAUUAAUUUUGACCAGAUACUACACUGCUUUUGGCAAUGAAUUAAAAGAUGGUCAACAAAUUCCUCAGCCAUUACAUUUCUUGUAGCUUCUAUGGUAGAUAGUUGAAAGUUAAAAAUGGGCAAGACUUUCAGAAAAGGAGGUCAUAGAUGAAGUGGUUUUUGGACUUAAGCCAUGCGUACUCAGCACGGGGGCUAUUUUUUAUUUUUUAUAGAAGUUUAAUUUACAUCUCUUAUGCACUAGUUUUUAUUCAGAUCACUAGUUCUUAGACAAAAGACAGCAAAAACAUGCUCUAAUGUUGGUAGAUCUCAUUCUCAAGGCGCGGCGUAAGAACAACUUCUAAUGGCGUUGCUUUCGGCAAAGUGAGUCCUAAGCCUUCACUCAUGUCAACUUGAGCAUUCAUUGGGGUGCUGAAAUUGAAGCCUUGAAGCAACCGGGAAAGCGUCAAGUGAAGCAUUUGCAAGCUAGAAGAAAUCCCAGGGCACAAUCUUCUCCCUGAACCAAAUGGAACAUACUCAAACUGCUGACCUCUAACAUCUGUUGAUCCAUGGCUCGUAAGGAACCUCUCAGGAUGGAACUCAUAUGGAUUUUCCCAUAUUCGCGCAUCUCGAUGAAGCUUCCACGCGUUAACUAGUAAUUGAGUGCCUCGAGGAACGAGAUAGCCAUCCACGUAGCAAUCUUCCAAGGACUCACGUGGUACCAAUAGGGGGCCAGGAGGGUAUAGUCUCAAGGUUUCCUUCACAAUGGCUUGAAGGUACACUAAGUUCUUGAUAUCUGAUUCUUCUACCCAUCUUGUUGUUCCUACAUGGACAUCAAUCUCUUUCUGUGCUCUUUUUAGCACUUCAGUAUGGUUAAGUAGAAGAGACAGUGCCCAUGUCAAGGUGACAGAAGUAGUAUCUGUGCCUGCUAAUAUAAGAUUCUGCAGAGCACAAACAAUAUCAGCAAUUAGAAAUGCAAUAAUGUUGACGAGGAUGUUAUACAGAAUGUUGUGAGUUCACUUACCAGCGCAGUUGCCUUGACAAUGGUUUCUCUUUUGUAUCCGAAGAUGGGAUCAUCACCUACUGCAAGAGAUUCUAACAUGACAUCCAUGAAGUCCUUCUCUUCUUUCCUCACCCUGCCCUCUUCCCUACGCUGAAGAUGUUCUACAAGCCAACCACUCACAACAUGGUCCAACUCCUUGGCGACACGCUUCAUAGAUUUCACAUGUCCUUGCAAAUCCAUCCAUUCAGUAAAAGGAAUCAAAUCAGAAAUUACUAAAACCCCACCCAAGUAAAAGAACUCUCUGACUAAUCUUCCAAAUGCUCCUGAAUCUUUGCCAAUACCACUACAAUAUCUCUUCCCCGCAAUUAGUCGAAACAUCACAUUCGCAACUACACAGGAAAACCAUUGACUCAUGUCCACCAACACGGAACCAUUGCUACAAGUCGUGUGCAAUUCCUUGAUACAUGUUUCUAUUUCCGAAACUCUCACAUGCUUGAGCAGCUCAAGCCUGCGGUUCGACAGAAGCUCUUGCGUUGCGAUCUUCCGCAUCUCAAGCCAGUAUUCUCCAUACGGAUGGAAUCCGAAGAAGGCAUCAUCAUAACCCAUGUAUUUUGAAGCAGCAAAACUCGGACGAUUUAGGAAUUUUCGGUCGUUGGUUUUGAAGCAUUCCUUCACAGAUUCCCAGCUACUAGUAACAAGCGUCCGUCUCAUGCCAAGCCUGAUUGAAAAAACUGGUCCAUGCUUAUCAGCCAGGUCUCCAAGAAUUCGGAAAAAUGGAAUUUGACUAUUGAGAAUCCUCAGAUGUCCUAUCAAAGGCCAUGCACCAGAGGGUUCAGGUGGUGGUAAGGUUUUGUUUCUUUUGUGACUGGUUGACAGUAUUCUCCAUAUGAUCAUGCAUAGAAGAACUAGCCCCGGAAAGAAACUUUCCAUUGCUAAAACUUUCAUUUUGGGUUGUGUGUGGAGAAAGAAGUGUCUUAGGUACAUGCCUGAUAAUUUGACACCUAUUUGUACAUGACAUGAAGCACAAGCAAUUGCAAGUUGACAGUAAAUAAUUUUUACAAUGCCAUCCGAUAAUCAAUGAUGCUGACAUUAACUUACAUCCAAUAAUUAUGAGGUUAAAUAAUUGGGUAAUGAGAUAAUAAUAAUUUAAAAUAAAACAAAUUAAAAUAAAUUAUAAAAUUUAAUUAAUAAUAAGUUUAUUGUUAAAUGAUUAAAUUUGAAAAAAAAAUCAAUCUAAAAAAAAUAUUAAAAAAAUAUUUCCAAACAAAAUUAUAAAAACAUCAUUGGCAGUCUCGUAAGAUCUUUCUAAACUUCAAUUACCUUAAAAUUCUAACAUGAGAUAUAAUAAUAUGUAAGGAGAUUCCUCAUAGAAUUUUAUCUCGAUCUAACAAUCGGUUGAUAAAUAUAAUUGAUACCGUAAAAUUGAAUAAUGUUUAACAAAAACAAAAAGCAAAAAAAAAAUAUUUGAUUAGGACGGAAUUAAGUGGAAUUUCUGAAACAAACUAAAAUUCUAAACAAGAUAAAAAAAUUUCUUAUUUGUUUGGUUUUUUAAAUUGAAACAAGAUAUACCAGAUAUUCUAUACCCAAAAAAAAAAAAUUAGCAACCUUGAUUUCAUGUACUAAAGGAAAGGUCUUCAUGAAUCAAGGGUCCUCAAUCUGUCCGAGUAAAAAUAAAUAUGGAAACAUAAGAGGUAACUUAACUGGUCAGGUCUUGAGUUUUCUUCUUAAUGGUCAUGAGUUCGAGUCUCCUUAGGGCCACUAGAAGCUUACAUGGUCGUUAAUUUCAGACAAUAAUUAAUUUUUACAAUGGCAUCCGAUAAUCAAUGAUGCUGCCAUUAACUUUAUGACAUCCAAUAAUUAUGAGGAUCAAUAAUUCUAAAUCCGUAACCCGGGUCAUGAGAUAAUAAUAACCCAAAAUAAAACAAAUUGAAACAAAUUACAAAACUCAAUCACCAAUAAAUUUAUUGUUGAAUGAUAAAAUUUUAAAAAAAAUUAUCUAAAAAAAAAACACAAUAAAUUAACAUUUCUGAACAAAAUCAUAAAAACAUCAUUGGCAGUCUCGUAAGAUCUUUCUAAACUUCGAUUACCCUAAAAUUCUAAAAUGAGAUAUAACAAUAUGUAAGGAGAUUCCUCGUAGAAUUUUAUCUCGAUCCAACAAUCGGUUGAUAAAUAUAAUUGAUAUCGUAAAAUUGGAUAGUAUUUAAAAAAACAAAAAGCAAAAAAAAAAAAUAUUUGAUCGGGAUGGAAUUAAGUGGAAUUUUGAAAGAAACUAAAAUUUUGAACGAGAUAAAAUUUGUUCUUAUUUGUUUGGUUUUUUUAAUUGAAACAAGAUAUUCCAGAUAUUCUGUACAAAAAAAAAAAUUAGCAACCUUGAUUUCAUAUACUAAAGGAAAGGUUUUUAUGGGAAACUUGAAAGGUAACUCAAUUGAUUAGAUCUUGAGUUUGCUUUUUAAUAAUCAUGAGUUCGAGUCUUUUAAGAAUCAUUAAAGAUUUAUAUAGUUGUUAAUUUCAGAACUUAUAAAAUUAAUAAACAUACGCACAAGCAUUCAAACUAAUAAAAAAAAAAUAUGGUGGUCUGUCUUUUCACAAGUCAUUGUAAUACAGUUUACCCCACAUGCAAGCGAGAGUGGAAGGUCCCCCCCCCCCCCCGAAAUUCAACAUUUCAAUAGGUUGCGUUUGAUUUUGGCAUGAAUUCAUCAGAUAUUUCCCCCUCCAAAUCUACAUAGAAUCUUAAAAAAAUCUUUCUUUAUACUGACGAAAUUACAUAAAAUAAAACAAAUCAAAACAAAUUACAAAACUCAAUCACCAAUAAAUUUAUUAUUGAAUGAUAAAAUUUUAAAAAAAAUUAUCUAAAAAAAACACAAUAAAUUAACAUUUCUGAACAAAAUCAUAAAAACAUCAUUGGCAGUCUCGUAAGAUCUUUCUCUUCGAUUACCCUAAAAUUCUAAAAUGAGAUAUAACAAUAUGCAAGGAUAUUCCUCGUAGAAUUUUAUCUCGAUCCAACAAUCGGUUGAUAAAUAUAAUUGAUAUCGUAAAAUUGGAUAGUAUUUAAAAAAACAAAAAGCAAAAAAAAAAUAUUUGAUCGGGAUGGAAUUAAGUGGAAUUUUGAAAGAAACUAAAAUUUUGAACGAGAUAAAAUUUGUUCUUAUUUGUUUGGUUUUUUUAAUUGAAACAAGAUAUUCCAGAUAUUCUGUACAAAAAAAAAAAUUAGCAACCUUGAUUUCAUAUACUAAAGGAAAGGUCUUCAUGAAUCAAGAGUCCUCAAUCUGUCCGAGUAAAAAUAAAUAUGGGAAACUUGAAAGGUAACUUAAUUGGUUAGAUCUUGAGUUUGCUUUUUAAUAAUCAUGAGUUCGAGUCUUUUCAGAAUCAUUAGAGAUUUAUAUAGUUGUUAAUUUCAAAACUUGUAAAAUUAAUAAAUAUACGCACAAGCCGGCUAAACAUUCAAACUAAUAAAAAAUAAAAAAAAUAUGGUGGGCUGUCUUUUCACGGGUCAUUGUAAUACAGUUUACACCACAUGCAAGCGAGAGUGGAAGUUUUCAUCAUGGAGACAAGUGGCCCUCAACAUUUCAAUAGGUUGCGUUUGAUUUUGGCAUGAAUUCAUCAGAUAUUUCUACAUAGAAUCUUUAAAAAGUCUUUCUUUAUACUGACGAAAUUACAUAUGCAAAUCUACAUUUUGAUAAUUUUUCUCUUUAUUAUUUUUUUUUGUUUUUCAUUAUCCCAUGUUAUAAGGAGGUGUGGUUCCAUGUUGUAAGGAGGUGUAGCUAGUCGUCACCUACAUCCAUAUUCAUAAAUUGCAUGAUUAGUUCUUUACCUGUGAAGUUAGGCAUCAAUCAAUCCGAAAGAAUUAUUAAGAAAACAAAAAAGAAAGAAACAAUUUUUGCAUGAAGCAUGGAGCCAAAAGGCAUCAAUCAAUCCUCUCUCUCUCAAGAAAAUAUCUUCAAAUAGUGUAUAGAAGAGGUUGGAGCACUAGUAAAGUUGGGAAUUCUUAUAACGUUUAACUAAGCUUGGAAUGGAAAAUAAUCCUUCAGAGGAGGUCUCACAAAUCAAACCAAAUAGGGUGGUGUGUGUUUUGUGAUGAACAAGUCCUGGAUCUGCAUGAAGCAAGACCCAUUGCAUGAUAGAAUUGGUAAUUUGAUCCAUCAGGAUGUGACUGGGGUUUCUGUACCAAGAGCUUGUGAUCUUUAAGCUUAUUAAUCCCUUGUGCAGGUUCAUAAGAUCAAUGGCGUUGGAGGCAGGACACUACAAGCUAUAUAUAUAGUCUCCUUGUAAGAACUUCAAACUCCACGACGUUCAUUUGUUUUAUUGCUUGUUGCUUUCAAUCAAUUAGCUCUACUCAAUGAUUUUAACACAAAAAUCAUUACUGUUUAAGAGCUCUACAUGGACAAUCAAAUCCUAUAUUGCUUUUGGUCCUGUUCUAUGAGCAGCUUAUAAAUCAUGUUUAAAUCAAUGUCUGGUGAUUGAUGAGGUCACAGAUGAAACUAAGAUCAGAUAUUAUAUAGAAACACUAGAAAGACAGUACACUAUUACGCGUGAGCUACUGAAAACUCCAGAAAUGGAGAACUGUACAGAACUGGUGGAGAACAUAAUCUAUUCAUCAUUUUUCAUUUAAACAUUCUCAAAUGUUCUAACUUUGCGUUUAAAAAUAGUUAUGCCCUAACUCAUUACAUAGCUGCAGAUCUCCAUCAUAAACAUAAUCUCCAGUACCUUAGGCCUUCCCACCACUAGUAGCUGCUCUAAUUAUCUGAAAAGGAACUGCAGGCCACACAAAGGAAUGCAUUGAAGUUCAGCACUGAAUGCAUAGAUAUCAAACCUAGUUAUAACCAAUGCAGUAUAGAACACAAUUCUGAAACAGCAAGAUAAUGAUGUUGAAGUACCCUUAAGCAGUGACAGAUAAACUUUCAUCCACGGUAUCUCUCUAUUUUAGCAGGGAAUGGGGGAAGAGAGACUAAAAUCACCCACAGUAUCUCUCUAUUUCUCACUUAAGCAGUGACAGAUAAACUUUCACCUCCAAAAAUUGACUGCUUAAACUUUCACAAUAUGAAGACAGAAUCAGAGCAGAUGAUGACGGUAAAUGGAAUAUACAGAUAUAUGAAUUUUCAUGGGUGGAAAAUUGAGCAGAAAAUUUCAUAUCAAUAAUGCCCAACAAUGAGACAGACAGAAUUUAAAGAGUUCAACAUGCUAGAAAGAACAUACACGAUCCAAUUACAACAAAGACAAGGAAUCCAAGUAAUACUGGUCCAACUGGGUAGUCAUAUCCUUUCUUCGUUGAAGUUUCAUGGACAGAUCCUCUCCUGGUGAUGUUCUUCUGAAACUUAGCCACUUUCCUCUCUGAAAGGCGCUUUGAAGUUGUCUGUCAAAUCCAAAUGAAAAUCAAAACAGGUUUCUAAGAAUCCUAUCUAACCGGGCGAAGACACAAGUGAAUAGACUAACAAAAAUAUCAUAUCAAAACUUUGACCAUCAGGCCGCAAUCAAUCGGCAAACCAGGGCAAACAAAACUGCAAAACUUGCCAAAAUUCCACUAAGAGAUCAACAUUUUUGCUGCAAUGCUCACCAAUGAAACUGCGAAACUAAAGUCAAAAUUAAGCAUUUACCAUUAACACCAACACUUUAGUUCUGUGACACAAUUGAUAUGAGCAAUAUCCAUUUCUAAAUAUCCCUUUACAUUUCCAUUUUCACGUCUUUCUUUUCUCCCAUUUGAAACUCUGUUCAGAGAGAGAAAAAAGUUGUUCAAGGGAAAAAAUAAUAUAUAUAUAAAAACACUGGACAAGUUUUAGCAAAAAGCAAAAUGAUCCACUAAAAUCAAACAUUUAUUCAAGAUUCAACAAAAGAAGCCUCUUUUCACAUUUUAGACCCAGCAUAUCAACUAAACUGAAACAUAAGAACUGAUAGACCCAAAAACAUGCACAAGUACAAUGUAGAGCAGUAAACUACAACAACAACAAAAACCCUUAACUGUUCAAUAAAAACAAUAGGAAAGAAAACCUAACGGGAGAGAUGUAAGUACCAUUGUUCUCAUAACCCAUUUUUGGUAACUCCCAAAUUUUUUUCCUUUUCCUCAAAAAAAAAAAAAAAAAACUGCACGGUGCCGUUUUGAACUGCACGGUGCCGUUUUGAACGGCACGGUGCAUCUUCUUCUCCCCUGCAAAUGCAGAGACAGGGGAGAAGAAGAUUUUUGAAAUCUUUUUCCCGCUCACCCUUUCCUUCUCUACCUCCCCACUUGUCUAACUACUUACACAACCCAUACCCUCAUUAAUGGAGAAACAGGAGAUCCAUGCCCCGGCCACCAUGCCCUGUGCUUGUACAGGGUAUGGUGAACCUCUCCUCCUCUGCCUAUAAAUACCCGAGGAGGGGGUGCCGAAGGAAAGGUGGGGAGAAAAAAAAGGAAAGAGCAGGGGAAGACAGGCAAGCUGCAGAAACCAAAAAAAAAAGAGAAACCAGAGGGGGCAAAACUUUUGAGAAACGAACUUGAAGAAGAACAAAAUAGAGAAGGGAGGAACAAAUUUGAGAAAGGAGACAGUGGAGGUUUACAAAGAAGCAGAAACAGAGGGGAGAGUUUUUGUUUGAGAGGAGAGGAGCUCGGGCAAAACAGAAGAAAAGGGAAAAGGAGGGGAAACCGAGAGAGAGAGAGACAGAGAAUUGUUUGGAGAGAAACAAGGUGACAGAAACAGAGAGAAGAAGCAGCGACAGAAGAGAAGAGGAAGAGCGACCACAGCCGGCUGCCGCGACACCAACGCCACCAGGAGCACAAACACAGCAGCACUGCCCACGCCAUAGUCAGCCUUCCUCAGCUCAUCAUCUUCCUCCCACCCGUUGCUGCACCAUUGAAGAAAAGGCAGCAACCUGCGCCUCUGCACGGGGAAGAAGAAGAAGAAAACCGCUGCUGUCAUCGGGCUUCCCAGCCACUGCCACCUUCAUAAUCACCGUGAGGCAUCGUCGGAUUCCUCUCCACAUCCACCAGCAUCACCGCCAGCUGCCAUUGCCCUCCCAGUCGACAACAGCCCCGUGAGAAGCAGAAGGAAGAAACGGAAACAGAGGCGAACAGAGCUGAAGAAAAACGCAGAGGAGAAGAGGAAGAAAGGCCGACCACCGUCCAAGACACUCCCCAGGCCGCCACCACCAGCAUCUCCACGAAGCCGCUGCAGAGAGAGAAGAACGUUGUUGACAGAGGGAGCAAAGGAAACAGAGAAAAAAAAGCAGCGCCGAAACAGCAGGGAGGAGGAAGAAGGCCGCAGCAACACCACUGCCAAAUCGGCCACCAGCACCACCGUCAGCCCAUCUAUCCAGGCUCAUCAUCCCAGGUAAUUCUUCCACUUAUCACCUUCGGCUGUUCAUCUUCUUGCAUGCAGAACGUGCACUGUGCACGUUCUGCAAGCAAGAAAUUAAUUAGCUGGUUACUGCGCAGGUGCACAGUAACCGGCUAAUUAAUUAACUCUGUGCACAGUAACCAGUCUAUGUUCAUUUCGGGCUGGAACAUCAGCCCAGCCCAUGCGGCUGGGCUGAGGCCAGCCCUGUAGAAAGUAGGCCCGUUUUAUUUUCGGCCGAUUUCAGCCCAGUUUUUUUUUGGGCCGGGUCCUGUCCAGUAAAAAAAAUUCAAAAUUCCAAAAAAAACCUUUCAAAAAUCUGUGAUUUUCCGCAAUUUCAUUGCUACAUUUUGAUCAAUAUCGGUUUGUAUUUUUAUACUGUAAAGAUAUAAAUCCGGUAUUAAAAUAUCUGGUUUUCGUCAAGUCUUCAAAAAAAAAGUGUUUUGUUUUCAUGCAUACAGUCAAGUCUCUCAAAGAAAAAAUUACAUCAUAUUUUCAUAUAAUGAAGAAAACUUCAAAAAAAAAUGAAAUAUUCACUUGCAAAUAUUUCAAGAAAGAAAUUAGGGUACUAGGAUUUUAUUUUAGAUACCUUUCAUUAUGAUGAUGGUAACAAAUUCUUCAUGAGUUUGGAAAGAAAUCCAAUCCUGAUUCGUUUCUUUAUAUAAAAAUAAUUAAUAACUUAGUAAGUAAGAUUGUUUGAAUGCUUUUCUGAUUUUCUGUGUUUGUUGAAGUAAAGUAUUUUACAUAAAAAUUGAUCAAUUUAAAUUAAAUUUUUAUUUUUUUAUAUAUUUAUUGAAGUUUAGCAUUAUUCUCCUUGAAAAACUCAUUGUUUGCUUGGAUUAUCUAACUAAAAUAAUAGGAAAAAAAAAAUAAUGUCAAACAAAGUUCUUUGAGACAGUUUAAAAUUAUAAUAAUAAUUUAAAAUAUUUUUUAUUUAAAAAUAUAUUAAAAUAAUAUUUUUUUAUUUUUUAAAAAAUAUCUUUAAUACCAGCACAUUAAAAUCAAUUAAAAUUAUAAAAAAAAAUAACUUCAAGUAAAAAAAAUUAAAAUUUAAAAAAACUGCAUUACAUUCGGAAGGCAACCCAAAUGAACCGCAGAUUAAAGAAAUUAAAUGCUCAAAUGAACUCCUACAUCAUCAUCAUCAUCCAUCAAAAUAGAGCGAGGAAAAUAUAAAAAAUUCUGCUUUGAUUCCUUUAAACUUGUAUUUGUUGCUGAUACAUGAGAAAUUAUUUUUUGUUUUGAAUUAUACAAAAAAUGAGAACAAUGCUCAACCAAGGCAUGUACAUGAACUGAGGAGAACAUUAUUUGGACACAGAUGACAAAGGUGUACAGAUUACAUCAUCUACCAAAAAGGCUUUAGUAUGAAACAUAUACAUGAGUUAGGAGGGUACAAAAAACAAAUCUGUUUACUUUAUCAAAAUUGGAGUGAGUUGCUAAAGGAAAUCCCGCAUAAAUAUUCUGCCAGCAGUGACUGGUGUUGUAAUCGAGAUCACGCCUGUAACCUUGGAUAGCUCAGCCCAAGGAUGAUAACCACAUGGAAAUUGCAACUAGUUGUGUCUGUAGAAAAAGAAGAGACUGGAAAGUGUUCACCAAUUAUGCAAUUGUGCAGUUACGCUCUUUACCAUAGGGUGAUAUUCUGUAUGCAUGUGCCUUUUAGCUUUUUCGGAACCAGGUUUUUCAAGCCACUCGUCAUAUAAGGAUUUAACAAGAAGAUUCUCGAAAGGAUCUUUGAUCAAAACCUGCAUAUCCAAAAAAAACAAAAGCAUAGUUAUGGGAAGAUAAAAUGACUGUAAAACAAGCACACUAUACACAGAGUACAGGCAAAACAUGUACAUGAAAUAAUCCCAUUCAAGUUACCCUUUUCUGGGGAAGGGGGGUAACCAUCACUGUUUUUAGUGUAUCCAAGACAGUUUGUCCCAACCAUCAAAAUAAAGACUGCACUCCUAAUGUAAUUACCCACAGACCAUCAGCUUUCUACGUCACUAUGGUAUUCUACUAUGCUCAGCAAUCUCCAAUGAGAUCUUGCAUGACAAAAGAUAAUCUAAGACACCGCCAAAAAUGUCAAGACUUAGAAGAGGAUAGCAGAAUUCAAAUCCCUGAAUAGGUCAGGUUUUAUAUCUGCCUUUGAGAAUAGUUGUGAUGGUAAAAGUAUCUCAGAAGCAGAGAUACAUCAGGUCGAGAGUUGUAAGUAGUAAGCUGAAAGUUGCAAAUGGUAACAUGUUUGAUCAUACAUAAUGCCAAAACUAUUUAACAAUACCCUCUAGAUUGGAAGAAAAAAAAAGGCAUACAAAACCAUCUGCAAUGUUAGUGAAACUCACAUUUUCCAUAUAAAUAGUUUCUAAUGACUGAAGCAGCUCUUUUGGAGAUUGUUGUGGCUUUGGCUUGAUUUGACCACCGCCAUUCAGGCAUCCUAUUUAAUCAUAAAGCCUAGUUAGUAACGCAUGUGUCAAAUUUCGAGUGAAAACCAAAUACCAAUUAGAUUAAACUGAAAGCACCAAUCAAGUGAAAGUAAAAAUUGAAAGGGAAAGAAAGAAACCGGAUGGGCACGCCAUAACUUCCACAAAGUGAUAAUCACAUUUUCCUAUUUUGACUUUUCUCACAAUAUUUUGUAGGUUUUGAAAGCCAUAACAAAGAGCAAAUUUCAGUACAACUUUUCCAUCCACCUACAUUAAUGAGAGAUAUCACAUUAGAAGCAAGAACCAGGUGUUAAAGUAUGUGCACAGAAUUACCAAGUAUAUGUGAUUAAGCCUUAAGGUACCCAUCUAAGUUAAACAAGACAUAGAAAGUUAAUAACAGCAUGUUUUUUUUCUUUAUUCUUUUUCUUCGUUUUGUUUUGUUUUUGGACUCUUUAGCAGUUAACGUUGGCGAAUGUUGCAGUAUGAUUAGAGUUUUAACAUACAACUGCUAGGAGAAGGCAUAUGAAUAAGAUGUGUGAAUUGUACUAGGAUUUAGGUUGCAAAAUUCUUAUCUACCACAGGCAAUUUGUAUAGGGCUAAGAUUUAUAGUUUAUGUGAAACUUGGUCUCUAUAACAUUAUAAAUAGGUUAUCUAUAAGUUAAAAAAAGAGUCAACCCUAUAUAUACAUUUUUUUACAAGCUUAUCGCCAUUUACAUCUUUCCUUUACAGCUUUCAUUUAUCUUUAUUGCUUUCGUUUUUUACUUAGUUUAUAAAAACUUCUUCAUUAUAAACUUUCACCUCUUAACUUUCUUGAAUAUGGUGCAUUUCUAAAACCCAUGAUGCAUCAAGAAACUGUAUCAAAAUUGGAGAGCAUGAUGACUUCUUACAAGAAAUGUGCCAGAUUAAAGAGAGCAUAACUUACUUCCAAAGUCACUUCACGGAAAUCCAUGUUUCGAAGACUUUUGAAGGCCAAAGGGCCUUCGAUUUCUCUUCCAUAUAGCAUUCUAGCAGCAUUCCGAAACACUGUAUCAGCAUAACCACCAGAACUUCCAGCUACUCCAUAGAGAUAACCUUCUUCACUAACAUUUGUCAACCUGUAGAACAAUCACCACAUAUUCCUUUUAUAUCAACAGCUCAACCACAGAUGGAUGGAGUGUCAAAAAAUAAAAAGAAUGUAGUUCACAGGACAAUUGAGAUUUCUUACAUUUUAUCUAGAGGAGAGUCGUCUAAGGUUUCAAAAUCAACUGCUUUGAACUGCAAUUUGAACCCAAGAAAAAGAAGAAAGAAUAAACACUAGUCACCAAUUACUGUUUAUCAAUGUGCUGGAUAAUAAGGGGGGUGAAAAAAAAAAAAAGAGGCAACAAAGCUAACAUAAACUGCCAGAAUUGGGAAUCUCAAUCUCACCUUUAUCAAAUCUAAGACUUCUCCAGUUGUCAAAACUGAAUCAACCUCUGCAAUCCUGAGACCAUUUUUAUUUGCAUCUUCUUGUUCCACUUCAAAAACAAAGUCGUCCCUUACAGCCUCAAGCUUCUUAUCAUAACAUGGCAUCACGGUCACAUGGUAAACCUCAUCAGGCCUAUCAAAUAAAUUUUCACCAAUUACAUAUUAAAAAAUGCAGGAAAUUGGAAAAGUAACUCAUUUUUUCUUCAUUCUUCAAAACUCUAAUAACAGACUACAAGGCCCUGUGAACUAUAAUUAGUCUUUGGUCAGUACAGGUUUUACUUUAAAUGUUGAGGGUGUGAAUUCAGAUGCAGUGAAGGCACUGUUACUUUAAUAUGUUUUCACAUCAUCUUUAUUGAUUUAUUCAGGGGCACAGAAGAGGUGUAGGGGUUGACUAAAGAGGAGUGAAGGAGAUUGGUCCCCUAGUAUGCACAAAAGAAGACCAAGAAUGUGGAAUCAAAUGGUAUUAUCAUGACUACUGAUCUUAAAUCCUGCGUAUAACUAUUAUGAGGUACUUGAAGAUAUAGGUUUCCUCAUGAAAUAGCAUCAAUUAUUCCAAUGUUAAUGCUUAGAAGAUACAAAAUCUCUUACUGACCUAUAAUUCCUAAAAAGCUAUGCUUUGCAAAAAAAAAAAAAGAUCAAGCAAGAAUAGAAAAGCAUUAAACUGGAUGAUUACCUGAGGCCCAUUUUUUGGCAAAUGUGAUGCUUGAUGGUAGCUCCAAUUGUUUGUUGUGGGCUCUUCACAGAAGAUAUAAAAGGCAGAACGUAGGAUCCUAGUUGCUUUUCAGCAUAGCAUAUCCAACCUGCAGUUACAAAAGAAUUAAUAAAAAUAUCAGUGAUUAUGAAUCAGACAAUCCCUCCUAUCAUGUCCCCAACAUUCCACAGCCCUGUACAUAACCACAGAUAAUUACAGAUUAUGCUAUCGUAAACAUUCCUGAUAUAGUUUCAUAUGUUGGCAAGUAGUUCUAUCUUUUUUUUUAUUCUCUUCUUAUUCUUGUUUCCUCUUUCUUUUCUUGGUGAAGGUGAGAGCAUCAAUUUCUGUAUAUUAAGCUAAGAAAUUAACCUGGACAUGCUGAAGAAAGCAUGGGUAAGGCUGAAUUAGAUUUUUCAUUGUUGUUCAACUGGCUCUGUUUGUACCGAUUAACAAACUCGUUACAAGUCUCUAUAAGUGUUAAGUCCCUGCUUGAACUUGUAUCAAAUACAGCUUUCACUCCCAAAGACUUAAAAAAUGUCGUGAGUUUCUUAAAAACCUGCAAAAUCAAAAUAACUUGAGCCAUUAUAAUCUUGCACAAACAAAACACUAUAUAUUAUCUUAUUGCGCAUCCUUUCAAAUAAAACCCAGAGACCACCUGAAGGGGAGAGAUGCCAAAAUAAACCGCAAGAGAAGCUCUCGACUGUGGAGACAACGAAACAAUUAUAGCUUUCCCUUUAUCAAUAUUGGAUAGGAAAUCAUCCAAACUUUGCUUCUCAAGCAUAACUGUCUCCGCUGAUGUUAUGCAUCCACUGCAAUAUCACAACAAACCAUAAAUCCUAAACCUCUACUCAAUCACUAAAAAACUAACAGCAAAAACAUCUUUUAACCCUAAGCAACACAAAAUUUCCAAAUUUCCACUAAUCCCAACAUGUUAUCUUCAGUUCUUUGCUGAUACUUAAAAUAUCUAUUAAAUCAUUCAUACCUAACCCCCACCUAUCACCCACUAACUAGCAGCAAAAACAUAUUCUAAACAAUAAAUAUCGCAAUUUUCCAAAAUCUCAUUAAUGAUCUUCUUUCACCUUCAUUAUUAACAAAAUAUUCACAUCUUCAUUAAUAACCAAGUAUCUCUAAUUUAAAUCAUAAAUAUCAAAACCCCAAAUUCCCAACUAACUAUCAAUAAGUACAAAUUUUAAACCCUAAACAUCAAAAAAUUUCCACACUCCAAUUAAUCCCAUAUUUCAUUUUCCCUUUAUUAACAUCCCAAUAUUUCCAAGAUUCAAUAAAACCAUAUUUUGUUUUAAUUUUAUUUACAACAAACACCAAUGAAAAAAAAAUAGCCAAUAAAAAAGUAGAAAAAUAAAACCUGCAAGCCAAACAGUCCUUAAGCGAAAUUUUAACAGGGUCAGUUUGCUCCUUAUUAGCAAUAGCAACCUUCAAAAAAAAAACCCAAAAAACAAAAAUCAAUAAUUUCACUAAAUAAUCCCAGUUUUUUUCACAAAGUUGAAAACUUUAAGCAAAAUAAAAACUAAUUAGCUAAAAAUAAACCCAAGAGUUUGAAGAAGUUACAGAAAUACCUCAUGUUUGUCGCGUUUUACAGUGUUAGGAGCUGUCGUUUUGAGGCCUUUCAAAGACACAACACAAGCUUGAGAAGGAGCUAUAAAGUCACUCAGAUCCCCAAUUCUCAACGUCGGUGAGAAUUUCUCCGACAUGCCGUUUAUCAAUUUAGGGUUUUUGAUAAUCCCGAGAGAGAAAUCGAAGAUCAAACUGAGAGAUUCCGCUUAGGGUUUUUCAGAGAGAGAGAGAGAGAGAUGCUAAUGAGACCUGUCGGUGUAGCUGUCUGUUAUUUUUGUUCUUAAGAAGAGAGAAGUGUUAUGAUGCGGGCGGUUGUAGAAUGUAGAGUUAGGGAGGUUGGUCGCGAACAGGAUGUGAGAGUUGUGUGGAAAAGGAAAGUCAAUGAUCCUACGUGUUCAUGGUUGUUGAAUAUUUGUCUCCAUGCACGUGCCCACCACAGGCCUUGUAGAAUAUUCAAUUUUUUUAUUUUUUUCCUUGUUUUAGAUUCUAGCUUGUACAAAAAGGGAAACUUUACUAUGGCAUAUUACUUUUCUUUUAUCCAUUGUGAUAUGCGUUCAGUUUUUACUGUGUUAUAUAGUGUUUUUUUUUUAAUUUCUGAGGUAUUUAAAUUAUUUUAUUGUUUAUUAAAAUAUUAAAUAGAUAAAAAUAUAUUUAAAUAAAUUAAUAAUGAUUAAUAUAUUAUGUAAAAAUAUCAAAAUAUCCCUAAUUUAAAGACAACUAAAUUUUUUAGCCAAGAUUAUAGACAUAACAUCAUUAUUAGAGUGAAUAGUAAUAUGUGUUUAUGGGUACAGAGAAAUCAUCUUCUCUUUUAGUAAAUUUAUUAGCCAUUUAAAUUGCGCUUCACAAUUUUUUUAAAAAAAUAUCAGUUAUAUAGACUGCUUCAAUAUAUUUUUUAUCAUAAAAAAUUUAGAGUAUAAAUUGAAAAGCCUAUGCAAAUAUUUCAUUAAAUAAAUUAAUAAUCAUUUAUGUAAAUAAACAGAGGAAAAUAGUUAACAAUAACUAAAAAAGCAAUUGAUAAAAUUAAGAGAUGUAAAUCAAGAUAUUCAACCACAUGAAAUGAGAUAUUCACCUAAUUAUAUUUACUGAAUUUGUUUAUUAAAAUCAAUAAAAGAUAAAUCCUUAACCUAAAAAAAUCAUGACUUAAAAGAUAAAUAAAAAUAAAACUGACAAAUAAACUCAUGCCAAAAAAAUAUUAUGUAAGGCCAAACACAUCAGCAAUAUUAUUUAAAAAUAAAUAUUUUUAUUUUUAAAAAUAAACUUCAUUUGUAUAAAACCCAAAAAAAUUUAUAAAUGAAUUAGCAAAACACCUUGAAAAAUAAAUUAAAAAUAAAUAUAAAAAAGAAAUAUAAAAAUGCAGAGCGAUAAGAUUGUAUGAAGUCGAAUCUCUAAUAAAUCAAAUAUUAAAAGAUGAAAUUAAAAAAAAUUCAAUUACAAAAAAAAAUCUAAAAAAUAAGAGUGGAAAACAAACAUUAAUUAGUGGGCAACUAAAAAUUUGAUUUGAUAUGCACUCGGUAGCGGGUCAUAAUUUUUCUUUCUAAAAAAAAAAUUUGAGUAUACAGACUAUUUUGAUAUGUUUUUUUUACAUAAUAUAAAUUAUAAGUGUAAAUUGAAAAGUUUAUCCAAACAUCUAAUAAUUAACUAUGUAAAUAAAUAAAAAAUAUUUGUUAAUAAUAACUAAAAGAGAAAUUGAAAAAAAUAAGUGAUGAACGUAGAUCAAGAUAUUUGAUCUUGUAAAAUGAGAUAUUUAUCUAUUUGUGUCCACUAAAUUUAUUCAUUAAAAUCAAUAAAAGAUAAUAGAAAUAAAAACACAUAUGAAACAAAGUAAUAAAAUAAAAAUAAAAAAAUGUAUGGCCGAAUAUAUAAGAAAUAUUAUUUCAAAUAACUAUUUUUGUACAAAACAAAACCUACUUGUAUAAAGUAAAAUAAAAAAUAAGCAAAAAUUAAACACAAAACAAAACAGCUUUUUAAAAAAAAAAACUUUUAUCCAAAAACAACUUUCAAAACUCGUGGUUUGGAUAAUGAGACAAAAACAAAUUGAUAGAAAAGAAUAUGAAGGUAACCACAAAAUAAUUUUUUUAAAAACAAUAUAAAAUGAUAAAAUAGCAAAAUAUAAUGAGGAAAAAAUCUUAACCAUGUUAACACUUAAAACUUAUAACCUAUGUUAUUAAAUUGGAAACAUUACAAAUGAAAAAACUGAAUAAGGGUGACCAAAAUAAAAAAAAAAUUCAAGGGAAUUUAAAAAUUAAAUUGCAGGGUUAAAUCGAAAAGGAAAAAAAUUAACAAAAGGAAAAAAAUCAAAAUAAUGAAGGCUAAUUUGAAACAAAACAACAUAAACUUUGAUUUAAGGAUGAAAUUAAACACUAAUAAAGCUUUAGCAAAAGAUCCAAAGAUAAAAAUGACAAAUCAAAAGAAUAAGGACCGAAUUUGUGAAAAUAAUAUAUGAUAAAUUGUAAUUUAAGAACUAAAUUGAAAACAUAAAAAAAACCUUUUCUAAAAGGGUAAAGUACAAAAAUAAACAACAAAAAACAUAAGAACUGAAAUUGAAAAAAAAACAAAGGAAAGAACAAACAUGCACUUUAACCGGAAAAGAGAGAAAAGUAGGAAAAAAAAAAAAGAAACGAACCACCACCAACACACCAGAAGGGUGCAUCACGUGACGGCGCUUCCAGUGACACGACGAGAGGUCAUUUUCGAAUAAACAGUGGCAUCACACACGCCGUUGAAAGAGCACGGACGCCACCAAUGCGUUGAUGCAUGGAAAACACACACCACCAGCUUUUCAGAAUUUAAUAUUAAAAAUAAAUUUAAAAUUACUAAAAAACCCCCUUAUAAUCCUGGAAAUAACAAAUAAACCAAUGUGAAAUUACCAAAAUACCCCUGAAUGCAUAAAAGCUAUUUUAAAGUUUAUGCAAAGUAAAAAAAAAACUCCUUGAUUAACGUGUUUAAAUUUCAUUAAUCUUGAAGGUAGACGAGUUUUUACUUUACAAAAUAAUUUGCAAAGACAAUAAUACUCAUGUUUAAUUUUUUAAUGACCAUUAAAUCUGCAUAUAAAGAUCAAAAUACUCUAUAUCCCAAUCUUUCAACUUAUUUUUUAAUGACCAUUAAAUCUGCAUAAAAAGAUCAAACCACACGAUUUAGAGUUUGGGUUAAUUAUUAAUAUUUAUAUAUAUAAUGAUUUUUAAUAAGAAAGUUUUAGUAAAGUUUGGUGGAGGAUAAGGAUGUGAUUUUGUUAUUAUCAUAAUAGAACUCAUGGCCAGUUUGAUGUUUCCAUGUCCAAGAAAAGUAUAAUUAUUCAUGAAUUUUGGUCUCUCACAGGAAGUACAAAAUUGAAGACUUCAACAAUGAUUAUAAUGCUAGAGAUAGAGGAAGCUUGCCAAAGACACAAUCUGUAGAUGUAUCCACAGAACACACAGCAUUCAUUUAUUGUCAGCAUUGAAGUCACAAAUUAAAGCAUGCACUCUUUUUUUCACCAUCAUCUCAUAUCUAACAAAAGGCCACCAUAUUAUAGAACUUUCUGGUGGUGCAAUGACUAUAAACGGUAUCUCUGAGAAGCUACCACCUUGCCCCAUCCUUGCCCUUGUUGCCACCGUACAAGCGGAAGAGGCUGAAGGCGGAGAUACAAGACAAGACAACCAUGCUAACACUGACCAACAGCGCGCUUGCUAUUCCUUCACCAACCUGGUUACAGAAUUUUCCGUACAUGGUGCAUAUCUUCAUCCAUUGGAGAUCGGGCUGUCCCAACUUUGCAAACACUGACGAUUGUGCAGCAGCUGCCACUGCAGACAUAGUCAGGUAUGCCAUCAUCUGCACAAGUUAGUGUGGAAGAGUUAGGUGAUUGUUUCAAAAUGUUCUGAUCUCAUUGUUUUCCAUGGAUGGCAACAAGUGCACCAUCUAGUUCUUCUCAACUCAGCACGAAAAUCUCCCAAGUUAUUCAAGGAAUGUUAAAACCAUCAUCAAGCAUCAAAAUUAGCAAAUGAAAACCAAAUCAUUCUGAAUAUUUAUUCUGUUUCCACUCGCAUGAAUUUUAUACUUUAAAGAGCUUCAUAAGCAAAAUCGAUUCCUCCUUGACAAGCACUCCAAUUUCUUUAAAUCCAUUGAGGCAAUUUCACCAAAGAAAUCAGUACUAGUUUACUGCCAUUUUCUUUGUGUUUGCCUAUUUUACUGCUGGAAAACUCCAUCAUAUCUAAUUAAUACAUAAGUGGCCUUGUAAUUUAUCAGUACUACUCCAAGGACCCCUUUCAAGAUGGUAUUGAGUUGUCUCUGUAAACUCAGGAAUGCUGGAGUAAUCAAACUCCUACAAUAUUUAAGAGCCCUUCCGUACUUCAAAACAAAAUUAUUUUAUAUCUGAAUUCAGAAAAGCUGCCCGUCAGCAUUAGUUUGAGAUUCACAAGUGUUUCUCAUUCUCUAAAAGUCAAAGAUAUAUCAUUGAAUAAUGAAUCUGAUAGAAGCCUAGUAAUUAUUCAGAAAUUUAAUUUCCACCACCUAGUAUUCCAACUGCUGAAAGGUAUGGGUGCUGUUGGGGUAAUUGAUUCUGAAAUCCUCUCUGUUCCAUUCCUAUAUAGCUUGGCCUCACCAUUUUUUUUUUAAUUGAAUGCAUGUCAUGUGGUAGAUAUGAGUCCUCACCAAUUGUGUAUGGCAAACAACAUCCACCCCAUGAACUCAAUGCACUCAGCUCAAAUUUUCAUGUAGCACACACCUGGAAAACACGAUGACACAUGGCAUCUGUCGGUAUAGAACAGAAAGACCUAUAUUAAGGAAAUAGAGAGUGAUUUGAGCCUCACUUGGAACCACAAAUAUUCAUAGAUCCCAGUGACCCGCAUGCAUAAUUCACCAUUAUAACCAGUACUCAAUUAUCCUCCCUCACAAGGAAGGUUGGCAGGCUCAAUUGUCUUGCUCUGGUUGUAAAUUGACUAAACCAUACCAAACUAGCACUGACAUUCAAAACCUAAAAUCAGACCCUUUACCAAUUCAAAUCAUGUGAUACUUAAACAUGCAACAGAAAAUUAGCUAAACCAUACUGAACUAGUAAUGGCAUUUAAAUCCUAAAAUCAGACCCUUAUUAGCUGUUCAAAUCACGUGAUACCUAAAACCAUUAAGUCCAGCUUGAAUCCUUGACCAUACCAUUACAAAGGAGAAAUGAUUUCCUGCAGCAAGUUUUGAAAUGCCUUUCUUUAACAAUACAUGUGAUCUCCACCGAUCACUUCAUAAUUAACAAGUAUGGUGUCACACUGAAUGAACUUAGGUGGGAAACUGGGAGCCAUUACUGCUAGGAAUCAUUUUGGUGACAAGCCAUUCAAAGAAUAAUAAUCUACUCGUGCUCUGAUGUGGUUUCAGCUUUCCCAGAAAUUAAAUAUACUUCUUGCGCUUGACACCAACUGCCUUAUGCACACACUAAUUCUAAUUAACACAUUAAAUGCAAGCAUCUGCCUUAAAAAUAUUAACUCUUAAUAGUUAAGAGUAGUUUUGACAAAAUUUACUAAUCUAGGGCAAUUUUUUUUUUAAAAAAAAAAAAAUUAGUUAGACAAUUGUCUAACUGAACUAGUAAAUGGUAAUUGGUAGGGAUUGAAAUGAACAAGAAGAGCCCAGAGAAGGGCACAAAAUGGAUGAAGGCAUUAAUGUUUAUUUGUCAGGUUGGCCCCAAUAUAUCACUGGCUUAACUAAUCUGAAAACAACAUGAAACUGGGGCAAGAGUUAAGAACAUCCCAUAAGAAAGUAGAUAAUUGUGAGUAUAAACCACAAGUGAACAACACAAGAAAAUGUUUCUGACCUCUCAUGCAUGUUAUUAUUUAAAUUUCUAUCCUAAAUGCCACCAUACCCAAAAAGUAAAAAAAAAAAAUUAAAAAAAAAUCCAAUACCUGAUCACCAGAGAAAAUAACCCAAGCCAAGGGUUUGCUAAACAGAACACUUCCUUUAACCAUGCCCACAACACAGCGCACCCCUUGAACGAAUGAGUAGGCUGCUGCUAUCCCAUUAGCUGCCACCAAAAAGCUGCAUCAAAAUAAAACCAAACUUCAUAAACUCAUCAAGGAACAGAAAGAUUGAAUCUUUGGAACAAUUUUCGAAUAAAGUAAGAAAAUUUGGAACCAUUUUUGAAGGAAGAAAGAAGAUGAAACAGAAAGAAUGAAUCUUUGGAACCAUCUUUCAAUAAAGUAAGAGAAUUUGUAACCAUCUCUGAAAGAAAAUUGAGAGAGGGGUUGAUCAGAAUCUUACACAAGAGCUUUCAUGUCAGUGAAUCUUGCUUUCUUUUGAAUUGAAAAGAUUUCUUUAACUUGAGUAUCUGUACCAACAAGAACAGCAGCAAGAACUCCUAAACAACAGAUCACACACCUCAAAACCAACUCUGCUAGCCUCACUCUCCUAUCAAUAACCUUCGAGUUAGUGCCAUGAUACACCGGUACAUUCCCAGGACUAACACCAACACCUAAAUAACUCAUCCUUAUCUUUCUCAAAGAAGAAGAAGAGUUAACUAGAGACAACCUAAGAGAUAGUAUGCAACUUUCUGUAUGUAACUCUAGGCCCCCAGGCUCAACUCACCACACACAACAAGUAAAAAACUCCACUACCUUAAAUAGGCAGCAUCCCCUCAACAACAAUGCUGUGCAUGUUUCCUAUCUUGAAAAAAAUAAUAAAAAUAAAAAUAAAAAUCAUUGGUUUGUUUCGAAAAAAUUUAUGAUGAUCAAGCUUCCAUAAAUAUUGAUAGAUAUAGAUUGUAGAUUAAGUAUCAUGAAAUUUCUCAUUUAUUUAUACUCCAAAUGCAUGAUAAUGGACUUUGUGGACCUUUCAAUUUGGUGGGGUAUCUUGAAUAUUUUACCUCAUCGCAAUUAUAUCCUCACGGUUUAGAACCAAUCAUGUAAAAUCCAUGGAAGUCUUUAUAAUUUCUUUGAAAAAUAAAUUUUAUACUUUAUAGUCUAUAAAUUUAGAAAUUCUACAAGCUAUGUAAAUGUAAAGUUUGAAUUCAAUCCAUGUCUCCGAACUCAUGCUGUUACCACUUACGGUAGUCAUCAUGAGUUUUGCAUUUAGUAAGCUUUUUUACCAUUUAUAUUAUAUUGAUAGCUUGAAAUUUAAGGAAGGUAAAAGGAAAAAAAAUAAAAUUCCCAUGUUCAUAUGCUUAUCUAGACGUGGAUGAUAUAAAUAGACAAGAUUAACGCCUCCUUUGAUAUUUGAUAUUGUUUUCUAAUAAAAAGUGGUACUUUUUGAGAGAUAAAUUAAGAAAGUUUCAAGUAUUUAUUUAGAAAUGCAAGUAUGGUUGUAGCUGUACCCGUGUUUUCAAAUUAAAAAUAUUAUUUAAAUUUAUAAUUUUUUUAAAAAUAUAUUUUAAAAAUCAUUUGAAAAAUAGUAUAAUUUUAAUUGACACUUAAAUUAACCCGAAUAUACUCUGAUAAAAAAAAAAGAAUUAACUAUAAAAAACCGGUGGGAGAAUAGUUUGGUGCCAUGAACAUUUGGUGCAAUGCAAGUCCAUGAGAGUGCCAAAUGGUCAAACGCAGGAGCCGUGCAGAAACCAGUAGAAAGAGCAUUGAAACACAUUCAGGGCAGCAUUUAAGGCCGAUGUGAAGAGGAGGGAAAAUGCGAGAAGACUCCCUUUUUUCUGGGGAGAGGCAACAGUUGCUUGUCCCAAGGGAGAAGGGUCAGAUAGAUGGCGAGGCCCAUCUUUAAUCUCUCUGUAUAGAAGUAUUUAAUGAGGGAAGGGUUUAGGGUUCAUGGUAUGAUUUUAUGAUGGCCCAUUCCUUUGUUUUUCAGCAUGUAGCAGAAAGAGCAAAAUGGAUACUACUACUAGAAGUACACAUCUUUGCUCGUAAAAUAAUUAGUUAAACUAUGCUCAUCAAGAUGAUUAAACUAUGCAAUAAAGCCUUUCAAUAAAGUUAAACCUUCAUUAACGUAAGCUUAUAAGAUACACAAUUGCUCUAUAUAUAAAUGCACAUUAUGAUAGUAUUUAUGAAUCAAUUUCAUCAAAAAAAAAUUAGAUUAACGUAGGUAUCCGGAUCAGCUUGCGCGUACCUCGACUAAUCCCACGGGCCAUGAAGUUAAUAAUUAUAUAAGCCUUUAGUAGCCCUGAGGUUCGUGGAACUCGAACUAGUGACCUCUAGAAAACAAACCUAGAGCUUGACCAGUUGAGCUACACCUUGUCACUUCAUCAAUUUUAUUUGUUUACAUAAAGCAAAAACAGACAAGAUAUAUGUUUUCUUUACCUCUUACUUUAAAAAGAAUUAAAUUUAUUUUAAAGCUAUCUCAUAAAAUAUUUAUUUUAUAUAUCCAUCUCAAUCUAUUCAAUUAAACUCAUUUUAUACACGUAACUUGUGUAUUAAAACACUACAAACAUCAACUUGAAUCAAUUAGCAGGAUCGGUGUGAAUGGUUGUUGCAUUCUUUUUUCUUUUCUUUUUUUUAAUAAUUAAGGGCCAGAAUGGUGCCAGGGGUAACCCUGCUAGAUGAUAGCACCUACUCCAUUCCACUAGCAACAACUUCCACUCACAUCUCCAUGAAGUUUAUGGACUUUUAUAAUUGAUAAAAGACUUCUUGGAACCAGAUUUUAAUCACUGAUCUCCCACUUCUUGAAGUGCCACAACUAAAUCGAUAAAAAAUUAUACAAUUUACCAAAUUUGAGUAUAAUCUAUAGAAUUCCCAGAAAAAAAGCUUCGAAAUUUAUUCCCUAAAGACAUAAAAUUGUAGUCCCACUUGGCAAUAUAACUUUGCAGGACAUUGUUCUUUAGGAUGACUCGCUCAGAUCAAAUGGAUUUAUUUUUUCAGUUAUUUAUUCAAAAUUCAGCUUCAAUUUAAAAAAAUAAAAAAAAGAUUUUCUCAUUGCCAGUCAUUGCUAGUUCCGACAUGGAUGUUUUAAUAGUGUAUUUAAUAUUUAAAACAUUAAAUUAAUAGUUCUUUUAUUGUUUUUUAAUAAUUUUCAUGUACUGAAAUUAAAAUAAAAUAAAAAAUAAAAAAAUAUUAAAAAAAAAAUACUUUUAAAAAGGUAACAAAAAGACGGAUGACCUCUCCUGGGACGCGUGCUGAGCUAGAAGAUAUACAUUGAAUAUCUGUCUGCUGGAAGUCGAUGGAAGACAGUGGGAGGGUCUUUGUCACAUUGGCCAUACUUUCGGCUAAACUUGAGCUGCAAGAUAUACAUUUGUUGUCCUUCUAGGUCUUUCAAUUAUUUAUUUUUUGCAAUUUGAUCAUUGAACUUUAUUUCUUUUUAAUUCUAUCCUUACAAGCCAUGCUUACAUGACUUUAUGUGUUGCUAUUUAUUUUCAUCUGCAUGCUAUCUUUUAGAAACCGUUUGAGAACGCGGUGCAAACCAUUUUUUUAAAAAAUUCAAAUUUUUUUUGUUAAAAUUUAAUAUGGUUUGUAUGUUUUGGAUCGUUUUGAUGUGCUUAUGUUAAAAAUAAUUUUUAAAAAAUAAAAAAAUAUCAUUGGCAUGUAUUUCGACACGAAAAGUUAUUUGAAAAGCAACCGCUACCACACUACAAAACACACUCUUAAUUAAAUGAAUUUUCUGAUGAAUCUCUAGUAGUUUGCUUACAGAUAAUGUAUCUCUUAAUUUAAGGAGAGUCAAUUCUAUUUAAUGCAUUUUCACCAUGUAUGGAAGGAAGGAAAUAGAAGAGCAAUCAAUGCUAUUAAAAAAUGUCAUUAAAAAAAACAAAAAAAAAAAUUACUUGUAAUCUAAGAAGAGUUAAAUCCUGUCUGAAUAAAUAUCUUGUCUUGUGACGAGCAUCAUUGGGUGAUUCAAAGAAGGUGACACCAACGUUGCUUUCCUCAGCUACAAGAAGAUCAAUGUGGGCCAUGACUCGAAUGCAACAAGCAACAACAGUACAACACUAUCUCUAAAAUGAAAAAAAACAAAAUAAAAAUAAUAAAAAAUAUCAAUCCAAAACCAGUAAUCAUGCCCUAGAACACUAAUUUUAUUGCCCAUUAUCAUUAAAGGCUUAUUUAGAAUUAAUUACUAUAAUUUAAAUAAUAUUAAAUUAUUUUUAAUAUUAACAUAUCAAAACGAUCUGAAAAUAUAAAAAAUUUUAAUAAAAAAAUUCAAAAUUUUAAAAAAUAUAAUUUACCCCAUAUUAUCAAAGACGUUCCAAAUAACUUUCGCACUAAAAUUUUUUAUUAAAAAAAUCAUCUCCAGAGGAUGUUAAUUUCUUGUUUAGAUUUUGAAAUACAGUAUAUCUUUAAUAAAUUAAUAACCUUGAUUUGACUAAAUAGUAUUUUUGUUUGAUUCCGACUUAAAUUUUAAAGUUUAAAUAAUAUAAAUCAAUUAAUUAAUUUUUAUGGUCCCAAUGAUAUAAAUCCCCAACAAUAUACUAACUCUCCACCGAGUGCUGAACUAUCAAUUUUCUCAAUUGAAUUCCUAAAAUAAAUAAUUCUCAAUUGAGUCUUGUGCAUCUAUAUCAAUUAAUGUAUUCCAUCUAAUUUGCAUGUAUAUUAUGCACUAAAAAAGACGCAAUUUGAGGAGGGAAUGAUGUUUGUUCAUGAAAAACGGGGAAGAUCCUAAAGGGAAGACUAAAUUGAGAGAUGCAAAGUCCUACUUUGGGGAUCCAAUUGAGAAACUUUGUAGCUUAAUGGCUAAAUUGAGUAUCGAUGAAAAGUUGGGGGACUAAUUUGAAGCUUUCUCAAAGAAGAAUUAUCUUACUUGGAUCAAGAUCAGUGAUGAGAGCAGCAGCAUUGAAGUAACAAGUUGCUCCUUCAUGCUUAAACUUCUGAUAAGAGUUAUCGAAGGCAUAAGAGGCAUGAUCCCUUGCUGUGCUUGGCGGAUAACAGGGUUGGUUCCUUUGUAUCUUCCUGCAAUCUGCACCUCCCUUUCCACAGGCCCAAUUGACCCUCUAUAUGAACAGAAAACACCAAAAUCCACAAUUGAAAUGCACAUUACCUUAAUCACAAGGCAAAAAAAAAAAGAAUCACAACCCUACUGAUGAUUUACCUGAUUUCUGUGGCAUUAAAGCAAUGAAGGACAGAGCUAGGAGAAGAAUCCUUAGAAAACUUGCUGUCAUUGUGACAGGAACUUAUGUGUAUCCAUUGAAGUGGAGAUUCAUAUAAUCACAAACAGUUCCGAUUGCUUCUGUAUGUUUAUGAAGAAAAUUUGUAAACAUCAAAGAUGUUUACUUUUUACAAAGUUGAGAUUCCAAUCCAGCUAAAUUUCUUGGGUUCUACGGCAAGAAUUCAGGCUUUGUUUAGAAUAACUAAAGUGCCCUGGAUUUUUCUUUUUGCAAUUCGUGUAAGUGCAUAUACAUUCUGCAGUUCUCUCUUCAAUACUAGUCUGACAGAGGAUUAACAGGGCUCAUGUCUUGCCAAGUAAUUAUGCAGCAAUACCCACAAACAUCACCAUAUUUUCAUGGUCAGCAAGUUGCUAGUUUCUAAUGAUCCAAUGUUAAUCCAAUUAUGAAUUUGUGUAUUUAGAGAACGAUAUAAAUUAUAUUUUUGAGAUUCAUUUCUCAUCUUAAAGUUUUUAGUUGAAUUGAUUUUUUAUAUAAUAUCAAAACUAUAAUACACAACAUUCAAGGCUAAAGAUGUGUCAAAAAAAACAUCUCGUCUAAUCUAUGAUAAUGCAUGUCUUGAAAUACCCCACUUGGGGCCAAGCAUCUCCAGCCCAUCACCACUUCUGCAAACUCUUUUGAUCUCAAAUGGAUCUUUGUGUUUCGUUCAUCCUUGUUUCUCUCCUCACAAUCUCUCAGUCACAACCUGCCUCUCACACUAUCAUCCUCAAUGAUAUAGAAGCAGCAAUAACUGACAAUAGGUCACAGAAUUUCUUUGGAUUUGCAUUGCUGCUACAGAUGCUGAAAAUCAGUGCACAAGUAUUAGGACUCAACUUUUCUCAUUCCAACUGAUCAAGAAUUGACCAGACCACCUUCAAGAAUUCUUGCUCAGCCACUCAUUCACAAUGCCACUCUCAUUCUCUGACUUGAGUCAUUUUCCAACAGGGACACUGGUUCCAUCAGGGCUUGACCAUCAGCUACUCCAAAUCAGAAACCGUGGGAAAGCAGAUUUUUCUGUUAACAAUGUUCUAGUCAUAAAACCAAACCUUUGCUUAAACUCUACAAUCAAAUGCCAUGGCAUUGAUUUCUAAAUCAAUUAUAAACUAGAUGAACUUCCUGAAGUUAGAAACUAGAUGUAACUAGUUCAGCUAGUGGUGCUCUUUGCAGCUCAAUGUACUAGCUUCAAUUUUAUGUUAUUAUGUUAUCUUUCUGUAUUGGAAAGGAAGGUUAAGCUACCCCAAAAGUUUAAAAAUCUCACAACGGAAAUCUAUUGCUAAUUCGAGUCUCUAAAAAUCAGUAUCAUGAAGGAAAAAUUUAUCAUUGAACAAUUUUUCCAUGCCUCAUUGAUCACUGUUAACUGCCAUGGAUUUCUCAGGCCAGUGCCUUGCCUUGUUCUCCUCUAUGAUGUUCUUUAAUGAUUUCUUGAUUAAUGCUUCCAACAAUACUGAUAUGCAUCAAUUACUGUAUUGCUGGUGGGAAUGCAGGAAGAGAUGCCAUUUCUCAUGUCUCUUUGUGUUGCUUAUUGGAAAAGGAAGAUUAUGUCAAGUGGCUGUAAGGGUAUAGUCCAGAAAUCCUCUGCUUGUCUUACCACGGGCUUUGUCACAACAAUCUGCACUGACCUGGCUAGAAAGUUAAUAUCGCAAGAUGAGCUUGAAGAGACAAGAAAAGCAAUAAGAGAUUGCCAGACUGCUGGAGUAAAUGUCAAAUUCAUAUCACAAGACGAUAUUUCAGUGGUGAGAGCUGCAGCUAUUGAAUUUGAAAUCCUCACAGAAAAUUCUGAGGCAGCGAUGCUUAAAGGCGAAGACUUUCGAAAUUUCUCUGAAGAAGAGAGGAUAGGAAUGGUGGAUCAGAUCACUGCAAUAGGCAACUGUCUCCCAUCUGAUAAGCUUCUUCUUAUGCAGUGCCUGAAGAAGAAAGGAAACGUGGUUGCACUGACUGGAGCUAAUGAUCUUCAUGACACUCCAGCAUUGAGACAAGCAGACAUUGGCUUUGUGAAGGCAGACUGGGGCACAAAAAUGGCAAGAGACUACUUAGACCUCAUGGUAUGGGAUGGAACUUGGAGCCCAGUUCCCAACAUCAUAAAAUGCGGUCGAUGCUCAUACAAAAACAUUCAGAAAUUCAUCCAACUAGAGCUAACCAUGAUCCUAUCUGGGUUAUCGACAACUACCAUCUUAACAAUAUCAUCAGGAGAAGCUCUCAUGACACCAAUUCAGGUGUCCCGGACUAACUUGAUUGUGCCUGUCCUCGGCGGCAUGGCUGUGAUCACCGAGCCACCUGGAGAAAAACUAAUGAACAAGCCUCCAGUUCAGAAAACAGAACCACUUAUAACCAAGGCCAUGCGGAGAAACAUCAUAGCUCAAGUUGUUUAUCAGGUUGUGAUUUUUGUGAUAGUACAAUUCAAAGGACAGGUGAUUUAUGGCACGGACCAGAAACUCAGGAAAGCUAUGAUGUUCAAUAGUUUUGUUCUUUUGCAGGUUUUCAAUCAAUUCAAUUCAAUUCCAGGGAGAUUGAGAAGGUUAACGUGUUUAAAAACAUUCAUCAGAACUAUUGGUUUUGGGUGGCUACAUUAGGUCUUCUAGCACUGCAGGUUGCCUUUGUAGAGAUUUCAGGCAUCAUCAAAGGUAAUGCAAAGGUUAGAUUGUGAAAAAUGGGGCAUUUGUGCUUUAUUUGGGAUAUUUUCUUGGGUGAUUGAUUGCAUGUUCAAGUGCAUUAUCAAGGUUUAGCAUAAAAAAUUGAAAUUGCUUUCCAGUAACGGCAUCCGUCUGGAGUAUCUGACAGUGAAUAACUUUAUUAUCACAAGUAUUUGUCAAAUAGUCUAAAAGAAUAAGCCCAAUGAUAUUAUUUCUUUUAAUUUCUUAAAAAAAAUUGGACCACUUUUCAUGAACAGAGAAUCUCUUUUUUCGAUCUCAUUCAUAGGAUAUAUAUCAUGUGUGCAUGUAACAUUGUUUCGUUAAUUAUCUGCUACACUGCUUAUGUUUGUUAAUCACUCAUUUUUUUCCUUCAAUAUUAUCUAUAUUGAUAUAAAUCAAAAUAAUAUUAUUUUAUUUUUUUAAUUAAAUUAAUCAUAUUAAUUUUAAGUUAAAUUCUUUGAUAUUUAGCCCGAGCUAACCAAGUUCGGACGGAUUUGUGAAACAGGUUGAAGUUUAAUAAACAUGAACACAAGAGUUAAAGAAAAGAAUAUCCUCCUUCAAUAUAUAUUUAACGCACUCGAUGAUCAUCAUCACCUGAGAAGAUUACAAGAAAGAGAUGCCACAAAUCCACCUACAAAGUGUCUUUUCCAUUUCUUAAUUCAUUCCUAAAGCAAAAGGUUACCACGCAAGCAUAUAAUAAAAAUUUCCAAAUGCACGCCUUGUCUAAAAACCCUAGAAAAUGCUUUAUCUUCUCGAUCGAUUCACCCUUCAAAUUUCGAAAUUCCAAAAUAAGAAAAUAAAAAAUAAAAGCACAAAGCGGGACGCUUGAUGUUGCAAAAAAGAAGCAUCCAAUCCAUCAUGCACUAAAAACUAGCAUCUGCAGCUUUCAAAUUUCAUGCCAUUUCAAUCCAACGAGUUGAAGACAAAAAAAAAGUGUAUGAAAAGAGAGAGAAUGUUGGUAACCUUGUCCUUGUCAAGACAUUAUUGUUCAAUCAAACAAGUAUGAGCUCCUCAAAAGAUUAUUCUCUCUUGUAACCCUUGUCCUCUACCCUUCACCCUCCCCCCUUCAACAAAGGGAAACCCUCAAGAAAGUAGGAGAGAAGCACUUGUAAAUUAAAGGAAAAGCCUCCAUCAUCUCCAAUGCUAGAAAGGGCUUGUAGGAGCGGCAAGCUGACAGAGUAUCAGACAACCUAUUAUUCCUCCAAACAUACCCUUCCAUUCGCUAAUUUCGACACUCUUUUGGACUCUUCUUUUUACCCUCUUCCACUUUACCUCUUUCCCCACUCACAAUUCACCGAGAAACUCCACCCUCUUAGAUUGGAUUCACAACCUUUUCCUUUUGGAUUUUGCAACUUGGCUGCCGAUUCUCAUUCCUUUGCUAAAGCAUUUAGAAUUUUAUUGAAAAACUAAGCCUAUCAUAUAUAUGCUAAUCUAUUCAUCUCUUUUGCAACCAUGCCAGCAUGCUAUAAAUACACACGUAAUGCUAUUCGAGGCUUCUUAGAGUUCUUCACUUCCAUUGUCACUACACAUUUUGAUAGCUAAACCAAAAACCCUAAAAGAGCCACCAAAAAAAGAAACAACCUUCUCAAAUGGGCAAUGAAAAUAAUGACCCUGUUGUCAUUCAAUCCUCUAUUGCUCUAUUGCAAGAGAGAUUUAGGCAGUUACAAAGAGUGAAAGCAAUGAGAGAGGAAAAGGAGCUAUCAAAAGUUCUUGUGGAGAGUCCUAGGCAAUUAAGUCCCUCCAUGCAAUAUGAACCAGCAGCCAGCAGGUUGUUCUUUCACCCUGAAUUGAUCCUUCAACCAAGGUCAGUACCGCCCCAUAUAUGCCUCUCUCUUCGGCCAAACCCUCAGAGCAAGCAGGCCGGCUUUUGGUGCGAGCUGGACACCCCAGCCUUGAUGAGUUCGUCUCCAACAAAAACUCUUUCUAGUCAUGGCUUAUUAGAUAAAUUUGAUGAUUCUGCUACUGAUGACGAUGAUAUCGAUACUUCUCUUCAUUUGUAAACAAUCCCAUAAUUAACCUUGUUUUUGCCAAUGUGAUGUCAGAAGAGUUGCUGCUGCUACUACUAUAUUAUUAACUUAACUAUUAGCUUGUUCUCUCUUUGUGAUCUUAUUAUGAUGAUUAUUAUUCUGGGAACAAGAAAUUUAGUUCAUUUUCAGAAUGGAUCAAGAUUGUAGUGAUAACUGGCAAAUUUUUUUUUAAUUCAGCAAUAGAAAUAUUUCUCUAAUCAAUUCACAUGUUAAUAAAAAAAAUAAACUGUGAGUUCAUAAACGAAGAAAAAAUCCAAAGACUUGGGGCUACGAUUCCUCACAAAAAGAAAAACACAACGUCCGCAAUCAACUACUAGCAGUAGGUUCUCGUCAAUCACUUGGAUUUUUUAUUGCAACAGUGCUUGUCCCUUUCAACGCAUGCAAUGAUUUUUCCCUUUUUAUUAUUUAUGUUGGAUAUACAACAAUCCCAAAUUAAUGAAGAUUAAACAGUAUAUAUUGAUGAUUACUGAUCAGGCAAAUACAAACAAUAACGGGAUCAUACAUAACCAUCUCUUUCGAUAGAAGAACUAAUCCUUAAAAUUGUUUAUUAGGGUUCUUGGAACCCCAGUUGGGUUCCCACUGCAGUUUAUGGCUGAAUAUUCCUGUAAUGUUCAUGGCACAUGGUUGCUCUGAAAAACAAAUUAAUGAUUCUAAUUUCAUUAACAAUAAUGUAGACUACAGUCAGUUUUUUUUUAUAUCAGCGAAUGUAAUGUUAUUUCAUAUGAAGCAAACUUAUAAAUUGUUUGGAUUAGCUUCAAAUUCAUGGAAGAUUUUAUCACACCAACUGUCGUUCAACCAUGGGACCAAAAUUACAUUAUCUACUACUAUUUUUAAUUCGACAAUAAGAAACUAAUUCAAGUAAUAAAAUCCAUUGAAAAAUAAAAAAAAAAACAAUUAACUUAAGACUUAGAUUUCAUCUCAUAUCAUUUCGUUCCCUGCUAAGGAACCUUUGGAUUCGUUCAAGAAAGGGGUUAAGCCUAAAGAAUAUGAGCUCAUAGAGGUAGAUACAGAAACAAACAGAAAACCUAGCAGAGCUGCCCAUCUAUAAGAUAAAGAAUUAUGAGUAGGCUAAUCGGUAGAAACAAACAAUACAUAAAAAGGGAAGGGGUUUUCCUUAUUAUAACCAAAAAAAAUAAAAAAUCAAGAAUUACUGUAGAUUAUAAAUAAUUUCACCAUGAAUUACACUAUUUGUAUUUACUCUUUUCAAAGUUCUUUCAAUGGUUAGCUCUUUCAAAUAAAUAAUUAAUAUGUUGGCCUCUUUCAUCAUAAUUAAUGGUGUGUGAAUUAUUAUUAUUAUUAUACUAUAUAUUAAAAUGCAUGGGAAAAACACUAUGCAAAAUACUGUAUAUUUACUAUGGAUAUAAACUUAUUGCACUGUGAAUGAUAUUGUCUUCGUAAAAUGUUUGCACUGUGUAUGACACUGUAGCGCUCAGGGGUGUUAUCUUUGAUGUUUAUAAGUCAAAAAUUGUGACUGGGUCGUUAGGUCCUGUUGCCAGCAGGACCCCAUGGCAUUGGGUCCUACCCCCAAUAGAACCCAAUACUAUAUUUUUUUUCUUUUUUCUUAUUUAUUUAUUUUUUCACAUCGUAAAGAGAAAAUAUUAUUAUUGUUAUUUUUAUUAUUAAUAAAUUUGAACAAAAAAAUUAUUACUAUCGAAGAAAAACCAUAAAUUUUAUUUAAAGAGAUUAAAAAUUAUAAAAACUUAGGUCAUACAAGUUUAAUAUUAUUAUUUUUAUUAUAGUUAAUAUUAUUAAUAUAAUAAUUAUAAAUUAAAAAAAUAUUAUUAAUAUUAAAAAAAAUCAUAUAUUUGAUUUAAAGGGUAAAAUUAUUAUUACUAUUAUUAUUAAAUUUUAAAAAAAUGUUAUUACUAUCAAGAAAAACAAUAAAUUUUAUUUGAAAGGGUUAAAAACUAUAAAAAACUUGGGCAGAAAAAUUUAAUAAUAUUAUUAAAUUCAUUAAUAUUAUUAAAAUUUAAAAUAAAUUUUAAUAGUAUUGAAAAAAAUAUAGAUUUGAUUUGAGGAUUAAUAUCAAUUAUUAUUAUUAAUUUAGGUCUGUCAUCCUCUUCUAGACCCAAAAAACUUGAGGCUGGAAAGGGACAUUUGACCCAAGUUGCUCAGGAGUGGCAGGAGCGCAGACUCAAAUUCCUCCCAAGUUUCUUGGGUCUUGCAAAGCUGCCUAGCCUAGGACACUUGGGUCUGGUGUCUAAACCCAAAGCAAAUGGGUCCAGUGUCCUGACCCAAGUCUAAUGGGUCUAGCGUUGGAAUCAGAUCCAAGACUCUUGGAUUUAAUAUUUAAAAGGAGCCCAAAGUUCUUGGACCUGAUGUUACAGCCAGAUCCACUUAAACUUGGAUAAGAUUAAAUAUUAUUAUUAUUAAUAUGAAAAAUAUUAGUAUUUGUAUUAUAAAUAUUUUUAUUUUUAUUAUAAUUAAUGUUAAUGAUAUUAAAAAUAUUAUUAUUUUUAUUAUAAUUAAUAAUAUUAAUAUUAAAAAUAUUAGUAUUUGUAUUAUAAAGAUUAUUAUUUUUAUUAUAAUUAAUAAAUUUGUAAAAAAAUAUUAUUAAUAUUGAAAAAUAACAGUAGAUUUGAUUUGAAUGAUAAAAUUAAAAAUUAUUAUUAUUAUCAUUAAUAAUUUUGAAAAAAAAAUAUUAUAUAUUACUAUCAAAGAAAAACAAUAAAUUUUAUUUGAAGAGAUUAAAAACUAUAAAAAUUUGGGCUGGAUAAAUUUAAUAUUAUUAAAUUUAAAAUAAAUUUUAUUACUAUAAAAAAAACAUAAAUUUGAUUUGAAUAGAAUUAUUAUUAUUAUUAUUAAUUUGGAUCUAAUAUCCCUUUCCAGACGUAAAAAUCUGGAAAAGAACACCUUAUCUAAAUUGUUUGGGAAUAACAUGAGUGUAGAUCCAAAUUCUUUGAGUCUCGCAACCACGUUUAGCUCCAAAUACUUAGGUCAGGUGUUCGAAUUCAAGUUUGAAUUUGGCUGCAACUCCGAACGCACAAAUUAACUCUUGAAUCUUUUUUUUAAGACAAACCCAAUGCUCCCGGAGUCUUAAAUUUUUUAAUAUUUUUCAUAAAAAAAAAUUGUCUGCUGUAUAGCAUGGCCCACAUAACCCAUACAAACUAAUGUUAAUAAUGACAUGAUCUAGCAGCUCAACUUAAAAAAUUUUCAAUCCAUGUCGGAAUUGAUGAGUCAGCCUACUCCACAAUCAAAACCAGGUCUAACUUUUAUAUAUAUAUAUAAACACUGUUUAAAUUGAACUUCCAAUUCGUGAGUCGAGCGGUGAUCGGAGCUGAGAUUAGUAACUUUGGUACAAACCAUAAAAAGUCUAAACUAGAGGCCUGGCCAGCAAAAAGAUAGAGAGUCCAGUCAUGGUAAUAAUUCUCCUGAGUAAAACGUGUCUGUUUUUUUAAUAAAAAGAAAAGAUAAAAGUGGAGACGAAGAAGUCAAUGUCAACAAACUAUGUUCAUGGAAUGAAUCCAUGGCAGACAUCCAUGGGCCAUGGCAAUGGGAUCUAAGGUCACCACUGCCUCUCUCACUCUCUCAUCCUCCAUGUGAAAGCAUAAACAGUCAUGAAUCAUAUAAAGAAUUAGCGUUGUUAGGAUUAUCUUAAAGCACACAGAGACAAAGGCCUAUAUAUAUUGUACGCCCCAUGUCAUAUAUUUAAUUAAUUACAGCUCUUUCGCUGAUUCACAUGAUGUUUUAUUUUUACUGUUAAUGCCUUUCGAUUCAUUAUCUCAGGUUCUAUUUUUGGUUAAGAUAUUUGUUGUGGUUCGUUUUCUGUCUGUUGGCCUGAUUACAUUUUAAGUGUUGGUUGAUUUAUUUUUUUUCUUAAUCUUUUGUGGAGGUAGAAAUGCUAGCUGAUUGCAGAACCUGAGAAUGUAUGGAGGUCUUCCAUGUCUUCUGUUUCUUUUUAUCCAUAUGUUACCUUUUGUCUCCCCCUCCUCACACUCUUCUUCAGUUCCCCUCUCUUUACUAAAUUUUUUUUUUAUGAAAAAUAACUCAGGCCGGCUACACUCUUUCAACGCAGGUCGGAUGAGAUGAACUCAGAACAGUUAGUGCGGCCUGUUCGGUAUGACUGUCAUUUGAAACGAAACUCCUGAGCUUGGUUAGCAGCCCACAAGGUUAAGGGAAGGGGAUUCAUGACUUCAAGCUCGGCUCGACUGUACGAUAAACCCCUCGGAUUGCUCAAUGUUGUGAUGAUACAAACAGAUAAGUUUUGUUCUUGGUUAAUUAUUCAUGUGCUGAAAUUGGUAGGUUUUGUUUUUAUGGCAAUAGACAUGGAUAGAUUUAGCAUGAUCUUGAACCUGUAAGAGCGAGGGAAACCUACUAGACCACCCAAGGCACUACAUUAUAUAUUUUUUUUCAAAGCUAUAACGCUCAUGAGAUCUUACAAGUAAUGAAUUUAAGACCUAGCUUGGUAGAUAACUAUGACAUGAGAUAAUGUACAAUAAUACUGAGCAAAUUACAACGAGAAGUUAUUUAUGUACAGCCCAAGAAAAUAUGGAAACAAUGCAGGACAUAAAGAACCUAAGAUGAUGCAUAAAUGGUGCUUAAUAAGCUCUGAAAAUAGUAUGAACUAAGAAGCAGUUGGUGAUGAAUUCUCAGCAAUGAGUGGAAGCUCGAGAAUACUGGUAGAUUGUGGAAGUUCUGAUCCAGCAAGUGAACUUUAUCUUGUUAGCUUAACCUUGAUGACGCACCAGGUAAUGUUUGCAGCCCCAUCUUAACCUUGAUGACGCCCCAGGUAAUGUUUACAGCCCCGUCUGUCACACAUGAAAGUGCCCCAAUAAGGAAACAGAUGCUCCACUGUGGACCAUUCAACCUGGCAAACCCAAAGAUGUGAUGUGAAAUCUCAAUGAAUACCACCUGCAACACCACAGUCAGAACAGAGGCCACCCAAAACCAUAGGUUCUGUUGGACACCCUUGACUAAAUUCUUCAUUUUCUGCUCACUGGCAUUGAAUUGGUUGGAAAGUUGGCAGAGAAGAAAGCUACUGAAGAUCAUGGCUUUGCUAACCUCCUCGUUGAUGUUUAGAAUAGCUUGCCCUUUGAACUGAAAGGCUAACAAAAUGGAAACCUGAUAGGAAGCUUGUAUGAUUAUAUUCCUCCACAUGGCCUUUGUGAUGAAAGGUUCAGUUGGUCUGAUCGGUGGCCUCUGCAUCAGUUUCUGACUUGGGGGCUCAGUUAAUAAAGCCAACCCACCAAGGACAGCCACUACCAGGUUCACCCAGAUCAUCUGAAUCGCUGUCAUUGGAGCAUACCCGAAAAAUAUUGUGGUGACAGUGCUUCACUAACCCUGAAAUAGUUAUGGUGACCUCAACUUGGAUGUACUUGUGAAUGUUGCCAUAAAUACAUCGCCCCCCCUUCAAAAUCCAUACCAAGAAGCCUAAAUUUCCAUCCAAGAUAAUCAAUUCAGAACUCCCAUUGACCAACUCACUACUCCCAGUUCCAGUCACAACUCCCACGUCUGCUUCUUUGAGUGAGGGAGCAUCAUCUGUUCUGACUCCAACGAAUGCUACUAUGUGGCCUUGUUGUUUCAGACAACGCACUAGAAGGAGCUUGUCAGAAGGGAGAGAGUUUCCCAUCACACAGAUUUUAUUGACCACAUCCUUUCUCUGUUCAUCGCUGAAACUUCGAAAAGUUUCCCCUCUAUGUUUCAAUAUGCUUGAGCCACUAAGCAUUCCAUAUUUUUUAGCUAUGUCUUCUAUUACUGACUCGCUGUCCUCUGAGACAAGUAUGAUGUUGACACCAGCAUUUCUACAAGCUUCAACUGCUUCUCUAGUCUCUUUCCAGCAUUUGUCCUUCAGACCCAGAAGUCCUAUCAAUAUCAAGCGAUUAUCCUCAGCAGUUUCAUCAUCUGUUGUCUUAUAAGCAAGGGCAAUGGUUUUUAGAUCCUUGGACUGCAUGUCAUUAAUAAUUUUCUCAAAAGCCGACCUUUUCUCUGUGUCCAUGUCCACUAGUUUCCCUUCACUAUUGUAGUGCCGGGAGCACAUUUUCAAUAUCUUUGGUGCCAGUCCUUUCCAAUACAGGAAUUUCUUGGUUUCGUUGCCUUCUUUCUCCCUCAACAACACUGCAUUCCUUUCUUCACCAGGGCACAACUCUUUCAUCCCGAUAGUGCUGUAUCUUUGCUUCAAACUCUCCAUGUAAUCCUUUCCGAAUUUACUUGCACACCAGGAAAUCAGUGAUUCCUGAUCGUUACCUGAGCUCAUGCUGAUACCAAUACAGAAUGCAUCCUUAACUUGUUUACGUAUUGCAGAGUUUUCUCUCGUUACUGUCUCAUCAAUCCAACACUCAUCAACUUCCGGUGGGUUCAUUGUUAUCCAACUAGUUUUGUCAAUGCAAAUAGCUGUAACUGAGCCCAUGGUAACACCUGUCAAUUGUUCUUGCACGACAGCCUUGGUGGAUGGGAUCUUUUUAUUCCAAUAAUAAAUGGCAAGCCUAAUAAAAAAUGGCACUCCUUCUACCACCCCUACCAGGAAAGUAGUCAGGCAAGUUGUCAAGGUACUGAUUUUCCCGCUCGGUUUCCAGACAAUUCUCUUGAUAAGUUCCGUAACCUCCAUUGUCUUAUGUUCUCCCUUGAAUUCUGGCACGCUAGAAUCCUCAUUUUUCUUUCCAGCUUUAGACCGCAGGAACAACACUACCAAGAUAAGAAUAGAGGUUGCGAGCCCAGCUAUUUCUGUUUGGUUGCUCACCUUGGCGAGCUGAACUGGUAAUCGCCUCUUGCUGGCCUUGCUUGUCAUCUCACCCAGUGUUGUGUUUAGUCCCAUGGAUGUCACCAUCAUGUUACCCUGCCCCUCAAUCACCUUGGCACCAUAGAAGAGAAAUGGAUUCUGUUCAUUAACAAUGGAUGGAAAGCUGUCAUCCAAUUUUAAGUAUUCGCCAGAUACAAACAAACCAUCACCCGGAAUAGGGCAUCCCCUUUCCAAGGAUACUAUGUCUCCAAUCACAAGAUCUAAGGCUGGUACUUUCAACUGUUUUCCUGCUCUUAAAACAGCUACUUCCAUCUCUCUUUUUCUCCGUUGUCUCUGCUCUCCUAACAGGUUCUCUGAAUUUUCACCCAGAAAAUCACGCACUGCUGGAACAAUCACAAGUAUGAUGAUUGCAAGAAUUAUGAGGACUCCUUCAUACCAGCCAGUCGUCGGGCCCUCCUCCUUGAUCCCGAAGCCAAGGGACAGCGCUGCUGAUACGAUGAGAAGGAAGAUGGUGUACCUAUUGCCGGAUUUCAUGAGCAACUCCAAGAAGUUUCUUGCUGCAGGGACUGUUGUUUUGUAGAUUGCAUUGGUUCUGCUUCGACUUAGAUCUUCAAUGUCUCCAGUGAUUCCGUUCUUUAAAUCUGUCUCAAGUACCACCGCGACACGUUCGACGCCUCCAAAUUGAUUCAAGGAUUGCAGGUUCCGUCCCUUUACUAUAUUGGCAAUCUUUUCAAGUUGUAGUUUGAUAUCGCUCAUAGCAUUGACGGCCUCAUCAAUGGAAGGGAUAUCAAGACAAACUUGACGUGUUGGUGAGAUUUCUUCAAUUUCAGGUACCUCCAAGUUCUGGGGAAAAAAAGAGUUAAUUAGCAGUGAAGGUAUUUUCUUACGAUCAAGUCAGCUCUAAUCUUGGUCAACUGAUCAUACAAGUAUUACUAUCGAGAUGGAAUAACGGAAAACACAUACCCUGUGAGAUGGAGAUAACAGCGAGACUCCUAGAGAAUCAGGAGACUCCUUAUUGUUGAAGGCUUUGGAGGAGAAAGUGCGCACAGCUAGUAUAACCAGAACAACAGGCCGGAAAAUCUUUCUUGGUGCUGGGAUCGCUGGCCCUGUCUCUUGAGAUUCAAGGUCCAUCUCCUGACUUAUUUCACUACUACUUUUCAUUACUUUUAGCUUGAUUCUUCCUGCUCAGAAGGAAAGAAGAAGAUGCUAGUAUCCAAAAUUAAGAAGGGGGUGCACACGUUAAUACGGUUUUAAGAAAACAUGGAUCAAAUAGUAUAAUUUGGUAUCCUUAAACUGAUGUAAGACUAGCCAUUGCACUCUUCAUCCAAAAUAAACAGCAUGCAAUUAUUAAAUUAAAUAUGAAAAAUUGAGUCGCCACUGCAACGACAAGCUUUGUUUCUCUUCGCGUUGGACAUCCUUUAAAUUACGUGAGAUCGCUCUUCGUAGCUCUAAUGGAAAGGAAACGUGAGACCCGUAUUUAUAGAUCGCUUGACGGCUAGGAUUGGUGCAAUGAGUUGGAGAUGGGACGGCUAGGAUUGGUGCAAUGAGAGUUUAUUACAUUUCGACGCGGAAAUCUCUGUCGGCAGGUUUCCUAUUUCAAUCAUUUUCAUUUUUUCAUCGAUUACAUCAAAGGAUAAAAUUAAAACAAAUUAUAUCAAGGCCUCGUAUUUGUCCUAAAGGAUAAAAUUAAAAGAAAUAAUAACGGGAAAAAAGCCAGAAAAAAAGGAAAAAAAAUGUUUCAAUCUAUAUUCUUUUUGUGAUCGGAAGAACAGUAUUUUCCCGGUAUAUUUAAGUUUUUUUCUUAAAAAAGUUAAUUUCAUGUGUGAAACCGCGUUUAAUCAAAGCCUUGCUUUUUUAACCAUUGAAGUGGGGAUUCUUCCGUCAAGCUUCUGAUAGAAAAAAUAGCCAAGGAAAAGUCUGUUUUAAUUAUUACAUGAGAGGGUUGGUCCCCAUGUUUUCAGCAUUUUUAAAAUGUAGUCCCUCUAUGAUCCCUUUUUUCACGUUUAACUCUAUCCAAAAACAUUUCUUAAAGGGGUCCAAUUUCUAUUUAAUCUACUGUUAAUCCCUGACCCCAUUUGCAUGUCUUGCAUAUAUCAGGCAUGUGUCAAUAAUUAAAGGUAAAUUGAACAUAAAUCAUAUGGAAAAACUACAUUAAGAAAUUCUUCUUUAGGUAGUUUUUGAUAAGGGGCUAAAAAUUAAUGAGAGUGUAUUAUUACAAAAGUAAUUUUUUAAGGGUGUGGAAGUUAGUUUUUAAGAUUAUUUGAUGUGUUCAUAAAUUGAAUGGUAAAUAGUUAAUGAAAAGAGAGAGAAAUAGUUAGAAUAUUAGUAAAAUAAAAAAUUAUUUUAGUCUGUAUUUCAAAAAAAAAAACAAGUAAUUAGAAAGAGGAUGAAAAUAUAUUAAAAGAAUUUAUCAGAGGUUAAAUUUUACCCUUAAACCCACAUUUGGCCAUUUUGGAGGCAAAUCUUACACUCCCUUGAAAAGUAUCCCUUCCCUUUUUAAUAUCACUAAACAUCCUUAAGAUUUACGAGCAUUGUAUGAUUUUUUUUAAGUUUCUUCAUUUUAUAUUAUGUUAUUUGCCCAGAAACUUUGUUAGUUUUUUUUUUUAUUUGGUUAUUCUAGAAAUAAGUUGGUAAUAACUCCGAUUUGCUCGAGUUUUUUUAAUAAUUUUUUUAUUUUGAUAAUUUUUACUAUUUUUUUAAAUUAUUCUAAUUUCAUAUAACAUGUAGUGGUUUCAUUAAUAAAACCUCUUUUAUUUUUCCUUAACAUUCGAUGAUGUGCAUGAAAAUAAUUGCUACUUUGAAUGAGAGAGAGUACAAGGAAAGAGCCAUUAAUUAUGGAUCAAAGAAGGAACGUGUAAAGUGCCAUUAUGAAUGAAAGAAUGCAAAACAAUCAUUGAGUUGAUGAUAUUGAUGCAUAUAAAACUGACUUGACACAAGCACUAAUAAAAUAUUUAAAGAGUGGCUCACCCAUUUGCUUUUCCAACUGAUUUGACCUUUCAAGGUAAUUUGUUUUUUUUUUUAAUGAUAUCAAUUGUCCUCAUUAUUAUUGGCAUCUCAGAUUUGGUUCUUUUAGUUGUGAUUUCUGUAUUAUUUUCACUUUUUUUUUUGUUAAAAUUUUAUUUAUUUUCAUUUUAAUCCUUGUUUUUAAUUUGUAUAGAUAAUAUUUUUCAAUUUGAUCCUUCAACUUUUAAUUUUUUAUUUUAUCCUUUGUUCUUUUGUCAAAGUUUUUAUGAUUUUUAAUUUUAUCUAUUAUAGCUUUUGUGUUUUCAAUAAUAAUAAUAAUAAUAAUUCCAAUUUGGUCUUUUUUUAUUUUUUCUUGUUUUCUGGUUUUGUCAAAGUUUUUAUAUUUUUUAAUUCUAUUUAACAAAUCAAGUUCAUGAAUUUUAUUUUAAUAAUAAUAAUAAUAAUAAUAAUAAUGGUAAUAUUAAUAAUUAUGAUAAUGAUGAUGCUAAUAAAAAGAUAAUUAUAGUAAUGUUAGUUAUUGUUAUUGUUAAUAGUAGUAGUAGUAAUGAAAAUAUUAAUAUUAUUGAGAUAGUUGCUCUUAUAAAGAAAAAUAUUCCAACAUUCACUUAUUUUGACAGUAGAAAUAUUAGAGUUGCAAGUUCUUUCUUUUAUACUUCUUGCAAAUAUUCCACUUGCUCUAGAGAAUCUUGACAAUAUCAAUUAUCAACUCACAAGUCUGCUAAUUACAGGCUUAAUUCAAAGUUUGAAUAAUUGAAUAGUUUUUUUUUUUUACUCAGAAAGACAAGUACAUAAAGUAUAAAUAUAAAUAUAAAUGCAGUGCUUCACAAAUUAAUUCACUAGCUAGAAAAAACACUAAGUAAAUAUAAUAAUUUUAUUUGCUUAGAGUUUAUCAUCUAUAUAAAAAAUUAGGUUUUGUUAAAGUUAUUUUUAGUAGAAUUAUUUUUAAAAUUAUAUAAAAUUAUUUUAACAUAACUGGUUUAGAAAUAAUUUAAAUAUUUAAAAUGAUAUUAAUUUUAUAAAUAUUAAAAUAAUAACAUAUUAUAUUGAUUCGACUAAAUUUGAAUUGGAAUGUCAUGUCAUCAAACUAUAGCAAUUUUAUAAAAAAUUAAAUUAAAAUAAAUUAUAAAUUUUAAUUUAUAAUAAACAUAAAAUUGAAUGAGUUUAGUACAUCAACACGGAGAUCUCGUGUCAGUAAGUUUCCUAUUUCUGUGAUUUGUAUUUUUUUUCAAUAAAAAUAAUAUAAUUUAGUUUCAAUAGGAAAAAUAAUGAUUAUGGACAAUUACUUGUAACAAAAAAAAAACCGCGUGACCGACAUGGAUAAUGGGACCAAAGAGGUGUGUUGACGUGACCAGUACUGAGAGAUAAAAAGAAGACAACUUGAGCAGUCUGUCUUACUUCCAGUCCACACACAACAGGUGUGUGUCAGUGUCGUAAGAUUUUCUCAAUCAUUUCUUUCUUUAAUUUUAUUGUAUUUUAAGAAUAGAUUAUUAUUAUUUGAUGAUGAAGUCUUUAGUCUUAACUGAGGAAGAACAUUCUGUGAACUUCCAGCAUCUUUAAUUUUGAUUGCACGAGGAGGAAAAACAACUGGUUAGAAUGGUGCUCUUUUCCAUUCAUCACUGUUAUUUUCAUUAUUAUUAUUAUUAUUAUUUCAAAAAUAGAAAAAGAGAACGUGCGUAAAGAUGAUACACGUGGAUCAAGAAAGAAACUAAUAAUAUUUGAUUAUUUGUGAUAAUAUAUAAGGAGUAAUCAAUUAAUUACCUAUCAUAAACUUACUAAUUAAACUAAAGGGAUUAGAUUAUUAUUAACUCUUCAUUAACUUAUGUUUGAGUGAUACGUUCACUAAACUCUUCCAAACCUUUAGUCUUUUUCUAACUAAAUCUCAUUUUUAAGGAACCUUACUGCAAAUCCAUCAUGUUAUCUUGAACCAAUAAUGAUUUUUUUUCUUUGAUACAUAAUUAUGAAUAUAUGUCUCAAAUGUGUUUAAAUUAAUUAAGUUGGUAAAUAAUAAGCUAUGAUACUUGAGAACAUGCAUUUUUAAGAGUUUCUUAUGCAUUUAAUUGAGAACUCCAUCUCCAUGCUUUAUCCAAGAAAAUUUCUGUUGUGAUUUUUAUUAUAGAAAAAAUAAUCUUUCUUCAUAGUUUGAAGUUUAUUUUUUAGACUAAAAAAGACAAGUACCUAAAGUAUUUAAUUAACACCCCUGCAAAUCCUUUCACCCUUCUGUUUUGGCAAAAGAAGAAGAAGAAGAAGAGAGAGACUUGUAUGGUAUAAGAUAUCGGACUAGCACCACUGCAGUUUUUUUGAAGUACUGCAUUGCUUCACAAAUUAAUUAACUAGCUAGAACAAACACCAAGUAAAUAUAAUAUUUUUAUUUAUUUAGAGUUUAUCAUUAAUCUAAUAUUAAUAUUAAAUAAUAAAAUUUAAUAAAAACCUCGGCAUACUUAAUUCAAGACAUGCUUGAUUACGUGGAAUGGCCUACAACGUAUCAUAUACGUCAUGAAGAUUUGUCACAGAAUUGUGUAUCUCAUGUGUCUAGUUAUUUUUAAAAAUAUUUUUUAUUUAAAAAUAUAUUAAAAUAAUAUUUUUUAAAAAAUUAUUUUUGAUGUUAGCUUAUCAAAAUGAUCUAAAAAUACUAAAAAAAAUCAAUCUUUUUUAAAAACUUAAAAAAUUUAAUUUAAAAAAAAAACACUUUCAUUUCCAAUCUCUUUCAUAAAUAGGGUGUCUUUCCCUUAUAUUAAUUUAUUCAAUUUUUUAUGGUUCUCUAUCCAAACUCUCUAUAGAUUACCUACAGCACUAUAUCAUCUUUGUUAAAAUAGUGAUUUUAACAAAAAAAAAAAUGAUAAUAGUGAUUUAAAAAAUAAAAAAUUAAACAACAAAUUAUCCUCAAAUACAAGCUCUGAACAAUAUUCUAAUCCUAAACAUAACCUUAAAUCUAAAAAAUAAACUCUAAACCCUAAUCACUAACCUUAAUUAAUGAAUAACCCUAAGAACAAACAUUAAUGACCUCCUAAUAAAUACAAGCUAUUAGUUUCUUCUAAACUUGUUUGCUAAUUGCGUGUUUAAAUUUCUGAAAAGAAAGCAAGUUCACCCUUGAAACUCAAUCAUGAAGAUAAGCACCUACAGACUAGUCAAAAACAGUGAUAACAAGUUGGAGAGAACAAACUAAUGAGGUUGGAGAUGAUUGGUACCCAAUAACUCUGUAAAUGAUUAAAGACGUUUAGUGCAUGGUUUAAGAAAUCAUUAACUGAUUGAUUAACUUAGGGUUAGAAAAAGAAUUUGGCAUGUAUAUCCACUCUUCAUCAUUUUUUUUAACAUGCAUGGAUAACGCUCAAAAACGGGAAGACGACAUGCACGGACUCAAUUUUUAUGUCAUAUGUCAUUGUACACAGAAUAUUACCAUGUGAUACGGGGCGAAUUUAAUAAAAACAAAUUAGCUACUGCUAAAGUUAUUUUUAGUAGAUUUUUUUAAAAAAAAUUAUAUGAGAAUUAUUUUAAUGUGAUUGGGUUAAUUUGAUGUGUUUAAAGAUAAUGUAGAUGAUCAGUAAAAAUAUAAUUUAACUUGAAAUAAAUAUUUAAAAUGAUAUUGUUUUUAUAAAUAUUGAGACGAUAAUAUAUUAUAUUAAUUCGGGUCAAUUCAAAUUAACAUGUCAUUCAACAUAUUAUGUCAUGAGACUAUGACAACCUCAUAAUUUUUUUUUAAAAUUAUAGAGUUUAAUUUUUAAUAAAUUUAAAAUUGAAUGAUAAAAUUGAAAAUGAUAAAAAAAUAAUUUAAAUAAGAAUAAAAAAAUUAUCUGAAUCAAUCCGAAUUAACCCAAAAAACAAAUUAAAAUAAAUUAUAAAUCUCAAUUCUCAUUUAACUUAGUAUUAAAAGAUAAAAUUAUAAAAAAUAGUAUCUUGAGUCAACUUGAAACAAUUCAAUAAACUUGUUAUUUAAUUCAUGAAAUAAGAAUAACUUUAUAUAAAAUAAACUGAAAGAAAAAUAAAAAUUAAUUUUCAAUACAUUGAAAACAUUAAAGAUUAAAAUUUUAAAAAAAAAUCGGAACAUAAAUAGAAAAGCAAAACUCAUGCCAAUAAUAACCGAUUAUUAAUAAGUAUGAACUAAUAAUUAAGAAGCGGUUGGUGAUGAAUUCUCAGCACGGAGUGGAAGCUCGAGAAUUCCGGUAGAUCGUGGAGGUUGUGAGCUUGGUCUUGUUAACUUACCCUUGAUGACGCCCCAGGUAAGGUUUACAGCCCCAUCUGUCACCCAUGAAAGUGCCCCAAUAAGGAAACAGAUGCUCCACUGUGGACCAUUCAACCUGGCAAACCCAAAGAUGUGAUGUGAAAUCUCAAUGAAUACCACCUGCAACACCACAGUCAGAACUGAGGCCACCCAAAACCAUAGGUUCUGUUGGAUACCCUUGCCCAAAUUCUUCAGUUUCUGCUCACUGGCAUUGAAUUGGUUGGAAAGUUGGCAGAGAAGAAAGCUAUUGAAGAUCAUGGUUUUGCUAACCUCCUCGUUGAUGUUUAGAAUAGCUUGCCCUUUGAACUGAAAGGCUAACAAAAUAGAAACCUGAUAGGAAGCUUGUAUGAUUAUGUUCCUCCACAUGGCAUUUGUGAUGAAAGGUUCAGAUGGUCUGAUCGGUGGCUUCUCCAUCAGUUUCUGACUUGGGGGCUCAGUUAAUAAAGCCAACCCGCCAAGGACAGCCACAACAAGGUUCACCCAGAUCAUCUGAAUCGCUUCCAAUGGAGCAUUCCCGAAAAUUAUUGUGGUGACAAUGCUUAUCAAUAAACCUGAAAUAGUUAUGGUGACCUCAACUUGGAUAUACUUGUGAAUGUUGCCAUUGAUACAUCGUCCCCCAUUCAAAAUCGAUGCCAAGAAGCCGAAACUUCUAUCCAAGAUGAUCAAUUCAGAACUCCCGUUGACCAACUCACUACUCCCGGUUCCAGUCACAAUUCCCACGUCUGCUUCUUUGAGUGAGGGAGCAUCAUCUGUUCUGACUCCAACAAAUGCUACAAUGUGGCCUUGUUGUUUCAGACAACGCACUAGAAGGAGCUUGUCAGAAGGGAGAGAGUUGCCCAUCACACAGAUUUCAUUGACCACAUCCUUUCUCUGUUCAUCGCUGAAACUUCGAAAAGUUUCGCCUCCAUGUUCCAAUAUGCCUGGGCCACUAAGCAUUCCGUAUUUUUGAGCUAUGUCUUCUAUUACUGACUCGCCGUCCUCUGAGACAAGCAUGAUUUUGACACCAGCGUUUCUACAAGCUCUCACUGCAUCUAUUGUCUCUUGCGAGCAUUUGUCCUGAUCAUUACUUGAGCUUGUGCUGAUACCAAAACAGAAUGCCUCCUUAACUUCAGGUAUUGCAGAGUCUUCUCUCGUUACCGUCUCAUCAAUCCACCUCUCAUCAACUUCCUGUGGGUUCAUUGUUAGCCAAGCAGUUUUGUCAAUGCAAAUAGCUGUAACUGAGCCCAUGGUAACAAUUGUCAAUUGUUCUUGUACGAUAGCCUUGGUGGAUAGGAUCUUUUUAUUCCAAUAAUAAAUGGCAAGACUAAUGACAAAUGGCACUCCUCCUACCACCCCUACCAGAAAAGUAGCGAGGCAAGGUGUCAAGGCACUGAUUUCCCCGCUCGGUUUCCGAACAAUUCUCUUGAUAAGUUCCAUAACCUCCUUUGUCUUAUGUUCUCCCUUGAUUUCUGGCAAGCUCAAAUCCUCUUUCUCUUUUCCGAGUUUAAACCGCAGGAACAACACUACCAAGAUAAGAAUAGAGGUUGCGAGCCCAGCUAUUUCUGUGUGCUUGCUCACCUUGUCGAGCUGAACUGGUAAUCGCCUCUUGCUGGCCUUGCUUAUCAUCUCACCCAAUGUUGUGUUUAGUCCCAUGGAUGUCACCAUCAUGUUACCCUGCCCCUCAAUCACCUUGGCACCAUAGAAGAGAAAUGGAUUCUGUUUAUUAACAUUGGAUGGAAAGCUUUCAUCCAAUUUUAAGUAUUCGCCAGAUACAAACAAACCAUCCCCAGGAAUAGGGCACCCCCUUUUCAAGGAUACUAUGUCUCCAAUCACAAGAUCUAAGUCUGAUACUUUCAACGGCUUUCCAGCUCUUAUAACAUCGACUUCCAUCUCUCCUUUUCUCCGUUGUCUCUGCUCUUCUAACAGGUUCUCUGGAUUUUCACCCAGAAAAUCACGCACUGCUCGUUCAAUCACAAGUAUGAUGAUCGCAAGAAUUAUGAUGACUCCUUCAUACCAACCAGUCCUCAUGCCCUCCUCCUUGAUCCCGAAGCCAAGGGACAGCGCUGCUGAUACGAUGAGAAGGAAGAUGGUGUACGUAUUGCCGGAUUUCAAGAGCAACUCCAAGAAGUUUCUUGCUGCAUGGACUGGAGUUUUGUAGACUGCAUUGGCUCUGCGUUGACGUAGAUCUUCAAUGUCUCCAGUGAUUCCGUUCUCUAAAUCUGUCUCAAGUACCACCGCGACACGUUUGACGCCUCCAAUAUUAUGCAAGGAAUCCAGGUCCCGUCCCUUCACUAUAUUGGCAAUGUUUUCAAGUUGUAGUUUGAUAUCGCUCGCAGCAUUGCCGGCCUCAUCAUUGCAAGGGACAUCAGUAGAAACUUCAUCUUCUGGUGAGAUUUUUUCAAUUUCAGCUACCUCCAAGUUCAGGGAAAAAAAAAGUUAUUUAGCUGUUAAGGUAUAUUCUUACGAUCAAGUCAGCUCUAAUUUUGGUUUUGGUUGCCAAACGUAGAUGCUAGCAAAUCAAAACAGUAUUAUGUGUUUGGUAAUGUUAUUUAAAAUGUUUUUUCAAAGUAUUUUUUAUAUAAUAUAAAAAAAUAUUAAAUUAAUGUUUUUAAAAUAUUUUUAAUGAUCUUGAAAAAACAUCUAAAAGAAUAUCAUACCUUUUUCAACUAAAAUCUCUUGUUACAUUACUAUAGAGAUGGAACAAUGGCAUGAUCAAGGAAAACACAUACCCUGUGAGGUGGAGAUAACAGCGGGACUCUUGGAGAAUCAUGAUUCUCCAUCUUAUCGCUGUGGGCUUUGGAGAAGAAAACAUGCCCUGCUCGUAGAACCAAGAUAGCAGAUCGCAAAACACUCCCUAGUGCUGGAAUUGCUGGCCCUUUUGAGAUUUUUUCAACAAUCGCAGCAUCGCCUGCCCCAUCAUUGCAGGGGACUUCAAUAGAAACUUCAUCUUCAGGUGAGAUUUUUUCAAUUUCAGCUUCCUCCAAGUUCUGGAAAAAAAAAAGUUAUUUAGCUGUUAAGGUAUAUUCCUAUAAUUAAUAAAGUCAGCUCUAAUUUUUGUUUUGGUUGGCAAACGUAGGUGCUAGCAACUCAAACGAGUAUUAUAUGUUUGGUAAUGUGAUUCAAAAUGAUUUUUUUUAAGUAUUUUUUAUAUAAUAUAAAAAGUGGUAAAUUAAUGUUUUUAAAGGUAUUUUUGGUGGUAUAUAUUACUUUGAAACAUCAGAAAUCACCCAUAAAAAUCAAACCUUUCUCAACUCAAAUCUCUUGUUACAUUACUAUAGAGAUGGAACAAUGGCAUGAUCAAGGAAAACACAUACCCUGUGAGAUGGAGAUAAUAGCGGGACUCUUGGAGAAUCACGAUUCUCCUUCUUAUCUUUGUAGGCUUUGGAGGAGAGAGUGCGCACAGCUAGUAGAACCCAAGCAACACGCCGGAAAAAUUUUCUUGGUGCUGAAAUUCCUCGCCCUGUCUCUUGAGAUUCAAGGUCCAUCUCCUGACUUGUUUCACUACUACUUGUCAUUGCUUUUAGCUUGAUUCUUCCUGCUCAGAAGGAAAGAAAGAUUGUAGUAUCCAAAAUGAAGAAGAAGAAGAAGAAGAAAGAUAAUUGAGGGCCCACAUUAAUAAAAUUUUAAGAAAACAUGGAUCAAAUAUACUGUAAUUUGAUAUCCUUCAACUGUUGUAAGACUAGCCAUCACACUCUACAUCUAAAAUAAAUAGCAUGCAAUUAAAUUAAUUAUGAAAAGUAGAGUCAAGAACGAACAGUAGUAGAGUUACUUUUAGUAAAAGCAGCUACCACCACCACCACCGCGACUACUACAACGUCAAUCUUUGUUUCUCUUCUCGACUGGAAACCCUGCAAGUAAUUAAUAAAGAAAGAUCUUACCUAUUUCUUAAAAAGAAAGCAAACUGCUAUUUCUUCUUUCCACAAAAAGGAAGUUUUUCUCUAAAAACCCAAUCCCAAGUUGAACAGAAGCAGAAACAUUUUAGCGGGUUGGAGGUAGAGAAAUGAAAAGUGAAUUUGCUCAGGAAGACUAGAGAAAGACUGAACGAAAGGGGAAUGGAACUUUUGUGGGAUUUUGAAGAAAGACAAGGAAUUAUGACAAACGAAAAAAAAAAAAAAACAGAAAGAAAGAUUCGAUUGACUGGGAAACAAAAAAGAAAUAUUCAGAGAGAGAAGCACAGAUAUAACUUGAAGAACAUUCUGUGAACCUUCCAGCAUCUUUAAUUUUAUUUUAUUUUUUUAUUUACGUGGGUGUCCGGGCAGCUUGCGCGCACCACGACUAAUUUCACAUUCCACUAAACACCAUGUAAAUCUAGUAGACAUGUAAAGCACCGCGGAGAUGACAAACAUGCACAUGAGGACUCGAACCCAGGAGAAAAGACAAGCCCCUUCCACCGCCAGGCAAGACGCCAGUGCCCAGCAUCUUUAAUUUUAAUUGCACUAGAGGAAAAACAGCUGGUUAAUUUCAUUUUUUCAGUUUAUUAUUAUUUCAAAAAUAGAAAAAAAGAAAAGAGAAGGAGUCAGAUCAAAGAGAGCGUGCGUAAAGAUGAUGCAGGUGGAUCAAGAAAGAAACUAAUAAUAUUUGAUUAUUUGUGAUAAUAUAUAAGGAGUAAUCAAUUAAUUAACUAUCAUAAACUAACUAAACUAAAGGGAUUAGAUUAUUAUUAACUCUUCAUUAAUUGCUAACGCCUCCGGGUGGUCAUUUCUACUCUGUUUUUUUUCCUCUCCCCCUUGAAAGAAAAGUACAAGGAAAGAGCCAUUAUGAAAGAAAGAAUGCAAUAUUUAUUUAAUUGAAGACAUUAGCUAGUUAGCUACCUAAUUACCCUUAUAACCAAAAAUCAUUAAAAUAGUGUUUAUUAUAAUUACUUUCUUAAAAUAUAAGAGACGAAGUCAGGGGAGAUACAAAGGACUCUACACUUUAUGUUUUGAAAAGAAAAAACAUUUGCUUUUAGAAUUGUCCAAGCUGUAACAAAUUUAAUUUAUAUCUUUGCUUUUAUCUCUCUAAUAAAUAUAUUUCUAUUUUUUAUUUUUUAUGUAUAUAUUUCUUUUACGUAAUAUCUAUCUCAUCCUUUUGGCCUUUCGACCUCUUUCUUUAUUUUUUGGAAAAAUUCUAAGGCAAAAUUAUGUUAUUUUUUAAAAGGGCUCAUGUUUUUUCUUUAUUUUAAUUUUGAUCCUUCUAUUUUUAAUUUUUUUUUAAAUAAUAAAAUCAGAUUCUUUUUCUUAAAAUCAAGCAUCAAUAUAAUGUGAGGACUUUUUUUUAUAUCGAUAACUAUAUAAUAAUUAGAUUAAAAUAAAUUAUAAACCUCAAAUCUCAAUUAAUUUAACAUUGAAAUAUGAAAUUAAAAAAAAACAAUUGAUGACCAAAUGCAAAAAAAAAAAAAAGAACCAGAAUUGACACAAUAAUUUUUUUAAAAAACAAAAGGGUUGUCAUUUCUUCUUCAUUUUAAUUCUAUCGCUUAAUUUUAAUUUUUUAAACAAUAAAAUCAAAAUAAUCUUGUGAAAUCAAAUAUCAACUCAAUAUGAGAACUUUUUUUAAGACCUCAAUAACUACACGCAAAAAAACAAAUUAAAACAAAUCAUCAACCCCAAGUCCUAAUCAAUACAGUAUCAAAGAACAAAAUUGAAAAAAAAUAUUAACCAACAAAACUAAAAAAAAAGAACAUUGUUCAAAUCCAUAUUCUUUUGUGCUCAUAUAAACAAUAUUUCCCCUCAAACCUUUUAGUUUUUUUUUAUUUUAAUUUUCUAUGUCAAUCUGCAUGUAAAAAAGCCUUGUUUUAUGAAACAUUGAAGUGAGAUUUGGAUGAGGUUUCAAAAUCCAAUAUGCUUAGAAAUAGAGUUUUUUUAUGGUUGUAUAUAUUAUGGGUUAUUUAAAUAUCCAUGUUCUCCUUAGUAAAGGAAACUCUAUCUUGAUGAAUGUCUUUUAGUAUCUAUAAAAAAAAAAUUUAGAGAUUCAUAAGAUAAAGUUAGUGACCUUAUAGAGAAGAAGAAAAAAAUAAUAAAUAUAUGAAAGAGAAUUAAGUUAGGAUCCUCAAUAAUUUUUUUAAAUAAACAAAAGGGCUACCAUUUCUUCUUUAUUUUAAUUUUGGUCCCCUCAUUUUUUAUUUUUUAAACAAUAUAAUCAAAAUUUUCAUAUAUAUAUAUAUAUAUAUAUAUAUAUAUAUAUUAGGACUAGUUUAGAUUGAGAAUUUAGAUGAAGGUUUUGUUUGUUUGCUGAAAAUUUAUUUUAUUAAGUGAUUUUCAUGGAAAAUGGAUUCUUGCAAAAUGAUUUUUUUUAUGUUUGGUAGUAUAAUGAAAAAUAAGUUGGAAAACACUUUUCAGUAUUUAGUUAUAUCAAGAGAAAUAAAAUAUAAAAUAAUUUAUUAGUAUUUUUUUAUGUUUAUUAAAAGAAUCAAGGUUAAAUCUGACAAAUAAAAAGUUUGAAAGAGGAUGAGAUUGAAAAAAAUCUAAUUUUAUAAAUUAGUUCAAAUAAAACAAAUAGCAAUCAAAAUAAUGAAAACCAGAUCUAACGGAUAAAAAAAUUAAAAGAGGAUGAAAAUAAAAAAAUAAUAUUUUAAUUUCACAAAUUAUUUCAUAUUAAUUAAAAGAAUAGGGAUCAAAUCUAAUGGAUAAUAAAUUUCAAUUAAGAAAAGGAUAAGAAAGAAAAAAUAACAGUAAAAAAAAUGAGGACCAAAGUUAGUAUAAAACUGUAAUUAAAUCAAAUUCUAAUGGAUAAAAUUAAAGAAAAAAAUGAUUCAAAACAUAAUAUAUAGCAAUCAAAAUAUUAAAAACUAAAUUUAAUAUAAUUAACAAAUAACAAGAUUUUUUAUUUAUUCUUUUGCAACUUCUAAAUUGUGUUUUACACCUAAAAUAAAAGAAAUUUUUUUUUAUGAAAAUCAAGCCAAUUUUUUCUUUAAUCGAAAAAUAUUUUUCAUUAAUUAAUUUUAUUAAUGGUAAAAAAAUACAAGAAAAUAAUUAAAAAAUGAUUUUUUUAAAAUUAUUUUUCAUGAAACAAAAAAAAUCUAAAUUUGACAAUAUCUAUCCAAUAUCGGAUACAUACCAAAGUGAUUAAAAAAAAUACUCAUCCAUCUAAAUCAAUUCAAUUCAAUAUCUAUAAAUUUUGAAUUAAGGUGUUAUUUGAGGUUGUAGUGUAGAUUAUUUUUCACCAAAAUUUAAUUUUUUAAUUAUUUUAUAUUAUGUUGAUGUUAAAAACUAAAUAAAAAUAAUAUUUUAAUAUAUUUUUAAGUAAAAAAAUACUUAAAAAAGUGCUCUCCUCGCUUAAUUGCUACUAUGCAACAAAAAGAUACAGGUACAGUCAUUCCAAUAAUUCCCCUGAGCAAAACGUGUCUGUUUUUUUGUUUUUUCCGAGCCGAAAGUGGAGACUAACUCCGUUCACGGAAUGAAUCUGUGGCGGACACCCAUGGUCAUGGAAUCUAAUGUCACAACUCGCUCUCUCUCUCUCUCUCUCUCUCAAGCAGACACGAUCAUGAAUCAUAUAGAGAAUUAAUGUUGUUAGAAUUAUCUUAAAGCAUACAGAUACAUGGUCCUACACUGUACGUACUCUGUCAUAUAUUUCAUUAGAACUCCUUCUCUGAUUCACAUGAUGUUUUGUUUUUACUGUUAAUGCCUUUCAAUUCAUAAUCUCGGGUUCUGUUUUUUGGUUAAGAUACAUUUCAUGAGUUUGCUGAUUUUUUUAUUUUAUUUUUUUUCUGGAGGGGUAGAUCUGAGAAUGAAUGGAGGUCUUCAAUGUCUUCUGUUCCUUUUUAGCCUUAUGUUACCUUUUGCUUCCCCCUCCUCACACUCUUCUUCAUUUCUCCCCUCUUUACUCAAUUUCUUUUUAUGAAGAAUAACUCAGGCCUGCUACACUCUUUCUACGCAGGUCAGAUCAGAUGAACUCCGAACAGUUAGUGCGGCCUGUUCGGUAUGACUGUCAUUUGAAACGAAACUCGUGAACUUGGUUAGCAGCCCACGAGGAUAAGGGAAGGGGAUUCAUGACUUCAAGCUCGGCUCGACUGUACGAUAAACCCCUCGGAUUGCUCAAUGUUGUGAUAAUACAAACAGGUAAGUUUUGUUCUUGGUUAAUUAUUUAUGUGCUGAAAUUGGUAGGUUUUUUUUUUAUGGCAAUAGACAUGGAUAGAACCUGUAAGAUCGAGGGAAACCUAGCAGACCACCUAAAGCAGUACAUUACAUUUUUUAUUUAUUUAUUUUCAAAGCUAACGCUCAUGAGAUCUUACAAGUUAUAAUGAAUUUAAGACCUCGAUUGCUAGAUAACUAUGGAAUGACAUAAUGUACAAGAAUCCUGAGCAAAUUACAAGAAGAAGUUAUUUAUGUACAGCCCAAGAAAAUAUGGAAACAAUGUAAAACAUAAAGAAGCUAAGGUGAUGCAUAAAUGGUGCUUAAUAAGUUCUGAAAAUAGUAUGAACUAAGAAGCAGUUGGUGAUGAAUUCUCAGCAAUGAGUGGAAGCUCGAGAAUACUGGUAGAUUGUGGAAGUUCUGAUCCAGCAAGUGAACUUGAUCUUCUUAGCUUAACCUUGAUGACGCACCAGGUAAUGUUUGCAGCCCCAUCUGUCACACAUGAAAGUGCCCCAAUAAGGAAACAGAUGCCCCACUGUGGACCAUUCAACCUGGCAAACCCAAAGAUGUCAUGUGAAAUCUCAAUGAAUACCACCUGCAACACCACAGUCAGAACAGAGGCCACCCAAAACCAUAGGUUCUGUUGGACACCCUUGACUAAAUUCUUCAGUUUCUGCUCACUGGCAUUGAAUUGGUUGGAAAGUUGGCAGAGAAGAAAACUACUGAAGAUCAUGGCUUUGCUAACAUCCUCGUUGAUAUUUAGAAUAGCUUGCCCUUUGAACUGAAAGGCUAACAAAAUGGAAACCUGAUAGGAAGCUUGUAUGAUUAUAUUCCUCCACAUGGCCUCUGUGAUGAAAGGUUCGGUUGGUCUGAUCGGUGGCCUCUGCAUCAGUUUCUGACUUGGGGGCUCAGUUAAUAAAGCCAACCCACCAAGGACAGCCACUACCAGGUUCACCCAGAUCAUCUGAAUCGCUGUCAUUGGAGCAUACCCGAAAAAUAUUGUGGUGACAGUGCUUAUCACUAACCCUGAAAUAGUUAUGGUGACCUCAACUUGGAUAUACUUGUGAAUGUUGCCAUAAAUACAUCGCCCCCCCUUCAAAAUCCAUACCAAGUAGCCUAAAUUUCCAUCCAGGAUAAUCAAUUCAGCACUCCCAUUGACCAACUCACGACUCCCAGUUCCAGUCACAAUUCCCACGUCUGCUUCUUUGAGUGAGGGAGCAUCAUCUGUUCUGACUCCAACGAAUGCUACUAUGUGGCCUUGUUGUUUCAGACAACGCACUAGAAGGAGCUUGUCAGAAGGGAGAGAGUUUCCCAUCACACAGAUUUUAUUGACCACAUCCUUUCUCUCUUCAUCGCUGAAACUUCGAAAAGUUUCCCCUCCAUGUUCCAAUAUGCCUGGGCCACUAAGCAUUCCAUAUUUUUGAGCUAUGUCUUCUAUUACUGACUCGCUGUCCUCUGAGACAAGUAGAAUGUUGACACCAGCAUUUCUACAAGCUUCAACUGCUUCUAUAGUCUCUUUCCAGCAUUUGUCCUUCAGACCCAGAAGUCCUAUCAAUAUCAAGCGAUCAUCCUCAGGAUUUUCGUCAUCUGUUGUCUUAUAAGCAAGGGCAAUGGUUUUUAGAUGCUUGGACUGCAUGUCAUUAAUAAUUUUCUCAAAAGCCGACCUUUUCUCUGUGUCCAUGUCCACUAGUUUCCCUUCACUAUUGUAGUGCCGGGAGCACAUUUUCAAUAUUUUCGGUGCCAGUCCUUUCCAAUACAGGAAUUUCUUGGUUUCAUUGCCUUCUUUCUCCCUCACCAACACUCCAUUCCCUUCGUCACCAGGGCUCAACUCUUUCAUCCCGAUAAUGGUGUAACUUUGCUUCAAACUCUCCAUGUUAAUCCCGAAUUUCCGUUCAGACCAGGAAAUCAGUGAUUCCUGAUCGUUACCUGAGCUCGUGCUGAUACCAAUACAGAAUGCAUCCUUAACUUGUUCAUGUAUUGCAGAGUUUUCUCUAAUUACUGUCUCAUCAAUCCAACACUCAUCAACUUCGAAUUCCUGUAGGUUCAUUGUUAGCCAACUAGUUUUGUCAAAGCAAAUAGUUGUAACUGAGCCCAUGGUAACACCUGUCAAUUGUUCUUGCACGACAGCCUUGGUGGAUGGGAUCUUUUUAUUCCAAUAAUAAAUGGCAAGGCUGAUAAAAAAUGGCACUCCUUCUACCACCCCUACCAGGAAAGUAGUCAGGCAAGUUGUCAAGGUACUGAUUUUCCCGCUCGGUUUCCAGACAAUUCUCUUGAUAAGUUCCAUAACCUCCUUUGUCUUAUGUUCUCCCUUGAUUUCUGGCAAGCUCAAAUCCUCUUUCUCUUUUCCGAGUUUAAACCGCAGGAACAACACUACCAAGAUAAGAAUAGAGGUUGCGAGCCCAGCUAUUUCUGUGUGCUUGCUCACCUUGUCGAGCUGAACUGGUAAUCGCCUGCUCUUGCUGGCCUUGCUUAUCAUCUCACCCAAUGUUGUGUUUAGUCCCAUGGAUGUCACCAACAUGUUACCCUGCCCCUCAAUCACCUUGGAACCAUAGAAGAGAAAUGGAUUAUGUUUAUUAACAAUGGAUGGAAAGCUGUCAUCCAAUUUUAAGUAUUCGCCAGAUACAAACAAACCAUCACCAGGAAUAGGGCAUCCCCAUUCCAAGGAUACAAUGUCUCCAAUCACAAGAUCUAAGGCUCGUACUUUCAACCGUUUUCCUCCUCUUAAAACAUUGACUUCCAUCUCUCUUUUUCUCCGUUGUCUCUGCUCUCCUAACAGGUUCUCUGAAUUUUCACCCAGAAAAUCACGCACUGCUGGAACGAUCACAAGUAUGAUGAUUGCAAGAAUUAUGAGGACUCCCUCGUACCAACCAGUCCUCGGGCCCUCCUCCGUGAUCCCGAAGCCAAGGGACAGCGCUGCUGAUACGAUGAGAAGGAAGAUGGUGUGCCUAUUGCUGUAUUUCAUGAGCAACUCCAAGAAGUUUCUUGCUGCAGGGACUGUUGUUUUGUAGAUUGCAUUGGUUCUGCGUCGACUUAGAUCUUCAAUCUCUCCAGUGAUUCCGUUCUCUAAAUCUGUCUCAAAAGCCUCUGCAAUACCCCGGACGCCACCAAAUGCAUGCAAGGAAUCUAGGUCCCGUCCCUUUACUAUAUUGGCAAUGUUUUCAUGUUGUAGUUUGAUAUCGCUCGUAGCAUUGCCGACCUCAUCAUUGUGAGUGGCAUCAAGAGAAACUUGAUGCGUUGGUGAGAUUUCUUCAAUUUCAGCUACCACCAAAUUCUGUAGAAAAAAAAGUUAUUUAGCUGUGAAGGCAUAUUCUUACGAUCAAGUCAGUUCUAAUUUUGGUUUUGGUUGCCAAACGUAGGUGCUAGCAACUCAAACAAGUAUUAUGCGUUUGAUAAUGCUUUUAGAAACAGUAGUCUAGAGAUGGAACAAUGGCAUAACUAAGGAAAACACAUACCCUGUGAGAUGGAGAUGACAGCAAGACUCUUGGAGAAUCAAGAGUCUCCUUCUUAUCGUUGUAGGCUUUGGAGAAGAAAACGUGCCCUGCUCGUAGAACCAAGAUAGCAGACCGCAAAACAUUCCUUGGCGCUGGAAUUGCUGGCCCUAGCAGUCCUACCUCUAGAGAUUCGGGGUCCAUCUCCCGACUUGUUUGGCUACUACUUGUCAUUUCUUUUAGCUCGAUUCUUCCUUCCCAGAAGGAAAGUAAAGAUUAUAGUAUCAAGAAGAAGAAGGGAUUUUUCAAUACAAGCUGUGGUAUAGAUGAUGAACUCAAGGGGGGUGAGUGUGUGUGUGUUUGUAUAAAUAGAGAGGGAGAUGGAAGAAGGAAGUCAGGCAAGUAGGGUGGGUUAAAUAGCAAGUAUGGCUGAAUGAGAAGAGUGUCGACGAAGCUGCUGUGUUCAGAGGAGGAAGUUGUACUGUAAUUUACUUUCCCGGUUUCCAUUUCUUUUUGGUGGCCGAUGAUGUGCAUGAAAUCAAUUGCUAAAGCCUACAAGUUGUCGUUUCUACUUUGACAUGUCUUCUUCUUUCCAAGUAAGUACAGGGAAAGAGACUUGAGAGCAUGCAUGCAAUAUUUAAGUCAUUAAAGACACUAUCCCACUCGAUUCGUCCUCUUAAUUUUCACACUAUGUUUUUUCUCGGUCCCUUCGUCAAUGGCUAUGACCUAUGAAGCUUUCUAAUAUAUAGUUUUAUGGCUUUGAAUUACUUUGAUACAUUCGCAGCUAUUGCUGGGUAUGUUAAGCUUCCCUGCAAUUCGUAACCCCAAAAUUGGAUUAUGUUAAAAUCCACGUGCAAGAUUUUCUCUCUCGAAACAGAAAAAAUUGAGUGCAUGUUCGGCUAUUACAUUCCGAAUGCCUGGCAGACCAAUUUAAUACUGUUGUCUGCUUUUUAUAUAUAUAUAUGACAAUAUUCUCGUAUUAAAAUUAUCAAUCUAAUACUUUUUUAAAAACAAAAAAUACUCAAAAAAAUCAUUUUAAAAUACAAAUAAUCGUUGGUUUCAUUAAUUGCUAGCUUUUUCAUGGGUGUUAUGACCAUCGCUGGUGUUCCAUAUUUGGGCACGACUUGCUCCAAACUAUGAGUAUAGCGCUCAACAUAAUGUCGUUAGAAUGGAUAAUUGUUGAUUAUUAAUUAGGUCAUAAUCACAAACAUUAGAAUCUUAAAAUAGAAGGUUUAAUUAAUAUAGAGUACUAAUUAAUAUAAAAUCAUAUCCUACAAUUUUAAAUUGAGAAAUUAUUGAGUGAACUAAGAUCAUGGACCAACUAAUAAAUUUAUUCCAAUCAUUAAAUUAGAGAAUUAUAUUUUUAAGAUUUAACCGUAUAAUCAUAAUUAAUAAUACGACAAUCAUAGGAUCGAUGAUGCAAACAUAUUUAAUGAUGUGUAAGAAUAUAUGGGGCUUGAUCUAUGAUUUUAAAUGACAAACUAAAUUUACCAAAUAACAUCUCUUUAAACUAGAUUUAAUUGAAGUGGUUUGGAAACAAGCAAAAUUCAAAGAAGAAAAAACAAAAAGCAGUGGAAAAGGAGAAAAAUCUAUGAAUUAGAGGCUCAUAAAUGUCCCAUGACAUUACAACAUUGCAGCCUAGCUAGUAACCUUGUAUCCCUAAUAUAGUAAUGGUAUAUAACAACAGCAACUCAAAAAAGAAAGAGCAAAAAAGGAGAUCAAAUACAAAAAAACAAUGCCCAAGUAAUUAAAUUAAUAUAAUAAUGAAGAUAAUAGAGCAAUAUGUAGCCCAAGUAAAUUAAAUUAGAACUAUGGCAACAUAUAUUGCCAUUUGUCAAGCAUCCAAUUCAAUAUAUUAUCUUGAACAAAUAAUAAUUUAAUUUUUUCUUUGAUACAUAUUAAGUAUUUCUCAAAUGUGUUUAGGUUGAAAAGUAACAAAAUUAUGAUACUUGAGAAAAAGCAUCUAAUUGAUAACCUUAUGGAUACUUUGCUAAGAAAAAUUAUAUUAUGCUUUUUAUUAAAAAAAAAAAUCUUUCGUGCAUAUUUUAACUUUAAAAUAUCUAGAUAACGUUAUUAAUAUAAUAUUUAAUAUAGUUAAAAGGAAAUGAAUAAGGUGCUUUACAGCAUCCUUUGUUACAAAGUAUUAUUCAAUGGAUUUGUAAUUUUAGGGUUUCAUGGAAAACUUAUAAAACCUUUUAUUAUGUAAUUUUUCUUUAAUCUUCUAAGUCUCUCUAGUAGCACUGAUUAAAAGCAAUUAUCGGGUUUGUAAAACGCAUUUUAGAGUUUCUCUAUAGUUUUUUCUUUUUUAUGAAAAAAAAAAAAGAUAAACUGGAAAUGAAAAAAUCAGGAUUCAUCUGUUAGUUUAGUUAAAACCCGGUUAUCAAAUUGUUAAUUUUUCUAAAAAAAUAUUUUUAUCAGAGGCCAGGAUUGAAACUUCCUCUAUAGUUGGAGCCUUGGAGGGUAUUUAUAGAUAUGACCGAACACAAAUAGAGAAAGAAACAGAGAAAGAGUAGAGCAGCGAGCAAGAACUCAAUCGAAGUAAAAAAAAAAAAGGGAAGAAAUCAAGACCAGAAAAUGAACACAGACAUCACAGCAUCGGCAAAACCAGAGUACCUAGUAAUAGAUCGAAACCCAGCAUUCACUAAGGUUGUUGGCAACUUCAACACCCUUGAUUACUGUCGUUUCAUCACCCUUACUGGUGUCUCUGUCACUGUUGGCUACCUCUCAGGUACAAAUUUUGGGGCCCUUGGGGGCCCUUGGGCCCUUGGGCCCUUGGGCGCUUGGGCGCGCGCGCGUGACGUCCCGCAGCCCCCGCAGCCAUGCUAGGCUGACGAAAACAGGGGGCAACUUCAACACCCUUGAUUACUGUCGUUUCAUCACCCUUACUGGUGUCUCUGUCACUGUUGGCUACCUCUCAGGUACAAAUUUUACAUCUUUACCUCUUCUUUUAGUUCAUUUAUGUCGAAAUUACUCAUAUGCAAAUGGGUUUUGGUUUUGGUUUUUGUUUUUGUUUUUGUUACUAAUAGGGAUAAAGCCAGGGCUUAAGGGACCAUCAAUGGUGACAGGAGGAUUGAUUGGUUUAAUGGGUGGUUUUAUGUAUGCUUAUCAGAAUUCUGCCGGGAGACUUAUGGGGUUUUUUCCUAAUGAGGGUGAGGUUGCUCGUUACCAGAAACGGGAUUUUAGCAGAUAAAGAUUUCAACUUUUUGAUUUUUUCAUGAAAUUUGGCAUCUUUGUAAUGUUUUGAAUCGCUUUGAGUGGUGACGAUUAAUAAUAAUUGGAUUGGUAGGAGGACUUGUCGCAUUUUGUAUGUUCUGCUUUUGGUAAAUUGUCGUGAAAGUUUUGAUUGAUUGGAAGUCAAUUGUGUGUUAUUGGAAAAAGACUGGAAGAUAAAUUUUGAACCUUGAUGGUUUUUGUUUGUUGAUUGAGUUGAGAUUUCUACGUGUUUGGUGCAAUUUGUUGGGGUUUUUGAGAGGGAUUGGAUUGCUACGUCAAUUGGGUGUCUCUAAAUCCUGGUUUUAGGUUCUCUAUAAAUGAAAGCAAAUGUCCUGACGCCAUUAGAAACUUAACUGAUUGAUGUUUCAUUAUAAUUAGAAGAGCUUCAUUUAUUGGAUAAAAGCUUCUUUCUGUGUUCACUUUUGUGUGUCAUUCUGUCUGAUUUCGUUGAGGUAUUUGUAUACAUUAAUGAGCUUAUGUGGAUUAGAUUUAAAAAAAUUCCUGGUGGAUUUUUUUCGCUUUUUAUCUUUAGUGGUUUCUGUCUUUGUUUGGCUAGGUGGCAGGGCAAAGAGGGUUUGCAUCCCAAGAAGACUGAAAUUUCACAUUUAGAUGGCCAAGAGAAAAUGGGAAUUGAUGCUGGAUUAUCUAGUGGAAUUUUAGAAUUGAUGAUGAUAUUUUAAGUUAGCCAGCUAUCUUCAAUGUUGAUGGUUUGUUUGGUGCAAUGCUAAAGAUGUGCUAGCAUUAAUUUGCUGCUACUUAAAUGCUUAGGUCUAUUCACUCGAGUACUUCUAUUUGGAUGUUUACUUAGUCAUAGACAAUUUUUCUGGGAAUUCUGGAAAUUACAAAAAUACCCUUGCUGACCUCGAUUUUGAAAUGUCGAAGUAGAAAAAACCACAAAACUUGCAGCAACAUCCUCGCCUCAUUACUACAUGGUUGAAAUAGGAACCAGAAACUCUUUCUUUAGAGGUGAUAGUAACGAUAAUGUGAGAUUUUUGCUAUCAGUUUCACCAUCAAAUCCGGAACAAUGAACUCCAUUGGUGCUUUCAGUACCAUUUCUCCUUGCCAUCCUUGUUUUCAUUGACAUUGUGCUCAUCAUGUUCCUUCUUUUGUUCAGCUAUAUCAAGUGUAAAUACAACUCCUUAGCCUUUGAAUUUUUUUAUUAGAAAAUGCCUUUUCUUGUUCACUCUCCACAUCAUUGCCAAUCUGAAAUACCUUUGUUUCUUGUUGAAUCUUCCCUUUGGAAAACAAUGCCAGAUUUUUCUUAUCAACAAAAGCAGGUUGUUCUAUCUAUUUUGCAUGCCACUUUGUGAUUUCAGCUUGUUGAUCUUGCUUCUCAUGUUUCUGUUUAAGAUUUUGUGUACCUUGUUCUAAGAUUUCAGUAUGCCAAUAAGAAUCUGUUGCUUUAUCUUUUUUUUUCCAACCCUAGUUGCAAACCUCGAUUUUUCAAGUUCAUUGCUAAGUUUAGUUUCUGUGUCAACAGGAUACUUGCUUAGGACAACCUUUCUCAGCCUAUCUAAUGCUAGUUGCACCCUAUCAAACCUGUCAUUGAUAGAUAUUUCUAUUGCAUCCAUCGUAUCAUUUGUAGACUUCAGUCUUGCUUCAACUGCUUGCGUAAUGGCCACAAACUUGGGAUUCAAUUCGUCGACAGUCACCAUAGUUGAAGUAGAACACAACAAAAGCUCCUAGGAUCUUGAAGCUCAAAUGCAAAACGAUGCAGGACAGCCUAGGGGCUGUUCUGAAUCUGACUUUUAGAGGCUGUUCUAGGGCUGUUAGCACUGUAUUAGUGUUAAUUUGUGAAGGAAUAGGAGAAAGGAUGUAGAUACAUUCUAGGAGUCACACCUAGAGUUCUUAAGAAUCACACCUCAGCGGAGAUUGAGAAUUGAGGUAGGAUUGGUCAAAGAAUAAUACUAGAUAGAUUGUAGUUAGAAAAGAAAAGAACAGUGGAUGGAGAUGCCAGAUUUAACACCAGUCAGGAGAUAUAAGCCGUCUCUAUAUUAUAUAGGCAUCUGUUAAUAGCAACUUUAGCACUGAGUUAGGGUAAGUCAAACAAUAGAAGUAGAGAUAUUGUAUUAACCAAAAAAACGUGGAUGGACCUAAUUUGGAGAAUUGGAUACUGAGUACAAGCAGACUAUGGUGAUCCUUUUCAAAAUAGCCUUGUUGGUUGGUUAUGUGGACUGUCCUGUUAUGUUGGUUUGGCAACAAGCAUGAGUAUAGAAUUGGCCAUGUCAUAGCAGAGGGGUUACAGGCGGUUAUGGGGUGAGUUGGGUUCUGUAGAGGGUAUUAAUCUUACGUCUCAUGCCUGCUCUGUGCCUCUGUCUUUCAUCUAUAGCGUAAUCUGUUUUAUAACUUUUGAAAACUCUUGACAAGGAUUGGAAACUUUGGUUGUCUCAUGUUCUGUGAGAAGGAAAUUAUUGUAUUGACGUCCUAGCUAAACUUGCGAAGCUUAUGGUGUGUGAGUGAAGUUGAUUUUCCCUCCUCCAGAGCACUUUGCUCAUGGGUAAUGCUUGUGGAGUCCCCUCUGUUAGGUUCUAGUUCCCUUUCUCGAUUUCACUGCCCUGAAAACUAAAAAUAAAUACAUACGGUGAAUUGUAUCACUAACCCUGAAACUACAUGACAAGCUAAUGCCCAUGGUUGUCAAUGAGGCCUUGAGCAGUGGUAUCAAGACGCCAAGCCUGAUGGCAGAGUCCUCUUAGCUCAGCCUUGAUAAGUUACUGCUAUGAAGAGUUCAAGCGGCAUGCCUUAUCGGUCAGAGUCUUGCCGAGUCUUUAUCUUGAGUUUCCUGUCAUGUACUCUUUCUGACCACUAAGUAACAAUGGUGGUCUUACUUGCUAGUUUAUCUUAAUCUUUGCUUGCUGAGCUACUGGAUGACAGUACGAGGUCAAGCAGAGUGGAGGAUUUGGUAGGUCGAGGUCUUUUUGCUGCUAGUUAUCCUGAGAGCUGGUAUCUUUGUGGAUGAUGGGCUCAAAAGGUGCACAAUGGACCGUGUUCCUCUCCUUCUGUCAUUGUUGGGCAAACUCAAGAUUUGACUACCUUUUGCUUGGCUAUAUUAGCUGUCUCUAGCUAUACUACUGAGAUGACCUUUUGGUGAUAGGGAAGUUCUGCUAUUGGUGUUGAUAGGGAAGUUCUCACUGGUCUCUGCAUCAGAUUUUAUCUUAUGUUUUCAUUCUCAAGAUAAUAAUAAUAAUAAUAAUAAUAAUAAUCUGAUUUUUCUAAAACAUGAUAUAAUCUGGUCAAAGUCGGUGGUGUAUCCAAGGAAAAAAGAAGAAGAAAAGUGGAUGCAAUUUCAUGGAAAAUGCUUGGGGAGGAAAGAGCUUUGAAGAACUCUGCAACAAUUCAUUCAAGUCUCAUUGGCUGACUGUAACUCUCAAAACAAAACAAAAAAAUCAAUUUCUUUCUAGUCUUAUGGUAAACGAAGCAAGUGACCUCAUCCCACCAAGAAAACGUUAAAAAGCUUUACUACCGCCGCUUCAUUCUUCUGGCCAGAAAGGAUAGAUUCUUCCACCCAAAUCCAUACAAAAGGAAGAGUCCAGCAAAGAUUUGAUGAGAGUGACCCUUAAACAAUAUUAAAAUAUUGCAAUUGGGUCCUUGCCCAUCGAGAAAGUGAGUUGAAUCAGCUGGCUGGAUGAGGACAAAUUACUUUCAAAAUUGAGAUAAUCACACAACCAGAUUUUCUAGGCUACGGAGCUUUUGAUGAUUUUUUUUUUUUUGAAAAAAAUAUGCAAAUUAGUACGGUAAGAAAAUAGCACAGUUUUGGUAAAAAUCAGAGAUGAAAACUUCCAUAUUUUAAAUAAAUAAUUAAAAUAAGUUGAGAUAAAUUUCAAGAAGAAAAGGAAGAAGAAGAAGAAGAAGAAGAAAAUGAAUGAGAUGAUGAAAGUUUUGAUAAUGAUAUCUUUAAUAUUAUCAAAAAGAUUGAAUUAAAGAACACUAAGAAAGUUUACCGAUGAUUAUUAAAAGGAUGGUUUUACAUUGCGAUUUAACCAUGUUUUUCAAAGUUUUUUUAAAAGAUUUAAGUUAAUAUUUUAUUAUUAUUAUUUGGUUGGAUUAAUAUAAAAAUAAAAACAAAAUUAACCUCUAGUAAAGACAACAGGUGCCCCACUUGUCAUGUAAUGAAGCUUCGCCAUCACACAAGCAGAUAUUCUAGCCUAGGGCAUGGAGCUUUUGAUCUGGCCUGCCCCUGCUUGACGUAGGAGAUGACUCACCUGGGUCCCAUGUUGUUGACGUAGAUGGUGAUUGCAAUGACAAGAAUCAUAACAACAUGACGUGGAGUGCAGAUUCGAUUAGAUUUCUUGAAUUCCUAUGUGGUUUUGGCACUGCAUUAUUUAGAAAUUGGACAGGAUAUUUUAUGAUGUUGCAAAAUAUACAAUGCAUGUAGGUUUUUUUUUUAUUGUAUAGAAAUUAUUAAAGCAUAAUUAAGUUUACAUGGACUUUACAUGGAAAUAUCAGUUUUGAUUCAACUCCAAGGAAUAAGAGCUAUUUUUUUUUAAUUAUUUUUUUAUUUUUAUAUCAUUUUAAUGUGCUGAUAUUAAAAAUAAAUUUAAAAAAAUAAAAAAUAUAUAAUUUUAAUGUAUUUUAAACAAAAAAUAUUUUAAAAAAUAAUUAUUAGUAAAAUACUAAAUGAGCUUUUAAUUUAGUUAUCAACAAUAUUUUUUUUAUUAUUACGUAGAAUUUCUGAGUUUGAAGUUCAAAGUACAUGAAAGAAAGUUUUUCCUUCAGAAUACAUUAGAGCAAUAUAAGGAGUGUCAUUCAAAAUACAAACUAGUCUAACAAUAUUUUUUAUUGUCAAAUAAAAAUAAAAAUAAUUCCUUUGAAUUAUUUAUUUUUGACAUAAAGCGCUCGGGGGUUGUAUUAUACGAUCAUGGAUUCUAUGUUGUAUUGCUAAAAAAUUAGAGGGGUUUUUACUAUUUUAUUAUAAUUAUUCGUGAGUUAAAAUUCAAAUCAAAUGGUUUUUUAAAAAUCGGUGAAAUUCUUUUUUUUUCAUAAAUAUAUAUGAGUAUGAAAAAGACGGAUCGUUAGAUUCUUUAUGCUAAAAAUCCUAAAACUUAAGCUGUUUCAUUGGAAUAAAUAUCAACUUGGUGAGCUGUUUUGUCCUUUCAUAAUCUCUUGUACAAUCAAUUAAAAUCUUUAAAAUUAAUAUACAUAUAUCCUAAUUAUCAUCACAAGCAUUUGUUCAUCCUUUAAACAUUGGUGUUGAUGAUAAUAACAUUCAAUGGAAUGCUAAUAACUCUUAAUCUUGAUCUUGAUUUGCGCACGCGUGCACGUGUGUGUACAAGUGAUGGCAAAGGGCUUGAGAUCUAUACAGCAGGUCUCGAGUUCGAGUCAGAGCGUGCAUCUCUUAUAAGAAUCUGGGACCGCCGGUGUUUUACUCGCUCACCUGGAUCCACAAAGUGUAUUUUUCGAGAAGUGGGGUUUUCUCGAAUUAAAAAAAAAAUACACUUGAUCUUCAUUUAUAAUUUUUAUAAAUAUAUUUUGAUUAUAUAUUUUUCAAACAAGUUGAAAUAGAUGAAUUGAUUUACGAUGUUAAUUAAUAAAAUUUCCUGUGAUGUAUAUAUCUCGUGUAGGAAUUGUAAUUGUUCUCGUCACAUUUAUUACAAUGAAAAGGAUAAGAAACGAAGAUGUCAAUGAGAGCAACAUAGCCCGAAAAUGAGGGAAAUUAAAUAGGAUAGACCAAUCACAGCACAGAUUAAUUUCAAGAGAUUGUGACACCCUGAGAACAAGAAAUUAUCCACUGCAUCGUGCAAUAAUUAAGGAACAAAAAUGGUCCCCAAUCAAUCUCUACGCGGGAUGGUUUUCUUGUAACUGGUCCUUCUUUCAUGUUUUCGCUGUGAUGUGAUGCAUGAUGAUGACAAUGAUUGGUGAGGACCCACAUUAACACCAUGGUACUGACGCGCACCGUAUCUUUUUUCGAGUGGAGUGGCGCAGAAGGUGCUGCAUGUGAUUGAUUAAUGCCACUCAGAUAUAAAUUUUCAUUAUCAAUAUUAAUAUUGUUUUUAAAUAAAGGAAUAAAAACCACAGUGGAUUGACGUAAUGAUUAAAAAUGUAUGCUUUUUUAGAUUUAAAUCUUGAGAUUAAUAUUCAAGAUAUUUAUUAAAUUUAUUUAUAUGCAUUAAGUUAAUGUAAAAUAUAUAUUUUUUAAAAUCAUUAAAAAAGAGAAUUUAAUCUUGAUUGUUGAUGCGUAAAUUAAAUUUAAAAUAUCAUUUAUUGAUAGAAAAAAAAUAAAAAAACUAUGAAUAAACAUGCCUGCCUCUACAAUUAUAUAUAAAAUAAUAAAUUUUCAAGUGAAAUAUAUUCGAAUCUCAAUAAUUUUACUAUCUUUAAUCAUAAAAUAUAGAUAUUUAUCGAAUUAAACACUAUAAAAUUUUUUUUCUAUGUCUGUAAUAAUCUAUUAAAAAAAAUAGAUUCGAGUCUCUCAAAUUCAAUAUGUAUUUAGCUCACUAUAAUAUUAAAGAAAUCAUGAACCAAUAGGAUUAUAAAAUAAAUUUUUUUUAUUUGUUAUUGUGACAAGGUUGGUUCAAAUUAUGUUUUGUUUUAAUCAUAAUUUUGAAUAAUAUUUGAUUAAUUAACAUAUACUAUAUUUUUACAAGGUUCUAUUAAAAACUAUUUUUAAAAACUUUAAUUACAAAAAAAUAUAAUUUAUAAUUUUUUUUAAUUUUUUUUUAAAAUCUAUAAUCAUAAAUACUACCUCCGUAAACCGACACAAAAAAGAAGGCAAAUCGAGGUUAAAGUAUAAAUAAAUUAAAGAAGCUUGAAAAAUAAAAAAUAACAAAUAACCGCUUAAAAUAAGUAGCUUCGAAGAACGUGAGGCCAUGUUGACCUUCCAGCUAGAUGCCCCCUUUAAUAGAUUGCCCUUGGAAUUUCAAACAUUACUGCAAAUACCACUACACCACCGUGUCUCCUAACGCGCCCCUGGUUUUGGUCAUAACGGUGAUGGCUACUGAGGACCGUGACCGUUAGAACAUCCGUCUACUAUCAAAAUAUCAAUUACUUGAAUACUUUUAAGGCUGGGGAACGCGGUUUGGAGUUUGUACCGCGUUUUCUUAUUUUUUUUAAUAAAAAUUAAAUUUUUAUAUAUGUUUUGAUUGUUUUGAUAUAUUAAUUUUUAAAAUAAAUUUUUAAAAAUAAAAAAUAUCAUUUUAAUAUAUUUUUAAACGAAAAAUAAUUUAAAUCAUUAUCGUUAUCACAAUUCCAAACAACCAUGGCUUUACUAAAAAUAAGUUUAAAAAUAUGUUAAUUAAAUUGAUUCUAUAUUAUAGCUAAUAAGAAUCAUUGGUGAUAUUUUAAAUCUUAUCACUAAUUUUAAAUUCAAUAAUUUAAAUUAAGUAAAAAUUAAAAAGAAUUCAAUUAUUAUCAUUUUUAUAAUCAUAAUCUUGUUCAUUCAAUUUAAAUUCAAUAAUUAUUUUUUUUAAAAAAAUAAACAUGAUGGAAUCUCAAUUCAUUAAUCAAUUAAAACGAAUCUAUCUCAUCAUGACCUCUUCAAUAACGCUUUGCUUAAUUUUGACCACGUUUUACAUUUAGCUGAAAACAUUUAUAAUAUAUAGUCUAAAAAAUCAUGGCCGAGUCCUUCCAAAUUAAUUCACAUGUCACCCUACCAGUUAGCUUUGAAGCUUCCCCUCUGCUUCUGAAGACGACGACAUGUCCCAAGAAUUCAAACAUCAUUCUUGUUUACUUCAUCUUAAGUUGGUCGUAAAAUGAGGCUUUUAUUACUCCAUACUUUAUUAGCAAUUUCCUUUAGAUUUAUACUAUGCUGGUUCACAAAUAUGUUAAGAAACAAGAUUUUCUUUAACAUUUCGUGUGUAGUUAGAGUAGUUUGAGAGGUUUAUUUAUUUAUUUUUGAAGGGGUACAAAUAUAUAUAUAGUUAUAAAAUCCGACCUGUUUCAUGACACGAUUCGAUACACGGGUUAGGUGAAAUAUUAACUUGAAUCGAUUCAAAUUAAUGUUGUUUUAAUAUUUUUUUAAAAAAACUUAAAAUAAUAUCGUUUUAAAUUUUUUUAAAAAAUCAAACCGAGUCUCAUUUGAAUUUUGUGGGUUGAUCGAGUUUGAUCAGGUUGACUCUCAACUUGGUUCGAUAUAAAAUUAACUAAGUUCAAAUUAGAUUUUAUAUUGAUAGGUAUACUGAGUUUCAUAAAAUCAAUUUUUAUCUAGAUUUGACAUAAAACUAGAUUUAUAUUACGUUUUAAAUUAAUAAAUUAUCAAGUUAAUCUACUAGAUUAUCUGACGAGUUUUAUAACUAUCACUUAGAGCAGCUCUAUAAUGUAAGCUAGUAAUAUUAACGUGUAGAAUGUGUUGUGCGCGGGAAAAUAUAGAUCAAAAUUGAUAAAUUUGGACGGCAGAAUAUAUUAUUAUGCGCUACACGGACAAGCACCUCCAUCCCGCGGUGCUUCAUGUCAAGAACUCUGAACAUUUUGCAACCCACAAAAUACAAAUGCUAUGCCCUUGCAGCCCUUCUGACAAGAAGAUUAUAUGCAUGGAAUAAUAUUAAUAUUCUUCCCUCCUUGAGCUAAGUGAAGAUAUGUAAUCUACUACAUAUCUGCCUAGUUUAAUCAUACAUUAAUCACAGACAAGAGUAUCAUAGUAUGCGCUCAUCAAAGUGGGGGUGCAUACCUUAAGCACAACAAGUCAACAUUGAUGGCAGAAAUGGUUGUAUGCCCACAAACUUCCCUGACUCCCAUGCCAAUAAAUAAAUAAAAUAAAAAAUUCACAUACCUAUGACAAAGAAGGUAGCAUUAGCAACACCAAUGAAGAUUCCUAAUUCAAUACAAUUUUUAAAUCCAAGAUGUAGUUAUAAAUAAUUAUUUAUUUUCACCCUUGACCAGGUUGUAUAUACCAAAGUAUUCAGUCUCUGAAACACGGCAGUCCAUUUGAAUUCUUUACUCCCCAAAUGAUAUUAAUAUUCUUAUCUUAUAUUUGAUGAAUAUUUAAGCUAUUUAUUAGUUGACUUUUGGACAUAUUGUUUAUACUCUUAGCUAAUAUACGAACAAAGAAAUCCUUAAAAAAUUAUCUAAAUGGUAAAAAAAAUAACAACUUGAAGAUCUUAUACUCAAGCUCUUAUCACUAGUUUUUGUUUUAAGAUAAUAUAUUUAUCUUCAAUUAGUUAUUUUUAAAAAUGUGAAGUAAUUUAAACUUUGAUUCUGAUGUCAAAUAAAAUUAUCAUUAGUUUUUUUUUAAUGACAUAUCUGUAUUGAAUUAAUUAUUUUUUAAAACAAUCUGAACUUUGGUUUUGAUAUAGAAUACAAUGAUAACCUCAUUAAAUUACCAUUUUAAGAAUUAUAUUAAAAAAAACCUAAGCAUGAAAAUGAAUAUUGCAAUUUUGGAUUGCUACAAGCCACAUAUAAUAUAUGGUGAUUGAAGGUUGUUUUUAUAUAUAUAUAUAUAACAAAGUUAUUAUUAAACCAAUUCCAAUUUAAAAAUUAAAUCACAAGCUCGAGAGAUUGAUGUGUGAUGGUUAUUUUUUUCCUUGUUGGAAGAUUGAAGUAGUGGUUACUCUUGGACUUCUAGAAGUCUAGUCAUUCCUUCAUACACGUUUGGAUGGUAUUGAUGUAGAAAAGUGAAACUUGAGGGGUAUUCGUUGUCUAGUUCGGACCAUAAAAGGACCAAUGGAUGUCCUCAUUUUUGACACGAUGGUUGCUGCUCUAUGUUAGCUGUACAAGAAAGAACAUCCACAAACUGAAAACCUGAGAAAGCUUUGGAGAGUUUAAGGUAUGCAAAGUAACUCAUCAACUCUUCGUUAAAUUUAACAAUUAAGUAUGAUUUUCUAGAUGGGUUUUGUCUGAAAUUGAGCCUUGCUUUUUUUUCUCUGGGUGGUCUGAGUGUUUGAUGGACUAAGGUUUUGGCCUGAGUUUGAGGUCCAAGUUCAUGUCUCUUGGAGAUUUUAUGAGUUUAAGGAUAUGAUUUGGUGUUAGAAUUCAUGGAACUGAGUUUUCUUUUCUUGUUUGAAUUGAAAUUUAGCAUCUUUACGGGGGGAAUUGAAAAUUUAGUUCUUGUAGUAUAGUUAUUUAUAGGUAUGAAUUAAUUUAGUUCUUGUACACAUCCCUUUAAAGUUUUAGCUAUUUAUAGGUAUGAAUUAAUUAUCAUGGAUUUUAGCUGUUUAAGGAGUGGAAAAGGUAUGUUUUUGGAUGUUGAUUGCUUAAUUGUGCUUGCAAAUUAGUGUUAGCAUCGUUGAAAGAUUAAUCAGAUUUGUUCCAGGCAGGAUUUAGGCUGUUUUCUGUCACAGGAAAUUUAAUGGCUAAUGAAUUUUGCAAGUUUGAUUUUUUAUUUUAUUUUUGGUUUGUGUAACAUAGAUUUUAUGCUUUAGCAUCUGGGAAUGAAUUUCUUUUAUUCCCUUUAUUCCAUUUUCUUUCUUGUUUGCAUGUCGGUUUGUCCACUACAAGCAGUCUUUGGCCUUUAAGUGCCUUUUCUUCCUCUUAUACCUGGUUGCUUUUGUUGCUUCCGUUGAGUGAGUUGAAUUAGUACCAAAAGUAAUAGUGUAAAUUCUAGGUAAGAUAAUGGAAUAUGUUUUUCUGGUUGAUGAUAUAGCUUCUGAUUCUAGGGGUGGUCACUUUUAAUGGUUGAUGAUGAUCAAUCAUCAUUAUGGAAUAUAAUUUUUCCUCUUCAUUUAUUUAUUUUUCCGACCCAGAGAAGUAUGUUCUUAUAGACCAGUUUGCAUUUUCUUCUGGAUCUAAAUGAAGUUGCUCUAUGCUUCUGCAAAACUCAAUGUAUUCUUGCAAGUUUACCUUGUUUCUUCGUUGCUGCUUUUAAAUUAGUCUGCAAUAGUGGGUUUCAAGAGCAUAGUUUGAUUGAUAUCGGAAACUGGGUUGGGGAGAACGGAUUCACAAGUCCUACCUCUAAAUGGUAGACCUUGUAUUUGUUCUCAAAUUUUGUUCCAUUUUUCUUCUUCUAUGGAGUUUGAACAAAAAGCUUUUUUAAAAUUGAUUGCUGAAUUCUCCUUUUUUUUUCUUGGGGACGAAACCAAAAGCUGAAGUUUAUUUUGAAACAAAAAUGUAAUGUUUUCCACAGAGAUGCUUCUUGAAAUCUUUUCCCUUUGCUGUUUCCACCAAUGAAAUUACAGUCAAGAUCUAUCCCUUGUUAAAUCUGGUUCUUGCUCAUUCAUCUCCUAGCGGAUUGACUGACUUUAUGGUCAAUUAUUUUUGUAUCUUUUAGAAAUUUCUUAGUGACUUUGUUUCCAGCUACUUGAGUAGUCUAAAGGAAGAAAAAAAGGUACAGGGAAUUAAUUUUCCCCUUACUGAUGAUCUAAUUCAAUUAUUUUUAUUAAAAGUAGAUGAUCAGGCCAUCAGGGUAUGAGAGCAAAGCCUUGGCCUGGCUCUUUACAUCCUAGAGAUGCAAUGACCCUUGACUACCAGCCCCAAUCCAAGUCAAGACGUUUUCACUUCUUUCAUUUACCUGCUUAUACAGGCUGCCUUGUUGCCAAGUCUAUGAUUUUUCUAGUGGAACAUUCUACUGUUAAAUUAGCCAAUAAAUUGUUACCAUAAUACUAGGUUAAUUUGGUCCCUUCAUUAUUUUCUUGGAUGGUCUUUAUACCUAUUGUGAUCAUCAAUUGCUCUCCCUUGUCUGUUUCUUUUUCAAAUAGCUUUUCCAACGCCAAUUUUCAUUGAUUAUGUAUAAUCUUACUGUCUGUCCUUCCUUUUAACAGAUUUCGGUGAUCCUUUAAUGCAUUGCUGAGGAUAACAGAACUAUUGUUCACAACUUAAAUUUUGUGGUGACGAGUGAAUUGAAUCAGAGACUUGUCGGCUGCCUCACUAUUUAUAAUUUUUUAGUGAUUAUAGCAUGUAGCAUUCUAAAAGUCGUUGCUUUGGCCAGUGAAGGUGAUAAUUCUAAUAGAAAAGGCUAGUUAUCACUUAUACAUUCUCUUGUCUGAGCUAAGCCAAUCAGCGAGCCAGUUCUUGAUGCAAACCUCUCAGAAACACCGAUCAGCUGGUAUCCACAGGUUUUACCACCAGCCAGUGCAAGAGAUCGAUCCAUAUGGUUUAUCUCAUAUCCAAAUUUUAGACAGCAAUAUGUAUUCAGAUGGUGGCAGCCAAGGAGCUGCAAUUUCCUUUCAGACAGAUCAAGGAGAAUUCUUUACCUUGGAAUCAUCUUCAGCAACUGCUGGUUUCGUUAACUAUGAUUCUCCUGCUGCCAGCGUCUCAUCCAACAGAAGCCCCUUUUCACCCCAGGGUUCUCAUUCAUGCAUUUCUGAUCCUCAUCAUUCCCCUGACACUGUAUAUGGAUCUCCAUUGAGUGGAUCAUCCUCUGCUGAUGAGGACAUUAUAUUGAGGCAGAAAUUAAGGGAGUUGGAAAUUUCAUUGCUCGGGCCUGAAUCUGAUAUUACCGACAGUGGGAGUUUUUGCUUUGUGAGUGGAGGAUAUCAAGCAGAAUCAUCUGCAAGUUGGGACUGGAAUCAAAUGAUGGAAGUGAUCCCUAGGUUAGAUCUUAAGCAUGUGCUUCUUGCCUGUGCUGAUGCAGUAUCAAAUGCUGAUAUACAAAGAGCAGCAGGUCUAAUGCAUGUCUUGGACCAAAUGGUGUCAGUCUCUGGAGAGCCGAUCCAGCGGUUGGGUGCUUAUAUGUUGGAAGGCCUUAGGGCAAGGUUGGAACUCUCAGGAAGUAAAAUCUACAGAGCCUUGAAGUGUGAAGCACCAAUUAGCUCAGAUCUGAUGACUUACAUGGGUAUUCUCUAUCAGAUCUGCCCAUAUUGGAAGUUUGCAUACACUUCAGCUAAUGUUGUCAUUCAAGAAGCCGUGGAAUACGAACCCAGAAUUCAUAUCAUCGACUUCCAGAUUGCACAGGGAAGUCAGUGGAGUGUUCUAAUGCAGAUGCUUGCUUAUCGGCCAGGUGGGCCCCCAGUAAUCCGCAUAACUGGUGUUGAUGAUUCUCAAUCUGCUCAUGCUCGUGGUGGAGGACUUGAUAUUGUGGGUCAAAGGCUGUCAAAAGUCGCAGAGGAAUGCAAUGUGCCAUUUGAGUUCCAUGAUGUUGCCAUGGAUGGUUGUGAGGUUCAACUGGAACAUCUCAGGGUCCAACCUGGGGAAGCUGUGGUUGUGAAUUUUCCUUAUGUGUUGCACCACAUGCCAGAUGAGAGUGUGACCACUUGGAAUCACAGAGAUAGAUUGAUAAGGAUGGUGAAGAGUUUGUCACCAAGGAUUGUGACCCUCAUUGAGCAAGAAUCCAACACCAACACCAAACCAUUCUUUCCAAGGUUCAUUGAGACUCUAGAUUAUUAUACAGCUAUGUUUGAAUCAAUUGAUGUUGGUCGCCCCAAGGAUGACAAGCAGAGGAUUAAUGCAGAGCAGCACUGUGUGGCUCGUGACAUUGUCAAUAUGAUCGCUUGCGAGGAAGCUGAGAGGGUUGAACGGCAUGAACUUCUUGCAAAGUGGAGGUCUCGAUUUACAAUGGCAGGAUUCAAUCAGUACCCAUUGAGUUCUUCAGUGACUACUGCCGUUAGAGAUAUGCUAAAGGAAUAUGACAGGAACUAUAGUGUUCAGGAGAGGGACUGGGCUCUUUACCUUCGGUGGCGACAUAGAGACAUGGCAACUUCUUCUGCCUGGAGUUGAAAACUUCGAUAGCUUUAGCUCUUUAACACCUGUAAAUGUACAAAUGUAAUCUUACCGUUUUUAUCGCAUUUAGAGAAUGAUCAGUAGUGAUGUUACUGUUUUCACAGAAAUUGGAUUACCUCUUUUUUUUUUUUUUUGGGAUUCAGUUAGUGUUGAGACAAAAACACGAAACCUCAAAUCAUUGUACAUGUCCACCAUGAAUGAAACAAGAGUAGGUUUGUGUUAUUUGCAGUCUCCGAGAUCAAACCAUGCACUUUCUGAACAUUGUUAAGAACAAAAAUGGUGAAUGUGCAAGCUUUCCAUUUUGAGGUGCGUUUUGUUUUUAGUGAGAGUGGAACAAUGUCCAAACAUGAAUGGCGUUUCUUUCGAUGGACGUUUGGUGAAGAUGGAAAUUCCAUUUCAUGAUUGUGGUUACUGUAGACUCCGUCGUAUUCCAAGGGGUCUACUCCGAUAAAACCAGUCAAUCCAUCCAUGAAAGAAUACUGUCAGGCAAUGUUUGUUUUUUGAAAAAAAAAGAAAGUAAUUUGAUGUAUUUUUAGUUUUUUAUUUAUAAUUUUGAUGCAUUAUUGUAAAAAAAUAUAAAAAAAUUAUUUCAAUAUAUUUUAAUUAAAAAGUAUUUUUACAACGUAUUACCAAAUCGUUUGAUACUACAGAAUUUCAAAUAUAUCUUAAAUAUCAGGAAUGUAGAUGUUCAAGGAAAGUAAUCCCCUCCCAUAAAAAAACUACCUUUCCUCCGAAAGACCAUUUUUUUUUAAAAAAUAUUGAUUACUUUUGUAACAGCACUCUCUUACUCACAUAAAAAUAAGAUUUAAUAUUUUUUGAAGCAAAAGCUCAGCCCAAUUGGCCCAUUGUAGGUGUGGAUUUCAGUUUCACAUAACAAUUCUUUUGAUCCCAGCACGGAAGGGCCCCAUAAUGCUCCAUCCUAAUUAGAUGCAAAAGAACCGAGUGAUUAGGCCUCAAUUAUGCAUCAUAUUAUGCUGAUUUGGCAAAAUUUGGUGUCAACCAUUUAGAACUCAACCCGUCCGAAACAAAACAAGAGCAACCCCAGACCUUGUUUCUUACUGUGUCUCUCUAAUAAACCAAGAAAACAAGCAAAUCUUAGUUCCAACAUUAAAAAGAUCAUAUUUUUUAAGGUUAGUUUGACAAUUUCUUGCAUUAUACUUUUGUUUUCUUCUAAUGUUUAUCUUGUCUUAACAAUGUUAGUCAUGAGAUUCAUGUGGUCUCGUGGUUUCUGAAUUAGAUGAGAAAUGGAUGAUGGGUUCUGUUUAUUUUCAUAAAUUGUAGAUGAUAGUGUUGUUUCUGUUUUUCAUCUGCGGAAAGAAUAUGUGAAAGCUAGUCUUUAAUACAUUUUUGUUGGUUUUGUUUUGGUUGUGGAGGUUGUUGAUUUUGGAUUUGUAUUGCUUGGAUUUUGAUGCGUGGGUUGGUGGUGGUUUUGUUUAUGGGCUCAUAAAGUUUGUUACUUUAUGUAUUUUGGUUGGUAAAGAAUAUCUUUUUUUGUUGUUUUUGUGUUUUGAAUGCAGAAAGAUUGGUCUAGAUUGUGGGUUUGUUGAGUUUUUAGGAAAUAAUUGAAGAAUUCUGGAGGAAUUAACAGAAAGAGCAGUGUUGAUGGAUUUGCAAAAGGAGCAAGAAAGAGAAAGGCGUCGAUUACGGGACAGGCAAAGAAGGCAAGCAAUGAGUGUUGAAGAGAGGGAAAAACAUCUUGCGAGACGACGUAGAAACUAUCAGUUGCGGAGACAAAGAGCGCGAAAUGUGAGAGACCCUCAGGCCAGUCUUGUGGAUAGUGACGAAAUGCUUAUGCUCCCUAGUAACGGGAAUAAUCAAGCAGUAAUCUCUGUUCCUGUCCAAUCUAAUGGAAUUUCUGAUGUCGAUUUGGAUCAAAGACAAGGAAGUGUAAAUGCAGGCAAUGCAAAUUCUGUGGGUGAGUUUUGUGAUUUUUGUAAUGCAUUUGAUAUGAAGGCAGCCUGAUACUCACUAAUAGUUUAUUCAGCAGGUUUGGAAAUUCCAGCACAUAAGUUAGCUAAAUUACCUAUAAGGUCACGUCUAAACCAUAUAAAGCACCUUGCUCGGUCACUGGCUGAUACUCUGGAUAUUGGUGAUAGUCACAAAAUUACAGGAGAUUUGACAAUGACUGGAUACGCAACUUCCAACUGUAAGCUUUAGUAUUGUUAUUUUCAUUUGAUCCGGCAUCAUAAAUAUUUGUUCGAAAUUAUUUGUCAAUUGAGUAUCCCAUGUUAAAUGAUUCACAUGGUUAUAGAGACAUUUGUGUAUGUUCCACCUUAUAAGUUCACGCAUUGAAACUGUGGUCCAGGCACACCACCAAAACCAUUACGAUUGAAUCGUGUCAAGCAUCUUGCACGGGUUUUAAGCUCUGAUGUAACAUCGACAACAGUCCCAGAUCGCAUCGGUGAAACAAAGGGUAAGAAAUACAUAUUUAAGUUUGCAUAGCUAUCUUUUGCUUAGUCUGAAUCAAGGAAUUCUUUAAUCCAGUGGAACAGAAUCUGUCAAGUGGACAACAUCUGAUGAGUAUCAAUCUGCCUAAAGUUGUUCAGACUAUCAACGCUAGUGGUGGAGAUGAAUGACUCUGCUCCACUGGUAACGAUCAUGAAUAAUUUUACAUGGUACUUGCUGGUUAGGGCACACUUUUCAUAUACAAGAGAACCAUGGCUGGAGAUUUAAUGAGUUUUUUCCUGUUUAUUUCACUGUACUUCUCCCCUGGGGAAUUGAAGAAGGAAGCUUUUUCUCAGACACAUACAAGGGAUGGAAUUUUCCAAGCUCCUUAAAGUUUUUCAAAUCGAAUAUAAUGUGAGGUAGAUAUGUUACUAAUCUUUCAUAGUACUUGUCUUGUUGUUUUCUUGAUGUAACUAACAGAAUCUCAUAGAACAAAUAGUUUGCUUUUAUUAUGCAUUUAUACUUCGUAAUACAAUCCAUUUGCUAUCAUGUAUCUGCUGUCUCUUAUUUAUAAUCAUUUGGAUCUGAGAAACUUUCUGUGGAUAAUUGCUACAAUUUCUUCUGGAAAGUUUGCUUGCAGCGUGUUCCCUAAUUUAACUGGUUUAGUAAUUUAUGUUAUAUAUUUUUUACAAGUUCUGGAGAAUGCUGAAUAAACAGGAUGGUGAAGAGUUUGUAGUAGUUUUCCAUGUAGCAAACAAGAUCUCAUACUUUUACUUCACGCACGCGCACAUGUAAACUGCCCUUUAUGAAAAUGUUUCGAGCAUAUAUUACGAGUGCCUUAACCGACAUAUGAUGCUGUCAUUUUAUACAUGUCAGCACAAAGAACAAGGGUUGAGCUUAUGUGAGGGAUGAGAAGGAUUAAUUAGCCGGUUCAAAUAUUAAAGGUCAAGGGAUGGCUGGUAUUUUUUACAUUCUCUGCGUGUGAUUGAUCAUAUGGCCUAAAGAACAACUGCACCUUUCUAAAUAUAAUUAUUCCAGAAACAAGUUAUAAAUGACUGCUUAUCUGCAAAACGUAAAGCAUGCAUUGAAUAUAUUGGUGAUUUUUGAAUUUUCAAAUUGCAACAUAGAUUAAUUGCUUUACAAGUUAAUGAUAGUCCCAAUUCAUUUUGAGGGGUAAUGGAAGAAAAAACAAAAAAGAUGCACCUUGCAAUUGAUUGUUGAUGCCAACAUGCUUAAUUUUGAACUUCUCAUUGAAAACUGAUGGUGGGUUGGGCAACUCUUGUUAGAGGCUUGUACUACACAGCACACAGAGUUCAUCAAUAAUUCUCAAUCUAGACUAACCACACUGCUGUUUUUCUUGUUAUCCUGCAGAUCGAGGACAGAACAAGCAGAGGAUGCUACAGAAAGAACAUUGUAGAUAUCGAAUUGGACAAAGUUGGUGAAUUUUAGAUUAGAGGAUAGUUUGGAAGGCCUCCAACUGGAGCUGGAGUGUAUUUUUCUUUUUCAUUUUUUCGUCUAGGAUGUUUAAAAAGAAAGGAGUUUUAGAAGCCUUAAACACCAUCUUCAUCCAUUUUUGAUGUAAUGAGGUUUGCUUUGCAAAUCCAUUAUUCGGGUUGCAUUGAUUCUUUUAAGAAAGCUUUGUUGUUUUGUAGUUUUUCCUUUACUUUUGUCGUGUUGCUUGGCUCCAUAGUUGUUAGACCCGGUUCCGAACCAGCCAGGAAAAGUCUUGAUUACUCGAUCAUCAAUGGAUUUUUAGUUUUUUUAAUUAGUUUUUUUUUUAAUUAUCAACUAUGACCAAGGAGAAUUUAGUAUUUUAGCAUAAAUAAAAUAUUAUUCAAUUAGAACCUGACAUGGAUGCACAUGGGUGAUCUCGUGCACUCUUUGGACAGCGUGUCUGACGGUCACGCUCCAGUUUCCAUGAUGAAGUUUUAGGGUGAAAAUUUUUAAUUUUUUUUGUUUAAAAUAAUUUUUUUUUUUAUGUUUUUAGAUCGUUUUGAUAUGCUGAUGUCAAAAAUAAUUUUUUAAAAAUAAAAAAAUUUUAUUUUAAUGUAUUUCUAAACUAAAAAUAUUUUGAAUCGCAACCGCUAUUACAAUCCCAAACAAGCUCUUAAUCUUUAUAGAGUUGUCUCCAUUAAUGGGUGGCGUAUGAUUUAAUUCUUAUUUUUUAUAUUGUUAUUUUUUAAAUCAUUUUUUUAAUUGAAUUUUCUUUUUAAUUGCAUCAUUCAAUAUUUUAGUUUAUUUUAUUUUAUAUUAAAUUUAAUUUUUAUUCUUUUUAUUACUAUAUGUUUUAUUUUUUAAUUUAUUUUUAUUGAAUUUUUUUUUAACUUCAUCCCUCAAUUAGGGUUUUGUAAAUCUUUCGGCUCACUUGAAAGAUUUCACCGGAUUGAUUUAUGUAUUUUUAAUGAUUUUUUUUAUAAUUGAUUUUUAAUGAUUUUAUUUUUUUACAAGUUAUCUUAAUUUCAUGUGCUAGCUAAUAGGUUGUGAUAACUCAUCUUAACUCAGACCAAUAUUUUUUAAUUUGUUAUUAUUAUUAUAUUUUUUUUUAUCAUAUCAUCAAAUUAAUUGAGAUUUAAUUUAACUCUUGGAUUUUUCUUAUUUAAAAGUGCUACCAUUGUCUAAAUAUUUUUUUCCAUGCUUAAAUAAAAUUUGGUCUAGCAUGUGGCGUGGCCCCGGACACCAAACUAGUUUUGUUAUAUCAUUAAAAUAGAACUUCUAAUUAAAUAAUGUUUUUUUAAAAACUAUAUUUUCCGGUUCAAGACCUGUUUAUAAAUAUACGUAAUACGUUGGGCCCUAGAAGAAUGGGCUACAAAUUUGUCUAGCCCGUAUUAGGUAGGCCUCUUGUUAGCUAGUGCAGGUUAUAAAAACCCUAAUGACACUGUCGGCUAUCCUCUAACCCUCACUUCAUCAUCAGCCACAAUAUAUUCAUCCAACGGUCCAAAAUCAACCCACGAAACUCUAUAAAUAAUUAUAGUUGCUUCUUUCAUUUUGACCUACAUCUCCACAGCUUUUGCCUUCGCCAACAACACAGUCUCUUUCCAAGUUUUGCUUCAUAUUCUUCAAAGAUUUGAUCUUUUUUCAUGUUGUUCUUAAUUAGCCCUUUAAGAGUUGAAAGAUUUGAUCUUUAUUGCUUAAUAGUCUUCAAAAAUAUUUCAUCUUUUUCCCUGAUUUUUAAAACCCAGUUUUUUUUUUUUUCUUGUAAUCAGCUAGUUUAAAGUUCAAAGUUUUGAUCUUGAAUCGUUUCUUGAGGUUAAUUCAAAUCAGGUUUUUUUUUCUUUAGUCUUUUCUCUUUGUUAUCAAUAUUUUUUUAGGUCUUAAUCAUGGUUAAGAUUGCAUCUUGUGUUAAUUGUGACGGGGAUUUAAACUUCAAAAUCCUUACUAUAACAUUGGAGCAAACGAUUUUUAUCAAUGUUUGUAAAUUCCAAAGUAAAACGUCACAAAUAAAGCCUCAGACAUGUUGAGGUCCUCCACCUGGAGCUCCUCCGUGUGAUGGGGUGGUCUCAUAUUCCAUUGCCUUGUGUAGCAGCGUCGCUGCCUUUACAAUUUGGGACUAGCCAUGAGACAUAUAUUCAUACUCUCUUAAGCUUUUGUUUUUAAAAUGUUAUUUUAAUGUUAAUUAGUGUCGCCUAUGAUGAAAAUUUUCACCAAAUAACCAUCUUUCGGGACUGAAUGGCUUUUUAAGCCUUGCUGUAAUUCUGCAAUUCUGAGGCACAGGUUCAACUUUUUCUUUAUUAUUUCUUUAACUGGAUUGUUUUUUACUUGUACAAAUAAUUUUUAUUUUUCAAGUGAUGUAAGGGACUGUGCAUGAUCCAUAGCAAAUCAGAUUGGCCGUGGAUGGAAUUGAAAUGUUCUCUAAGAUCUCCAAAAGAGGUUGCCCACUUCUCUUAACAAGAAACUAGUCUUGAUUUUUAGAGCAUCUCCAAUGGGAGGUGAUUUAGAAGAGUUAAACUGAUAAAAAUCACUUUUUAAACAGUUUUAACAUAAUUUUUUUUUAUUACGUGCACUCCAAUUAUCAUGAGCUCAAGCUUAACCGGUACAGUGUUGCCUCAAGGGCACAAGGCACAGGUACUGAACAACAUAUGGAGUUAUUAAUGAGCAAAGUCCCCGACAGAGCAAUGGUGUUCAUGUUAGGAGAUGAUGGAACGUUGAGUGCCUAGAACUUCAUCUGGUGUCCCAUCACAAGACAAGACGUGAAAACUUUGUGAAACUACUCAAAAGGGGAAAAAACAGCGAUUUCAUUAACUUAAUGACAGACAUUAUCAACCUCAUUAACCAUGCAAAGUGCUUUCAUCACCAACCAAAAUGAAUGCUCAUUAGGGGAAACACCCUUUGCUGAACGUGUCAUCGAAAACUCUAGAUCAUUGGCGCGCGGCUGGUCGGGUUAAGCUUAAUAUAAUACUGAAGGAUAAUAAAUUGAUGGAAUUAAAAAUUCAAAGAAGUAAAACAAAAAAAAAUAAAGACAAAUAUUUUUCUUAGAGCCACACCAAAACUCCCCACAUGUAUUGUUUAGUGUAUUGGUAAUAAUAAUAAUAAUUGGAUGCAACACAGAGACAAUGAG